GGGAAUUUGAAGUCUACGAUUUUUUGGGACGUUGGCGGGCAACAGUUGGUCGGGACUGCUCCACUUGGAAAGUCCGCAGCUCCGCAUUUGGCUAGGUCAGGCGGCGACACUGGCUUUGCAACAGCGAAGGGGUCGCUGCCAAGACCAGCCACUCCACCGUAUAGGCUUCCGAGACCUAUAAGUACAUUUCUUCUGUCUAGGUUUACUGGAGAAGGGUUUUCAUGGUCGUGAUCGUUGGAGCUAGUGGAAGGGUUUUUGUUUUGGUCACUACUAUUAUUUGUGGCUUUGCAUGAGACAGCUUGUAAAUUGGAAUGCCUAGGGUUUCCAAAUGAGGAUAUUCGGUGAUACUUUUGGGAGAAAGGGGAGAGGAAAGUUGUGGGGAUGAUACUUGUGGCGGAGGUGACGAGUGGAGCUGACAUAGAAGCCAUGGUUACUUUUGACUCUGAAUAAUACGUUGUAUUGGCUUUGCUUUUAUAAUGUGUUCUAGGUUGUACUUUUCUUUGCACAGGUGGCAGGCCGUACACACGUGGUCGGUCCUUAAGGGUUUGACGAGGAAUACUACGUAGUCAUUUAGUACAGGACAACCAUACACUAUAGCAAGUGGCAUGUAUUUAGAGAUCGAGAGAGAAUUGGGUAAGGUUCACGAGGGAUUUGUAGUUUCAGAAGGUGAAUUGGUUUUGGUCUUCUUGUGUACCAAUAAUAUUUACUUAGUCAUUUAGUGCAGGACAACCAUGCACUAUAGCAAGUGGCAUGUAUUUAGAGAUCGAGAGAGAAUUGGGUAAGGUUCACGAGGGAUUGUAGUUUCAGAAGGUGAAUUGGUUUUGGUCUUCUUGUGUACCAAUAAUAUUUACUUAGUCAUUUAGUGCAGGACAACCAUGCACUAUAGCAAGUGGCAUGUAUUUAGAGAUCGAGAGAGAAUUGGGUAAGGUUCACGAGGGAUUGUAGUUUCAGAAGGUGAAUUGGUUUUGGUCUUCUUGUGUACGGCUGUGGGUCUGCUGUCCCGGACUCUCUGUCUCAUUUGUGUCUUAUUUUUUAUUUUUUCACACGUGUCUUUUACUUAACGUCAAAUCAUGAUAGCAAUGUUAUGCAAUUGGGAGCUAAACGACCGAUGCUUUUAUUUUUUAGUUUGCUUUUUUUCCAGAUCUGAUCAAAUCAUGAUAGCAAUGUUAUGCAAUUUUCAAGAGGGAAAGAUGCACCUGGGAGAGAAACGGUACGGUGACUUCUAAAUCACCGUCCAACAGAACAAUUCUCAGUAGAGACUACUAGAGAGAGAUGCACCUCACCAAUGAAAAAUUUAACUGCAAAAAUUCUGGGUAUUGGGUAAGGAAAUUCGGUGAUACUUUUGGGAGAAAGGGAAGAGAGAAGUUGUGGGGAUGAUACUUCUCGUGGAGGUGACGAGUGGAGCUGACAUAGAAGCCAUGGUUACUUGACUCUGAAUACUACGUUGUAUUGGGUUUGCAUAUAUAUAUAAUUAGGAUUGAAGGAUGUAGAGCUUAUUUUGUUAUGUAUUUUAACGAUUUAAGUGCUUAUCUUUUAGGUUUUCUCUUAAACAUCAUGUCUAUAAAAAAUCACCAAAAUUCAAACCAUAUGACCAUUAGAUCCAUAGUCAUUUUAGUGUUUAUUUGUAAAAUGUAUUCAUUCAUUUUCUUCACUACAAAUGAGUGAAUUAAUGAUUUUAGAAUUUGUCUAAUUUUUUACAUUGAUUAUUUAUGAAUGUUGAAUUGAAAUUUAGACGAUUCAAAAAUAGUUGAUAUGCAUUACAAAAUGAACUCCACAAAAUAAGUGUCAAAAUAUGUAUAAAAAAUGGACAGCGUGAAUGGCUUGGAAAUUGGAAUAGGUUUGAAAAUUGUGCUUUUUGUAGCAAAUUUUAGCAAAGUUUGCUUGGACUUUCACAACCGUAUAAAUUAAAGGGAAACUUGAUAUAACUCCAAUUUUUUGAGCCAAUAGUAGGAAUAGUCCAGUUUAUUAAAAUAAGUUCAAUUCUUUAAAUUUAAUUAUUUAGUUAUCAAUAAUUAUCUCUUAAAAGAAAAAACUUAUUGUAAAAAUCAAAUUUCUUCCUAAUUAUCUCUUUGAUUAUUUCUUUUUAUUUAUUUAUUUGUUAUUUCUUGUUCUUCCUCCUGCUUUAACCCAUUUAUAGAUUUUUUUUUUAAUUUUAUAAUCAACCUAUGUCACAGGUUAAUUGUAUUUAUCUACCUAUAUGACAUAUUCUUUUUCAUAGUCAACAUUUCACAGAUUAAUGUGUCUUGCUUGUAGAUAUAUUAUGUUUUUUUCUACCUUUUAGUUAGGUUUCAUAUCUCACUUAUAGGUAUAAUAUACAUUCAUAUAUUUGCUACUUGAGUUAGGGUAGAAUGUUUUGCAGAUAGAUUUAUGUUAGUAUAUUAAUUUUUUUUUGUUUAUAAGAUAUUAAUUAGAUAUUUUGGAGUUGAAAAAUGCAUAAUAUUAAAAGCUUUUAAUUGAUUUUUAAUAUUUUUAGAAAAUAUAAAAGGAGUAUAAAAGAAAUCAAAACAUAUAAUUAGAUAACGGGAGUCACUCCUAAAAACACUCUAUGUUUUUUGACCUGGAUCUUAAAGCCCCUAAAUUAAACUGUUCGCUUUGUUGGGAAAAAGAAGUGGCCCUAGUUUCCCUUUGAUUUUUCAAGCACGGUGGGAGACUGGUCAUAGUUUCUAGAUUGAUGCUCUAAUUCUAAUGUUAUACAACGCGUACGCUAUAAUAUUUUUAUCAAAAUAUUAGUUUUAGUGUUAUCAAAACAAUAUGUUAUUCUUACCAUGUUUUUGUAUCACAAUUAUAUACCACCUUAGAUGGUAUCUGAUGUGGACAGCCACAUCAUUUAAAUUAAUAAGCAUUUAAUUUCAAAAUGUUAAUCAAUAAUUAAUAAAAAGAUUGUUAAUUAAAUGAUGAUUGUGGUAUACAAGGAGUCUCCUUCUUCCUUCCUCUUUCCAUUCUGCUUUUUCUUCUUACCUCUUUUUUUUUUUUAAUGCCAGUUUUGUAUUGAUUUCUGUUGAUUUCCAUGAUUAUGGUCAAUCUUUAUAGAAUUUACUAGUAUGCCACAAUCACCAUUGAUUUCUAUCUCCAGACUCAUGCCCCGUAGCCCUAAUCCUCAUUCCCCUUCAAGUAUUUCUGUCUCCAAUCUUCUUUGGUACUCCAUGAUUGUUCAUCUCGUGAUAUUUUUUUUUUUGAUUAUUUCAUUAAGUAACGCUUAUUAGCUUUCAUGCGAAUUAGGAGUCAAAAUCAAAUUUGUCUAUCGGAUUAGGGUUCAUACCCAAUUAAGUUACUAACGCCAGAGGGAUUUUGAAGUAUGCAAUUUUCCUUAUUUAAGUGUUUUAAUUAAUAAGAAAAUUGAAAUUAAACAAUUUAGCUUGUCCAACUCAUCUGCCACCUAAGAUGGUAAAUAAAUGUGGUAUAAAAUUGUGGUAAGAAUAUCAUUACUCUUAUCGAAAUUACAAAAAAAAAAAAAAAAGCUGAUUCAAUAUUUAGUUAUUAAAAAAAAAAUGAUCAAGUAACUAUCCAAUACCCAUGUAUUGGGUGCUUUGUUUGAAAAUUUUCAAAAUGAUAUUGGGCUCGUUUGGAUAUGUUUUUAAAAUGACUGAAAGCAUUUUUAGAGAAAAUAUUUUUUUGAUUCCAAAAGCACUUAAAGUGCUUUCUGCAAGAAGCACCCGUUAUGUGCUUCUUCCUGGAAGCACUUUAAGUGUUUUUCCAGCAUUUACUUGCUUUUUUACUAAGGACUGGUUCCAAAAACAUUUUCACAAAAAGUGUUUUCAGUCAUUUUAAAAGCACAUUCAAACGAGCUCAUUGUUUUUCCUAUUUUAAUCGAGUGCGUCGUCCUCUGUUGAGAAUGAAUCUCAUAUUAUGGGAGGAGGGAUCUUGCAUGAAUGGGAGGAGGGACCUUGCAUGAGCUUAUAAGUAAGUUGGGUUACUCUCCAUAUUGCCAAAAGAAAUUUUAUUUGGACCCAGUUUUCCUCUCUCUAAACCCAACUUUAAUAUUUUGUUACCUAUAAACUCUCUAGUUUACCCUCAUAAAUUAUAAACAUAAAUAAACUAGAAAAAGAAAAACUCAUCAAACCCAUUUCCCAACUGUUCUGGCGUCUCUUCCCUGUAUUUGUUGGGUCUGUCUCCCUCCCGACUGUUUUUUUUUUUCUGAUAUCUCUGUGUGUUCCCCCACCUCUCCCACACCCACCAAUUCUUUGUGGUGGCUAUUCCACCAAACGUCCAGUGAAUCUUUCCAUUUUUCUUCUAUUGCGCGUGAUAGGGCCUUGCUAUUAAUAGGCAAAACUAAGCGGCAUCGUCGACUCCGUAAGCGACUUGUUGCAUAAGUCCAAAAUGGAGUCAAAUGGAUUUUGUAUUGGGUCGGGUUGUUGAAGGCGAUGGCUGAUUUAGCAAUCCCGCCUAACUAUUUCUAUAUGUAGGAGAAGGAAGAGGGAGGGAGGUCUGAAGUGGUGGUUGAGUGGUGGCGAUGUAUGUGGGUUCUCUCUCGGUUGAAUGGGUGUAGAAAGAUAUUUAAUUUUCAAUAUCUUAUUUUAUUUUGUAUAAGGGAUAAUAUAGGAAUUACAUAAAAAGUUUUUUUUAUAGCUAGGUGUAGAAAUAGUAUUGUUGGGUCUAAAUAAAAUUACCCUAUUGCCAAUUAGUUUUAUGGUGAAAUCUUAACUUUGUUCAUGCUUUCAUAGUAGGUUGUUCCACGUGUGAAGUCAAACAUCCACACGCGCUGCACGUCACCCCGUUGUGUUGUUCACGUGUUAAGCUUGAAAAUUCAUCACACAUGAGGGAGCGUGUUGAGAAUAAAUUCCACAGUUUAUAAGUAAGUUGUACUACUCCGUAUAUUACCAAUUAAUUUUGUGGAAUUCCGUCAAAGCUGAAUUUGACGGAAAAAAAUAACUUCAUGUUUGUUCUUAACUAUAAAGUCAGUGAUACACUAAUUCUGGUUUGUUUGUUUUUUCCUUCCUUCUUAAGGAAAUUCCCAAUCCAACCAAAAAAAUGAAAUUCCCAAGAGAAUAGUAGCACGAACAAUCGUAGCUUUCUUCUUCGAUAAGCCUUGGGGAAACAGAAAAGGGAAAACCGGACUUUAACCCUAAUUUCUCCCAAUGCCGCAGCACUCUCUAUUUUCUCUCUCGCUCUAUAUCGCGGUCCCUCUCUCUCGCCGUCCUCUAUUGCUCAAACUCAAUGUCUCCAACUUCCUCUGUAUGGUUCCCGAGGAAGAUGGUAAAACAGUAAGGGCAAGAAAUUGUGACAAGGUUAGAUUUGGGUAUUAAUCUGGUGGGGCUACAAUUCUCCAAUCCACACCCCUUUCAUCUGUGCUAGUGUUUGAACCCAAUAUUAGAUAACCGGUCCAUGCAAUCGAUGCCGUUGAAUGAGAAAAAUUCUAGGCCGUGGGAUCAAAUAUAAUGAUGUGGAUUAAAUAAGGAAAAUUUAAAGAGUAAUGAUAUUCAUACCAUGUUUUUGUACCACAUUUUCAUACCACCUUAGGUGGCAUUUGAUGUGGAUAGCCACAUCAUUUGAAUUAAUCAGAUUUUAAAAUUUAGUUGAUUAUUUAAUAAACUAAUAAUUAAGAAAAACUAAUUAAUUAAAUGAUGAUUGUGAUAUACGAGGAGUCUUUCUCGUUCAUUUCUUUGGGUUUUGCAAAUUUUUCAAAUGAUGUGGCUGUCUACAUCGGAUGCCACCUAAGGUGGUAUAGAAAUAUGGUAUAAAAAUAUGGUAUGAAUAUCAUUACUCAAAUUUAAAUGUUUAUCUUGGUUAAAUUACCAUGAUAAUAUUGUGGAAUUAUCUUUUGCAUAACGGAAGAGCGAGAAAAGUCCAAGGGUGUAGGGAAGUUGUGUGGUUGACUACCGCUAUUUUGAUGGUAUAAUCUGUAGAGUAAUAUUACAUUUAACAUCUAUUUGUAUCAUAUUUCUAAUAAAGAUAAGGACCAUCAAUGCAUAAAUAAUUAAACAAAUAUAUAAUAAGAGUAUCAUUUUUGUAACUAGAAUAGGAGAAGAAAGACUUCAAGAUGGGAUCAGCCAAAUAAUUAGCGUUAAGAUAAAAAUAUUGAAAGGAAAACUAAUGAAAAUGGCUUGAAAACUUUGAGUUUUAACGAUAAGGACAAGAUAAAGGGUAAAGUGAAUAGUACCAGGAUUGACUUUUUAAUGUAAAAAUAUAGUUUUUCGUUAAAGUGAACAUUACCGGGAACUUUUCGUUAAAGUUUCCAAUGAGAUAAUAUUGCAACAGCUGGCAUGAGACAAUGAUGGUAUAAAGAUGGCUACUACGGCCAAACUACUACAUAGGAUUCCAUACAUGCGGUCAUUAUUUCGACAAAUCAAUGGCUGCCGCAAUCAUGUGCUCAUUAUUCCGACAAAUCAGUAGCUACUUGCAUUGGAUUAGGAUUGCAUGCGUGUGGUCAUUGAAUGAGGAUUGCGUGCACGUGAUCUUUAUUCAAACAAAUCACUAUUGACCAUAUAUUGCAAUUGGUUAAUGGUAGGCAAAUUGAAUUUUUACAUCAAAUAAUGUGAUUGCUGAUAAUUGAAUUAUUAUUUAAAUGUUGAUUAAUAUGCUUAUUUUUUAUUUGUGAUAUAUCAUUUAAUUUGUACAUUUAGUUUACCUAACAUUACCAACUGUAAUUUGUAUAAAUGGACUGGUACCUAACAUAACCAGUUGUAAUUUGUAUAAAUGGGACUGUAAUUUGUAUAAAUGGACUGGUGCCUAACAUUACCAGUUGUAAUUUGUAUAAAUUUACUGGUCCCAAGAGCACAUGCUACUGCUCAAGAAGCAAAGUUCUUAUUUGCCCAAAAAAAAUCAUGGUUUUUUAAUUGAUGCUCUCAUUUUAAUUUACUAGCCCCUUACUUGGCCUUUUUUAUUUAUCAUUUUAUACAUAUUAAUAUUUUUUUGUAAAAUAUAUUAGUUUGAGUUUUAUUAAAAUUAAAAAUAAAUAAAAAAACUUAGUUUUAGUUUUAUCAAAUUAAAAAAAAAUGACUUAAUAUUUAGUUAUUGAAAUUGUAAAAAAGUGAUCAAGUAUUGGGUGCUUUGUUUGAAAUUUUUCAAAAUGAUAUUGUUUUUACCAUUGAAACCCUGUUAUAUACAGUGAUGGCUAAUUUGUCAAGUUCUACGAAGUUGGGAUACCCAGCGUUUUAGCAUAUAACAUAGCUUAGUAUUACAAGCAUAAUUAAUUAAAAUAAAGGCAAAAUAAGAGGAUAGCUUAGUAUUACAAGCAUAAUUAAUUAAAAUAAAGGCAAAUUGUAACAGCCCGUCCCUAAAAAUGACGAUUUUAUAAUCUUAACACGUGAGUUUAUGAAGAUGCCCUUCGAGGCAAAGUGUUGACUACCGCGUCGUGUCAUGUGAGACUCAUCUUCUUGGCGUAUUCUCGUUUUACUCGUCGCUACGGAUGCGUGGGCGCAAACGACACGUGAUUUGGAGCUAUAACAAAAGAGUUAUUAACAUUUAAAGUUAAGGACAUUUUAGUAAAUUAAUUAAUUUCAGAUUUUGUUGAGGGGAAAAUCUGGAGUGCCAUGUGGGUGGCCCAGAUUAAAGGAAAUGAGGAAUGGAUGGUGGAGGUGUAAAGGAAAGAAGAUAAAAGAAAAAUGAGAGGAAAUGUGUGACUAAUAGGGAGAUGAGAGAGUUAGGAUGGCCCAAUUAGAAACAAACGAAAGGAGGAAAAAGGAGAGAAGAGGGGAGCAGGGGAUCCCUUCAACCCGGUUCCACUUUCCGACCCGACCCGAUCCUUUUCAUCUUUUCCGGUGGUUUUUCGUCAGUUUUUCCGGCGAACCACGUUAUCUAACCCCGUUGAAAAUGUUCCACGACCUUCCCUCUACCAUUACAACCCAAAAUUGUAGAAAUUUAGCCAUGAAAGUAUGAAAACCGCACCGGUGGGUGCGGGAAACCUUUGUCGUCGAUUCUCCCAUUAUUGAAACGAUUUUCACCAAUUAUCACCACCUACAGCAUCCUCUUGAGGUCUGGAAUAAAGCCCAAACAAGUUUUGGGGCGUUGGAGUUCGUUUAAGGUCGAAUUGAGCACACCCAAAUUCAAGGGUUCCGUACCGUUCAUGGUGAUUUGAGGUGUUUCUCGGCCAAAUUGGCCUUAGUCACAAGUAUGAAAGUUGCUCCACUCGUUGAGAUCUUCAUUUAUGUGAAAUUUGAGAAUUUUUUGAAAUAUUUGGAUUUUCCAGCGAGUCGGGGUGGCGGACCGCCACCGGCAGCAGCGCAUGGCCAGUGGUCCACCAAUGUCAUUUUACGUUAAAUUGAUAUCUUGAUUUUAGAUUUGAUGUCUAUAUGUUAUGACUUGAUUAUGUGAACCUAGUUUGAUUAAGGUGCGUUAAUUGGUAAAAAUAUGAAACGACGAUCCGACCGUGGGAUCGUCACCAAACUUUAAUAUGUUAUAGUACAUAAUAUUUGAGAAUCAUAGGGACUGACAGAUAGGAAAUCCGAGAUACAGAUCUUCCCGAAAUGGAAUUGUAAGUUUGAAGAAUAAACGUUAACCGCCACUUUGUUUUGACUAUUGGUGGAGAUCCAACCGUUGGAUCAUAAUGAAAUUUUAGGAUGAUGUUUUAGAAGCAUAAUGUGGAUCUUUGGAAGUUACUGAUCGGAAAUCCGAGGAGUGAAUCUUCCGAAUUGAAUUACGUAGGGUUGUGGACCUUACCGUCGAUCGUUGACCGAUGAUCGACUUUUGGUCAAUGGGGCUUAAAUCAAUCUAAAACGUUUUUAGGGAUGUGUUUUACGUAAAUUACAUGAUCUAUUGAUAAGAAUUAUGAGAUGUGGUUUGAUAAUUGUCCUAGGUGCCGAUCGUUAGGAACGCUUCGAUGGUUAUGCUAGGAAAUUGUAGCACAGACUCCUUGUGAGUGAAUCUUUUCCUUCUUAUCAUAUAUAUAUAUAUAUAUAUAUAUAUAUAUAUAUGAUUGACAAUUCCACAAACGUUUAUAAAUUGAUUAUUGCAUAUAACUACUGUGAAUACUUUGAAGUACUUAUGCGAACUACGAAUGGCUUGAUCCGUGUUUAGGGUACGUAGGCAGUCUAACAAGACGUUAGAUGUAGUCAUACAAUAAUUGAGAUUAAACAAUUGAGAUAAAGCCUUGUUUGGGGAACUGGGCAAGGUGAAGGAAUUUGGUAAAAAGGUGAGAUUUAACCUUAUGAAUUGGUGAUUAAAUGUUGGUCAUAAAUCAAUGUGUAAAGAAUCAAGAAUUUGAAGUAAGGAAACGUAAGUAAUGAUAAUUAAUUAAACUAGUGUCUAGUUGGGCUUGUCACCUAUAAUUAUCCCCGAAAAUGAAUAAUUCGGGAGUAGGGCGUUACAGCUUCUGCAUUUUUAUGCCACAUUAUAUAUAUAUAUAUAAUUGGAAAUGCUAUAACAUGGUUGAGUAUCAGAUUUCAUCAUGGUUUAUCUAUAUGUAUAUUACCUGCACACAAUUAUUAUGAACGCGUUGAAGUGCAAAGGUGAAUGCACGACACCCAGGUAAGUUCAGGUGAGUUUAUGGUAUUAGUUGAAAUGAUGGGGUUAUGGUAUGACUACAUGUAUGUUUAGGUUGCAAUGAUAGGCAACUCCAACACUGUCGUACAGGUUGCCCAUGAAUUGUACAUGUUACAAUAGAUACAGUUAGAGCUCAUAAACCUACACCCCGGUGUUAGUACUCCCGCUCGUGGCCAGGGCACAGUCCUUCACGUGAUGUUCACCUCCCGCACCUUACGCUCACCUUGGAUCCAAGGUAGGUGCACAAUCAUGUCGUACCACUAUAGGUGGUUCCGACUCGUAGAUGACCCGCGAUUAUUUGCACAGUCUUCACGUGAUUGUAGCACUUGAGCGUAUUUAUUUACACCCAGUUCUAUUGUACAGACCACUUUAGGUGGUUCCGACUCGUAUGCAGGUAUACUUAUUAAGCUAUGGAUAAGUCGUACAGGUCACUAGAAGUGACUCCGACUUAUGAGCUAGCAUAUGUGAUGAGCUAGCAUAUGUGAUGAGAUAAGUGAUGAGUUAGUAUAUGUAAUGAGAUAUGUGAUGAGCUAGCAUAUGUGAUGAGAUAUGUGAUGAGCUAGCAUAUGUGAUGAGAUAUGUGAUGAGCUAGCAUAUGUGAUGAGUUAGCAUAUGUGAUGAGCUAGCAUAUGUGAUGAGAUAUGGGUAAGUCGUACAUGUCACUAUAGGUGACUUCGACUUGCGUGCUAGUAUGGGUUAUUAAUCACAUGAUUAUUGAUAUUACUGAUGAGAUGCUGUGUUGUGGUAUAUUUAUGAUCUUUCUGGAAACUAUGCAAGUGUUGUAACGAGGGGUUAUAAUGAGGUGUUGUAACGAGGGGUUAUAAUGUUUUAUAUGGUUUCUGUUAAAAUUUUAUUUCUAGGGUCACUCACCCUUAUUUUGUUUUCACCCUCUAGGUUUUAUUAGCUGAGCUUUCUUAUCGUCGAAGAUUCGUGGCGAUUCUUAGUAUUGGAGAUUAUUUCGAGAGUACGAUUCUUAAUUCACUUUACUGUACUUGCUUAAGCUGUAACGUCACGUGUGAAGUGGGUUCAUUUCCGCUUACCAGCGCAUUCUGGUAUUUAGGCACUCUUAGGUUUAAAUUUAUUCACAUUUUUCCACAUCAUCAAACUUUAUGGCUUUGUCACUCUUUAGGUGUCGGCCAGCACAGCUCGAUUUGGAGUCCUAGUGGACAUUCCGGGUCGGGGUGUGUCACAAAUGAAGAGGAUGGUUGAACUUGUUAAGUUUCUUAAGUGUGUCUACUUGAAGUGUGUUGCUAAUAAAUAUUUUGUUGUAGGCAUAAUUUACUGAACAAUUAUGGAGGCAGAGAGAGAGAGAGGGAAUAUGCGGCAUAGAGAGAGAAGAGAGAGAUGUGUAAUUGUGAGGUGUGUUCUAUUCCACCCCAUUGUACCUUUAUUAUAUUAGUAGGGAAAGUUAAUUCCUUACCCUUUUAGGAUUACAACUCUAAUAGGAAAAUAUCUAGUCUAAGAGAUAUGAUAGAAUCUCAUAAGGAUAUCCUAGAUAUGUUAGGAUUUACACAAUCAUAUUCCUAUUCCAAUAAGACUGCAACACAUUUGUAUUUUUUUAGAAUUUUUUUGAUAAUUUGUUGGUAUUCUCAAUUUUUGUUAACAUUGAAAAUAUAACGGUUCAGAUGAAAAACCUUUGGAAAUCCAACAGCUUGCAAGACGUUGGGCUGUGCUGAAGGAAGCUGGGCUGUCACGUGGAUGGGGCCCUCCCUCUCCCUCUUGUUGAUUCAAAGGGCGCAGGCCCGUGCAACAAUUGGCGAGGCAGCCCAUAGAGAUCCUGCGAUUCACCCAUUCGCCAUUUUUUCCACCGCUGGAGCACCAAAAUUCGGUCAAAAGGCAGGGGUAUCAAUGGCAAGGGCAAUUUGGCUUCCGCUGGAGGUGCUCUUUGUCGACUUUGUUUUUUCUCUCAUUUUAGCUUUUGCAGUAAUAUUGAAGUAAUCACUCCAAUUUUAUCCAAACUUUUGUUGUCCGUCAAUUUUUAUCAAAACUAUUGGUUAAUUUACAUAUUCAGACUAACCUUCUCAUUAUUUUUAGUAUUUUUAUCAUAAAUAAUAUCUGAAAUAGUCACAUUUUAUUCAACAACCACUCAAUUAAAAAUUAAUUAGUGUUGUUUCUAAACCAUUACAUCAAGCUUUUGUAGAUACACAUCAAUAUUGCAGCGAUCCGAGGCAUUGUUUUAGUGACGGUAGUACUUUCUACUCCUUGGAUUUGGUGAAUCGGAAAAGAGAAGAGUUACGAGUAAAAGUCCCUCGCAUUGUUUUGGGGAGAUGAAGAUGAUGAUCUUUUGUUUUUGUUUUUUAAUGAUUAAUCCACGCAGCAACAUAUAAUUAAAUUGUUGGGAUCUACUCAAGUUCCAUAUCACACACUAACAUAAAAUUUGACAAACGAAACGAAAUAUGUGUGUAGACAUCGAAAUUUCGUAAAUAAAUGUUGACCGAUAAAUCAAAGUGUCAACGCUCAUGUAUUACAUAAAUUUUACACGUAGCGUGUGACUCAACGAAAAUUGAAAUGAGUUGGAAAAGUCAUCAAAUAGGACACGUGUCAACACCUGGCAGAAACGACUUAUUUCAUCUGGGAUAUUAUAUUCAAAAUUAGCCAUUGGAAAAUUCUAUAAAUACAAGCCCAUUUCAUUCAUUUAAGGAGAGGAAUUCAUAUUACACCUUGAAGCUCUGAAGCUCUGAAACUCCGAAGCUCUCAAGCAUCCAGGUUCCCGAAGAAUCAAGAAAGUGUUCUUCGUUCUUCGUUCAUCGUUCUUCCAAGAUCAAGCCUCGACGGCCCUUGGAUCAACAAUCAUCCACCUUCAAGAUCAAGCCCCGACGGCCCUUGAAGAAAGCGUUCUUCGUUCUUCGUUCAUCGUUCUUCCAAGAUCAAGCCCCGACGGCCCUCGGAUCAACAAUCAUCCACCUUCAAGAUCAAGCCCCAAAGGCCCUUGAAGAACUUCCACCAAUUCAAGAUCAAGCCCCGACGGCCCUUGAAGAAAGCACCAUCGUUCAUCAUCCGUUCAUCCAAGAUCAAGCCCCAACGGCCCUUUAGAUCAACAACGUCGACAAAUCCACACAUCCAACCGUUCUUCAAGAUCAAGCCCAAAAGCCCUUGAAGAUCCGUUCAUCACUGUUCUUCAAGAUCAAGCCCAAAAGCCCUUGGAGAUCCGUUCAUCACUAUUCUUCAAAGAUCAAGCCCAAAAGCCCCUUUGAAGAUCCGCUCAAAUCCACCUUCAAGAUCAAGUCCACGGCCCUUGAAGAACGUUCAUCCUUAGAUCAAGCCCAACGCCCCUUUGGAUCAAUCGCACAUCCACAAAUCAACACCUUACGGAGAUCGAAUCAGAGGAUCAAAAUAGAGAGAGAUUGUAACCCAAAAUCAUCAAAUACAAAUAUUUGUUUGUGCGCGUUGUUCUUGUCUCUUUCGUUUCAGGAAUUUUCCGUGUUCACAAUGUGCUCUUGAAAUCAAAAUGAGGGCACUGCUCCAAGAACAAGAAGGGCACCUUGUCGAGGUCGCCAUCCGCCGUGAGGGAAAACCGGAAGAAGUUGGACAACAAUGAUAACAUCAAUUUGCGGCACCCAUAUCGGGACAUCACACUGUGAAAUAAAUAUUGAAAUAAAUACUCAAAACUCCUGGAAAGUCCUCGAGACAACAAACUUUCAUCUCCUUCAAACAUUUCAUUUUACUAAGUUUUAUCUUUGAAGGGAGGGAAAAAAAGAGAAGAGAGAAUCCUACUCCUUAUUCCUGAAUAUAUUCAAGAAUAGCUAUUGAAUAAAGAGAGAAUGGAGGGUGAUCGAAAGAGGAGGGAAGAGAAUUCUAGUUCCAAACAUAAAAAGGACCACAACUUUUAAAUUAUCAGCACAAUCAUCACCUAAUUGAAGAGACCAUUCACUGUGAAACAUAUUGUCAAUCAGUCUAUCUAUAUCUAUUUAUAUACCAUAUUUUUAGAGUAAGAUUCUCUCACCUCCUAUUACCAUCCCCUUCCAUCCUUUCAUCUCAUACUCUUUUUUUGUUGUCUUAUUCUCUAUAUAAAAAAAUUCAAAACAAGAUGUAUACGUGACGUAAUCGUAACCGUUUAAAUAAGAGGGGAUAGAAGAGAAGAGAGAUUAGGAGAAGGGAGAAUCCUACUCCCACAUUUUUCUUCUUCAUAAACAAAAGAGAGGUUCUAGAUUACUUGACUCUAUGCCUCAUUUUUUUCAUCAAGUAUUUGUGAUAAGUGGGUUCAUUUUCAAGUAUUUUAGUUUUUUUGUCAAAAUUGAGAAAACUGAAAAUCAAACAUUAAUAUGAAAAAUUAAAAAAUCAACAUAUAAUUAUUUAGAAAUCGCAAUAGAAAAGAAAAAAAAUGGAGGUUUGUGAUGAAAAAUCUUUUAUACUAAGUAAUUUAGUAUCCUUAUGCAUGAAGAUAAAUCAAUUUGUUCGUUACGGUCAUACUCUUUUUUGAAUUUUUGAACACAUUCUCCAUAGGGCCUUCUUAUAUGUUCCUUCUCCAAGCUCGGGUUAUGGAAGAAGUAAAAGAAGGAAUCGAAAAGAAAGUAUUGGUAACAACCGAUUUCAUUACGAGACAACUCUUGAUAUUCAUAUCAAUCUAUUAUGUACCUUUGCAUCUAGCAUUAGACAAUAAUUGUCAUAGCUUUACCAUAUUUUUUUGUUUCAUUUCUUCUGAAACAAUCUCACACACUUUUUUAUUAUGUGUCUACUACUAGGAAUUCAAUACGUAAUCUUAGCAUUCAAUAGUUAUUCCUAAAUAAUUUCAAUUUUCAAAUGAUCAACCAUUUCAUUUUACCAAGUUCAAUCAAUGUUAGUCAGAUUAGUCAACAUUUAUAUAUUUUGAUGCAACAACAAGAUGUUAUUUGUAACAAGUGAUUUUGUUAGUUGGUUAAUUGGUCACAAGUUAAUGUUCGGUUCAGUUUAGUUUUUCUCUCGAUUUUUUGUGAUUCGGUUUUUUCAAUUCUCUUUAGGGUCGGUUCGGUUUUGUUUUUUUAUUUAUACUUGAAUUUUAUUUUAAUUUAUUUUAAUUUAUUUUAUUUUAAAUCUGGAAACACCAAGAACAACACAAGCACAUAGUCAAUCAAACAACUAUCCUUCUCCACAAAUCAUAGUAAUAAUUACAUUCAUUGAGCUGAAAUGCAAAUAACUAACAAACUCACAAAAAUCAAAUAAAAACUACAAAUUGCUUACUCUUUUUCUUUGGGUUUCACUCGAAAAGUGUCGGUAAAAUUUAGGGUUUGCAAGAACGCAACUGAAAUCUAAAACGGAGGCCUUGUGGCCUAUGGGUUGCUAUUGAGUUCCAGUACAGAGAACCUUGCUUAAUCUCGAUCACGGUACAAAGUAUCGAGUACCUUUAGCACUGUAUUUUGGUAUGAUUGGUAGAACCAAAUUAAAAGCUAACAUCAACAACAACUACCAGAGACAAAAGCUCUUAUCAAUGCUUUGGAAACAUUUAUGUAUCUCCAAGUGUAAUGAUAUAAUUGGUUGGAAACUUGUGAUUUCGUAUCAAAUCAAUAAAAAGUUACAAUAUUGACAAUAUAUUAGCAAUUUUUAUGUUAAUUAUGAACAAGUCAAUCAUGUAGAACCAAAUUAAAAGCUAACAUCAACAACAACUACCAUAGACAAAAGCUCUAAUCAAUGCUUAGGAAACACAGUCCUGUAUCUCUAGGUGUAUUGAUAUAAUUGGUUGGAAAUUUAAAAGAAAAAUGGUGAUUUUGUAUAAAAUUGAUAAAAAGUUACAAUAUUGACAAUAUAUUUGACACACCCCGACCAAGAUCAAGGCAUGCUGGCCGUCACAUGAGAGUGACGUAACCAUGUGCACAGUGCGGAAGCAAUAAUGAUAAGAAAUAUAUGAAUAAUUAAAAACCGAAUCUACUAGAGUGCACUACUAAACAGGAAGUAUUAGGAGUAAGAUACAAAAGUAAAUACUCCUAAUCAGAGCAUAGAAAGUCUAGGUGCAAUCCAGUAGGACAAGUACUAAUUAUACAGUAUAAAAUGUCUUACAAUUAUUUAGAUAGGUCAGAACCGCCGAAGUCCUCACACCCAACAACUGCAAACUUACUUAAAACCUGAAGGGGCGCAAAAUAGAAAACGUGAGUGGGAAAAAACAAAUGUUUUACAAAACCAUUUCAUUUAUCAAUAUAUCUAACCCCUCGCUGUAAACAUGUAUAAUUUUUCCCAGAAUCAAGAUAUAAGCAUAUACAUAAAUAUAUAUAUAAAUAUAUCAAUUCAAAUCAUGCUUCACAUAAUCAUAUUCAUAUGUAUGUCAUGCCAAGAUAUAACAGAGUAAGCAACUCAGGUAAGAGUAAUUUCAUAGAAAUAUAACAUGUUAGCCGGAACCCCUGUAGUAGUCUGUACGGCUGAAUUCAUAGCUCAAAAGUCAAUCUAGCCGAAGUCACUACAAUGACCUAUACGGCAAUAUACUGCACAAGAGUCGGAACCAAAUGAAAAGAUCUGUACGACAAUAAUGGGUGUUGUUGAUGCACAAAAUCAGUGAGGACUUUGGUACAACAGAAAGUGUUAAGUUUGUGACAUUCUCUAGAUUACUCCGAUCACUAGUGUGGAUAAGUAUGUAAAUGGAUAAAGACAGGGAAGCAAACACAAGAUGUACGUGGUUCACCCAGAUUGGCUACGUCCAUGGAGUAAAUGAGUUCUUAUUAAUUGUGAAGGGUUUACACAAGUAUAUAGGUUCAAGCUCUCCUUUAGUGAGUACUAGUGAAUGAUUUAGUACAAAUGACAUUAGGAAAUAUUGUGAGAGAAUGAUCUCUAUUUAUAGAAGAGAGUUUCUAGUUUCAUUCUGACAUUGACACGUGUCAUGUUGUGAUUGGCUUCUGAUGUUGACAUGUGUUGCACUAUGAUUGGCUUUAGAUGUCAACAUGUGUCGCGUUGUGAUUGGCCUCCUGGUUUGAGGGAAACUCUUCUGGCUCCUUGACGGUAUAACGUUGAUCGAUGCUCAGUAGUUUCGGGAUUGGUCAAGUAUGGUACAAACAGGUGUAAUAUAAUCAUACUCAAUACUACUCUCACAUAAUAGCUGGGUGAUAAAUCGCUAGUCACCUAUGAGUCAGAACGAUAAUAAAGGUCUGUACGAAGACUGUGCACCUAAAUUGGAUCCAAUAUGACCAUAUGGUGCGGGAUGUGACAUUAUAUACAGGCUUGUGCCAUCACUGGCGGAGCUACACCCACGGCUACAGUAGGCUGUAGCCUAGGGAGGAUUUUAACAAACUGCUGGUAUAAUAGUUUAUAUAUGAGUUUGUUGUUGCUUAUUGUAUGUAUAAUAGCCCACAUAAAUCCUGCCAAAAUUAUUAGUUAAUGUGUUUCUUAAUUUAUAAAUAAUACUUUUAUUACCUUUUAUUAUUUUAUUAUUUUUAGGCUAAAAGUAAAAAUGGUAAAUUAAUACAUAAUUAGGUUUCUCCUAUUCCCCAUGCUUUUUACCUAUUCGUUCAAAACAAAAAAAUUAAACCCUCUACCCUAAGAAAAGAAAAACUAUGAAUCACCAUCAAAUUAUUUUCUAAUGAAAUUCAACACUAGAUAUGCUCUUCAUGUCUUCAUUUAACCUAUUUCUUGAUUCAAUUGUUCAUUCCAUAUAUCUACAGCACGACUUGAAUUGGUAUCCCCUAACCUUUUUUCUUUUGGGUACUUGUUAUCAACAAAAGUGAUAAUAUUUGUUCUCUUUCUAUUGCUUUUUUGUAUGCAUGUUUUAUUUGUGUAAAAAUUAGUUGGAAAGUAAUUAAUAAACUUGUUUGGAUUAUUAGUACUUCAUGUUCCUACUUUUAUGUAGAUUACUAUAUAAUUUUAUGUAGGCAAAAAAAAAAUUCAUAAGAUUAUAUGCUAAUGAUUUUAGUUAGCCCACCCAAGAAAAAUUUUCUGGCUCCGCUAUUAUGUGCCAUAACUCUGGCAAAAUCACAAUCACCCUAAGUGCAGUUUUAUGAGUUCAACGUUAUUCUAUCACAUAUCACAUCAUCGAUAAUUCACAUAACCAAACAUAACUCACAUGAGCUUACCUGAGCGUCCACAGUACCAUAAUUAUAUAUAAUGCAUCAUAUACGAAAUAUAAAUUCAUAUGCAUGGCAUUUAAGGUAUACUUUCAUUUAAACACAUAUUUCUGGGAAAAUAUCAAGUAUAUAAAUAUAUACUGAAAACCAAAAGCCCACUCAUUGGUAUGUCGAAGGGUCGUAGCCCCCGAGUCGCCUUUGAAUACUCUCGUCCUCGUGAUAAGUCUCACCUAUAUGCGAAUUAACUAUAAAAACGUUAUUUUAGAGCACAUACAAAAAAUUAGCUAAUAACUCUCAUACAAUGCUCAAUUUUUGUAUUUGAAUAUAUCACAGUGACCUACACAACCUCAAGAUCAUCCCUAAAUUUUUACAAUAUUUUUCUGACCCCUCACGCGCUGCCACGCACCGGCAAGGGCAACGCCUUACUCGCCCCCACGCGCGGCCACGUGACAAGCAUACUGAUGGCGUCAAUCAACAUCAUCAGGAAUAUUCUAGGGAAUAUUCUGUUAAAACCCAAUGGUAACUGUUAAAGAUGACUGACGGCAUGAGCAUAUUCUGUCAACCUUGACGGAAUAUACUCCUUUCUUCUCCGAUGAGUCGUCGGUCGCCGGCGACUUCGCCGAUUUCUUGGUAAAACUUUAAAUCGCUUAUUCUUCUUCGUUUCUUCGCCAUUUUUCAUGAAAUUGGUACCAAAAUGAAGCUAAUAACAUGUAGAAUCACUUUGUAUAAGUUUCAAGGCUUAAAAUCUACUAGUUUUUCCCUGAGAAAGCUCGAUAGUUCGGCUUACCUAGAUAUGCGUCGAUCUCAGCCCUCCGACGUCCAAUUCCUUCCAACGAAGUACCCCAAGACUCGUGAGGACCUCCUUAAGCUUCCUAUAAGCUUCAAAUUCCCUGAAACACAAGAUUUUACGUAUGCAUGAACAAUGCACAAAGUCGGAGCUAGGGUUUCCACGUGAAAUCGAAGGUUUCCUUACCUGAAAAUGGUUCCUUUGAAUUCGUAUGGUUCUCACGAACACAAUGGUGAUCUUAAAACCUUCGAUCUACAAGGUUUAAGAGGGUUUCUGGGUUGGUCCGUACGAAGAAGGGAGAGAGAGAAUGAGAAUCUGCGAGAGAGAGGGCACGGGAAGGAAAGAGAAAUAAGAUAGGUGUGUGUAUGGUCCAAAAGCCACCAAUCAAAACUAAGAAAAGUCUUAGUUGUAAUUGGGUCACCAAUCUAAAACAAUUUAACCCAAUAAUAACUUACACACAUCAUUUAACAUCCGAGGGUAAUUCCGUCAUUCUACGUCAUCGAGAAUAAUCUUCCGGGACGGGCUGUGACAAUAUCAGCAAUAUUUAUGUUAAUUAUGAAUAGGUCAAUCAUGUAUUUAAUACUUAAAUGUAUUUAAAAUAAACACCUUAUCAAUGUUUUCUGAACUGUGCUCGAUUUUUCUCCUUCGCUUUGGUUCUGUCCCAUUGGAUUUUUCAAGCAAGAUUUUAUCAAGGCAACUAUCAUUAACUGUGAACAUAAUUUAUCAUUGAGACACGAACAUCCAAGGGGGAGUGUCGUGGAAAAAAAUGUAGAUAUCUUUAUACGUUGUAUGGUAGUAAACCAUCAUAAACACCAUAAAUAUGUAGAAACGCCCUUGCGGUACCUUUGAAUGAUAACUCAUGUAUUUGUUGCCCUAUGUAAAGAUGGCUAAUGAUAAUGGAAGACUAAUUUUCUCAUCCCAAUCUCUCCUGUCUCUCUUAUUCUCUUUUCUCUAUAUUUUAUUUCCAACAAGUUGUGUUUUUUUUUUAGUAUUGUUAAGCAACCCAAUAGAUUUUAAUCGUAGUCUUUGUUUUUUUUCUUUUAUAUUUUUAAUCAAUUUCAGUUGCUUAUCAGUUCUAGCUAAUUGAGCUCUUUUACAGCAAUUUUUUUCUUUAAAUAAAAUUAUUAUUAUUAAAAAGAGUGAGAAAAUUCGAAAUUGUUACAAUAAUUUAAAAAAAAUAGGAGUUUCAAAUCAUGAAGGUAGAGGGAGUUAACAACAUUUUAGGGGGGGGUGUAGUCAAACUAGGAUUUUGAAGGAUUUUAAAAGUGAUAGAUUUGAUAGGAUUUAAGAUGAUUAAAGACUCUUACAAAAUUCAUAUGGAUUUUAAAGAAUAUGAAUGGAUUGCGGUGGAUUGUGGGGGAAGGAUUUGAAAUCCUAGGGGGUGAGGUUUGAUUCUUUUUAGUUUUGGUUAUAUAUGGUAUGCUUUCAAAUCCCAGAAAAUCCACAACUUUUUAAAAUCCUUUAAAAUCUUAAUUUUUUUAAUACACUUAGAUUUGGAUGGAUUCUAAAAUCCUUUAAAAUCUUUUAAUUGACUACACCUAGAUUUGAAUGGAUUCUAAAAUCUUUUAAUUGACUACACCUAGAUUUUAAUGGAUUCUAAAAUCCUUUAAAAUCUUUUAAUUGACUACACUAUGAUUUUAAAGUCUUUAAAAUCCUCUCAAAUCCAAGUUUGACUACACCCCCUAAAGAUUUUAAGGAAAACUAAUGAAAAUGGCUUGAAAACUUUGAGUUUUAACUAGGGGUGGGCAAACGGGUACAGGAACCGCGGGUAGGGGUGGGUAAUUCAAGUUCGGGGCAGGUAUGGGACAUGUCCAAUAUUUCUAAACACAAAACGGGGCGAGGCUGUUCGGGUAUAUGAAAUUAUCGGGGCGGGGCGGGUCUUAAAAUAGAAGGGAACGGGCCCCCAGCCUGACCCGUUUCUUUUCCUCAUCCCUAGUCUUCUCUAUCUCUCUUCCCCGACACUUUUCAUUUCACUCAAACCCGGCCCAUUUCUUUUCCUCAUCAGUCAUCCCUAGUCUUUUCAAUCUCUCUUCCCUAACUCCUUUCAUUUCACUCGUACCUCGAGACCUCCUCUUAACUCGCUCCCAGCCUCCCACCGUCCUAGCUCCGUACCUCGCCAUCAUCAUCGUCAGACCUCCAUCUCUCCUGAUUUACUCAUGUCUUCCUCGCUGCGUCCGCCGCCAUGUCUCUCUUUCUGUGACGAACUUAAAGGGACGGACGAAGUUGAACAACUCGAAACGACGCCUCUUCUGUCUGAAUUAGACCCAUAUUUGCAGCGCACGACUCUGCUCAUAGUCCUCUUCGGUUUUAAGGUAUUACGUUUUAGAGAUUUAGGAUUGAAAAUUAAAUUAGGGUUUUCUAGAUUUAGGGAUUUUGUUGGGUUCUUGAACCUUGACCUCUGUUAUGUUCCAAUUUCAAAUAUAUAUUGAAUUGAAUUUGAAUCGACUGUGUUUGAAACUUCUGUUGAAUUAAAUUGAAUUUGAGCAGGAGAAGAGGCAGAUGUGGGUUGGGCAAUGUCGAAUCUCAUUGUGGGUGGUGAGGUGGGCAUGGCGGGCGACAAUAUUGACUGGCAAUGGUACGGGCGGUGCUAUUAAGUUGCAGAAGAAUACGAAGGAGGGGGUGUGGGCAUGGGUGGAUAUCGCAAGCUCAAUUGAAUUUUUUCUGGUUUUGUUUGUGAUUAAUUGCUUGUAUAUGAUAGUUAUUGAUGGAUCUUGACAUGCCCAUUUAAUUGUUAUUGGCAAUGCUAGUUUGAUUGUAACAAAUUCAAACCGAUUGAAUUGUAUCCCAGAAAAAAAAAUCAAUAAAGGAACUGAGGACCCGGCCCGAACCAGCCCAUUUCAACCGGGCCAGGUUAGGUUCGGUUCUUAUAUUAGAAAAUGUUGUUCCCGGCCCGUUUCUCUUAAGCCCGGAUCCAGUCCGAUCACUUCGAAAUUGGCCCCAACCCGGCCCGGGCCCACCUCUAGUUUUAACGAUAAGGACAAAAUAAAGGGUAAAGUGAAUAGUACCAAGUUUGACUUUUUAGUGUAAAAAUGUAAUUUUUCGUUAAAAUAAGAUUUUAAUGGAUUCUAAAAUCCUUAAUUAAGAAAUUAGGCUUCAACCCAACUCAUCUUUGCAACGCCGGUUCCACUUCACAUCAACAGGCAAUGUUUUCUCCUCAACAAAUAGUAUUCUUUUAUGAGACAAAGACUAAUGAGGGUGAUAUAUAUAAUUAAUAAUAAUACUUGUGUUCCCUUUGUGAGUGAAUGCACUUAUUUUACCAUUCUCUAAUAAUGUAUCUUUAUUAUAUAAAUUUAUAUCAUGUGGAUAUCUUCCUAUAAAAAAGUUAUUCAAAUUGGAAAUCCUUACGUCAUCAAAAUAUAUAAAAAAAUGGACGAUCUCAUCGUAAAUAUGUUAGUUACUCACACUAUAACUUUGUAUAUUCCCUCACGUAGGAAACGCAAUAAUUAUCCUCUAAUUAAUUCUUCUUGAGAGUAGAAUUUUUAUUGUUGGUUUUUCGCAACCUUCAGACCUAAAGCUGAUAUGGACCUCUCAUUGUUUUUUGGGUUGCCGUUCUUAUUUUGCUUGGUCCUUUUACCUUUUCUAUAGUUGUUUAUCUAGUUCUUUUGAGCCUCGUACUAAUUUUUAAUGUAAUGAAAAUUAUCUUCGUGAUAAAAAAAAAAAUCAUUAGUCCUCGUAUGAACAUGCGAUGUAACACACUUUCAUGGAACAACAGAUGAUAAAGACGAUAUCCAAAUUUUCUCUGUGUUAUGUGGACUUUCCCAACCAAAUAAAUAAUAACCAAUAAACAAAUAAAUAAGAGUUUAACUUCAAACAUUGAGAAGCGAAAUUCCAACACUACGAGCCUAACUUUUGUCUUCAUCAUCAUCAUAGACUAGUCUCCUAUCCAUCAACUCCUACAUCAAUUUUUUUUUUUACUAGAUUGUAGCUCACUUUCAAAAGAGUUACGUAAAGUAUUUAAGCACCAUAAAAGAAAAUUAAACGACAACGAUUGACAUAAUAUUAGUAGUAUCAUGGUCUAAAAUAUUCAUAAUAUCUUGAUAUUUUUAUUGAAAUUUUCGUGUUUUUAGACUACCUAUAUUUUCAAUAUCAUCGAUAUUUUAAACCUUGCUAAGUCACUCAUGUAUCUUACCAUGCAAUGUAUAAAGUGUAAAAUAUUGUACUAAUUCAUUAUAUAUAAAUGAUUAUAGUGUGUUUAAACUUCUUUCAUUAAUUACUACAUAUUUUCUACACUCACAAUGUUUGCCAGCUCGCUAUAUAAUCAACUUAAAUCAAUUAUAUCUAUCAUGUAAUGCAUUUCCUUCCAAUUUUUUGUGAUAAACUAAUAGAUAAUUGACUAAAUAAACAUCCUGCAAAGUUUCAAUAAAAAUUUCCAAGUUUUUCUUACAAUUUCCGUAGUUUUUAUUCAAUUUUUAUCGAUAUCGAUAAUAUCCCGAUAUUUCCAUCGAAAUUUCCGUAUUUUUAGACUACUGAUAUUUCCGAUAUCAUCGAUAUUUUAUACCUUGGUAGUUAUACAUUUUAUCGGCCUCAUUUUUAUGCAACUUAUACAUUAAAUUAUUGUCAAAAUGUACAUAUAAAGUAGCUGAUCAACGAUGAGAUUUUAGGCAACCAUUUUCUUCUACGACGUCAAAGGUUGUAGAGGUGGCCAUGUGCACUACAUGCGUAAAUCAACUAGGGACUUGGAUCCUCUCUUAAGCCCAAGGAGAGGAUCCUCCUAACCAAAUGACUUGGAUUGUUGGAUGAAAAUCUAACGAUUACAAACAGAUGAUCUCUUUAAAGUUAUAAUAUUUAUUACCGUUGAAUUUUCAUCAAACGGUCAAAUAUCAUUGGUCAAAAGGGUCCUCUCAUUGGGCUCAGAGAGGACCCAAGUGCAUCAACCAGAACUAUUGCUAUUAUAACAAUUCAUGAAAUCAAUUAAACAAUAAUUUUCCUUCUGGCAGGCAUGUUAGUUAUUUCUUAUUUGGCCAAUUGCCUAGUGGAUUUGGUAGAUUUAACCUCUCCACCACAAACACAUUUAAAAAUUUCCAGAAAUCCGUAACGUAAAAUUUAAAAAUAAAUAUUAAUAACAGCAAGUUCUUUUCACCGACCGUGACCGAGAUCUGUCACAUAUCCAAAAUGUCACCUCCUUAUCGCAAAAACCAAAUUUGACUUGGGAUAAAUACCGUGUACAAAUUAAACGCGUUUCUCUAGCUUUUGCGUAAAGAGGCAACCCAACACUAAACUAGGAAAACGUUGGGUUGACAAAGAUACCAUGAAGAAUAAAGGGGUUAUGCAAUCCACUUUGCAAGAUAAUCAAAGUUUCCCGUUGUAGACUUGUCUUAACCCAACACUAAACUAAGAAAACGUUGCUUUCCCGUUGUAACAUGAAACAACAUUAAACAACAUUAAACAAUAUUAAAUAACAUUAAAUAACAUAAAAAUUAUACAACAUAAAAAAAACCAUUUAACAACAUAAAACUUAAAAUGCGUACUUCUUGCUUCUUGUGGCCUAAAGAUGUGCAACAAGAUCUUGAUGUAGGUACUUGUUUGUGGCACGAAAACGUAUCAUCCUAGCCGUUGGAUUUGAAUUUUUUUUGUUUUCGGCCAAAAAAUUUUAAAUUUAAAAGUUGAAGAUGGUGAGAAAUAUGAUCCUACACUGUUCAUUAAAAUAUUAAUUUCUUGAAUGACCAAAAGGCUAAAACAAGCCAUCCUUCGGUUGGAGAUGCCUAAGGAGAGACUAGAGAUAGAGAGUUUCCUAUAUAUGAUUUUCAUUAACAAGAUUGAAAUGAUUUCAGAGAGAAGAUCAAGUAUGGUUAUUUUUAUUUUGUAGAGUGUAGACAUUAUAACUAUACAUUCAUAAUAACAUGAGUAAUGUUAUAUUUAUCACAUUUGUACUCUUUCUCUGAUAAAGGUAGGGUUCAUCAACACAUGUGGGUUCUAUUUGCCCAUCAACACAUGCGGAUCUCAUUUUUAUUAGAAAAAUAGUACAAAUAUGGUACGGAAAAUAUGAUAAGAUCGCAAUUUUGUAAUAACAUAUAUACUCAACUAUUUAUAUACCGACCCAUCUCCUUUUAGUGUAGAUAAUAUCGUUUGUUAAAAAAAAUGUUGAACUUGUCAUAAUCAUUGAAUCCAUUUACCAUGAACAAACGGCAGUUUACUAAACUUGCCCUCAGAGUAUAUAUAAAAGGUGAAUCACAAUCUAUUGCAUUAAUAUAAGGAAACAAUUUAUAGGGUUUGACGGGUGACUUAAUAUGCUAUAUGGCACAAUGAAAAUUAAGUUCACACUUUAUCCCAAAUAAGGUGUUGCACCUUUAAUUUAUGGAUGCUGGUUUGACGUGUGACCGAAAUAAUCAAAUUGUAGCCAUUAAUCAUUUUACAAGUAAUAAUAUGUAGUUUUUACUGUUUACGAUUCACACAACAAUCUGCUAGGAAGUAGAAAAUGCAGUACUUGUCCCUCUCACAGAAGUCAUGAAUAAUUAUCAAAUUCAAAGAUAAAGAAAAACCACACAAUUUACAAGAGGAAAGAAAAUGAAGGGAUAAAGAAAGUAAGAAAGGAAUACCUCUAUGGGAGGACUCUUAUUUGCUUCAGAUGCCUACAAUAUUCAUCAUAUAAACACUGAUUAAGUAGUCAUCGAAAACCAAAACAAAUGUCGAACAUAGGGUGAAAAACAGAAAGAAUAACCGCAGCUCAUCAUACCAAUAGAGAUAGAACUGCCCGAUGCCCAAGUAUGACUGAAAAAUGGCAAUCCAAACAUGGCGCCUUCUAGCUCAUCAAACUGUCAAAACCUAGGUUCCACCAAAAAGAUACAAGUCACCUAGUUACUUGUAAAAUAAAAAUCUGUUUCAAAAUAGUGGAAAAUAUUAUUAACAUUGUUCAAAGUCCACAUUGUUGUACCUACCAAGAAACAAGAAGGAUUGUAUCUUAUCAUGAAAAAGAACAUAGGUACCUUUUCAAUUGUAAUUGUACAAAAAUGAGAGACCACUUCCGAACUUCUCUUGGAACUUCAAUCAAUUUCUGCCCACUUUUAAAUGCCUUGACAUACUUAAGCCUAUUUCUUUGAGCUUCAGUUUUGGCUUCUGAUGCCUUUAAAUUUCUUAAAGAUUCUUACCAAGUUUUACAAACUCACUUCUAUACAACCAUUUGUCAGUAUACAUACCAUUUUCUUUGAGCUUCAGUCUUUGCAACACCAAAACCCCCCAAAUAGACCCGGAAUUUUGCAAUGUGCAGGGAAUAUACAAAAAAAACCCUCCUAUCCAUCUAAAACGAAAUCAGAACCCAAACCACAAUCAAAAUCCGUAAAAUUAAUUUAGCCAACCCUAAAUCUAAUAAUUCUAACAAAUAUUAUAGUAUCAAUUGAGAGAGAAUUUGAGAAGAUACCUAGAGAUGAAAGGAAGAGCGUUUCCUCUGAUAGGGGUUCCGUGAAAGCAUCUGUUGACCAGAAAAGAAAAGGCAAAAAACCCCAAAUUACAUAUCAAGCAAUUAUAGAUAGAUCGAACCUUGAAAAUUGAAAUUUCAAACAAGAGAAAGGUUAUAAACUUACAACGAUCUGGGUGUUGGUUACUGGGUUUGGAUUUGGGUUUCUGAUAAGAGAGAGAAUCGUAUGAGGAACCGAUAGAGGAACUGCACCGGCAACAGAGAGCAACUGAUAUGGUGGAGAAUAGAGAUGGGCAAAAUAUCCCGGUUAUCCGCCCAUUUAAAGUUCACAGUUACGGUUAUGGUAAUUGAACGGUUAUGGGUACUACCCGUGGUUAUAACGGGUAUCUAUUGGUUAUGGGUAUUAUCCGCGGUUAUAACAGGUAUUCAUUUACCCAUUUAAUUUCAUAUAUGUAAAAUUUAUAAUAUUUUUAACAGUUAUAACGCGUUUUUGUAUUUGUUGCCAAACUUUUCGUAUACAAAAAAUUUGAAGCACAAGAAGCCAACAAGGAGAAAGAUCAAAGAGCUUACUUGAAGCUUAUGAUCUAUCCUGCGGUUAAUAGAAAGUACUGGUAUUAGUGUAGAAAAAUGUUUGUUUUUAGAAGCUUUAUUUUGUAAUCAUAUGAAUUAUAAUUAAAGACUUGCUUGGGUGUAGUAAAAAAAUAUCGUUUGUAAACUAUUAUUUCAAUUAUUAGAAUUGUAUGAUGACCUAAAUGAUUAAAAUAGAGAAAUGCAUGCUAAAAUGUAUUUAUAACAGUGUUUAAUUGUCAGAUUUUUUUUUUUUUUGUAAUUUUCAAGUUGUUAAAAAAAACAUGCAGAGAGGUGAAAAAAGGGAUUAAAAAAUGAUAAACGGGUUCAAAACGGGUAAACGGGUAAAUGAUUAUGGUUAAAUAGGUAAACGGUUAUGGGUAAAUGGGUACACGGUUAUGGGUAUGAGUAUAACCGUUUAUGCAAUUACCCAACGGGUAAACGGCUAUGUGGGUAUGAACAUAAAUGGUUAUGAGUAAAUAACCGCGGUUACCCGCCCGCUAUAACCAUUGCACAUCCCUAAUAGAGAACAUACGAGAAUAGCCGCUUGGAUGGUCAAUCCAAGAAGAGAAAAUCUUGCCACAAUCACGGUACUUGAAAAAAAAAACAAUUUUAAAGGAGGGAAACAAUCGCGCCUUUUUUUUAAUAGACUCUGUCGACGAUAUUCUUGACAAAUAGUCGGGUGAGCUUAUUUUUCACAACAUUUUAUUUAGGACUAGGUUCGGUUGGCAAAUCGUGUCAAAUUUCUUGUGCCAUUUGCCAGCCACAUAUACAUAAUUACCAAAAAUCAGUUACCGUUCGCCAACCAUCUUCUUGCGGUUGCCAAAAAUCGGUUCAACCAAAAUGAUUGGCUGGUUCGGUUGGUAAAUGGCACAACCGGUGGUUUCCACUUCUUCCUCGCUAUCUUCUAGUUGCAAGGGCUCAAUUUGAUUUUCAGAUUGGGAUGCUUGUUCGGUUGCAUUGUGUGGUUCAUUUUGGGUUAAUCCAUGUUGUGCACUAGCAAUUAAUUGGCUAGACUCCAUCAUCCUAAACAUAAGCAACACAUAUACAUUCAAAAUCAUAUAUAUGUACGUGUAUAUAUAGUAUCAGUAAUCAUCAUGUUAUCAAUUUUGUUAACAAUAUUUUCUAUAUUGAUUAUGGCAUGAAUCAUAUACAUAUACAUAUAUUUUUUAAACCCUAAAACUAAGGAGUUAUUUAUUUUCUAAGCCCUAAAAUUGAGGAGUCAAGCAUGUAAAAAAAUACUUAAAAUAUCUAAAUAGAAAAAGAAAAAAAAAAAAAAAAAUAUAUAUAUAUAUAUAUAUAUAUAUCGGUAGGUAUGGCAUACCGCCGACAUACAAAAUCAAUUACCAAAGCCAUGCCAUUAAUUGUCGGUUCGGUAAAAUGCCAACCGAUUAUGAAAAAAUGCCAAAACUAUACCAUACCAUUUUGAGCCAACCGGUAUGGUUCGGUCGGUAAAUCGGCUUAUGGCAAAAUUUCUCACCCCUAAUUUUAUUUGUCGCCUUAAACCUAUUGGUUUCUAGCCUACAAUUUGGAUAUUUUGUUGGGGAAAGAUUUUUGUACCAAUAAAAUUUUGCUUUGUCAGCUUAGGAUUUGUCGGCAAAAUGACAUUUUCUAGUCGUUAUAAUAUUAGGUAGAUCAAAUUUGUAAACUAUGUGAUGUGUCACCAAUAGGAAAAAAAUUCAGUGUGCUGAAAAUACAGUCUAGAACACCAAGUGUCAUAAUAUAUACUUGGUUGGAAAUUUUUUAUUUUCAAGUUUCCAACUAAUUGUAUUGUAACAGUUGGUGUUCCAAGCUAUUUUCUCGAUGCGUUGGAAAAUCUCUUCACCAAUUAAAAAUAAACAUAUUAAUUAACACUUAAGUAAUAAUCAAAGUAUCAACAACUACGUCAUAAAAUUUACGAAAUAUGAUCUUAAUUAAUGAUCUCCAUGGCAUUACCCUUUAUCUUAGCGUAUACGUACGCCUUCACAUGUUUAUUUGCUGAUAUGCAGCUUGAGUAAAAAUUUCUUUUUAAGAACAUAUAUGUGAAUAUAAACAUAUAUAUCUAGUGAUCCAUGUUGCGUUAUUUAAAAAUAAACAAAUUAAUUAAUUAAUAAAUGAACUGUGUGCAUGUCUGUGUAGAGUAAUCCAUAUGCAUGCUUGAAUCCUGAUCACCACGAAACCAUAAUAUAAGCUACUCAAGGCCCGGAAGCUAGGAUUGAAGAGAAAAACACCCAGUCAGAUUAAGCCAAUAUAUCAAAGUUAAUACUUCGAAAUGUAAGCUUUAAGAUAGAAAAAUCACUUACUACCUUGAGCAGUCGAGCUUCUUCAAUGGCAUGAAGCUUUUAGCAUGAGAUUGACUGCAUCACAACUAAAAUUUUCUCUUGGAAACUACAUAAGGAAUAGCAUGUAUACCUAUAACGUUGAGAAAGUACGCCAAUUUUUUCCUUCUGCACAUUCAUGUUUAAAAGUAAUCCUCAAAUGAACUUGCCCACAAUGAAAUGCAAUUUGAGGUAGUCGAGUGUGUUCCAUUUCCAUUCCAUGGGAAUUACUACUAAACUUUGAGAUGGUAAAGGAUUCAUGAAAUUUUUUACUUUUGAGAUAGCCUCUUUAACAUUUCUCGACUAUAACAAUGAGGGAAUACUUCACCUUGUAUCAAACAAGGGAGAGCGAAAAUCAACUACUAAUAGCAUCACAGAGCCAGCAGAAGAUUGAGGAGGCCAUGAAGAGGAGAGAGAAAAUACACUCUUUUUUUUUGUAAGGACAGAGAUAAUACAUUCAGUAAGGGGUACUGAUGUUUAUAUGCAAUGCUGAUUAGGUUUAAAUAGUCCUAUUUAUUCUGUACAGUGCCAAUAUUACCACCCGUUAGUACACUUUCAAGACACUGUACUCCAGUGUGUGCGCUAUGCAGUACGUAGUACUCCUCAUUUUUUGGGGAAAUUCAUUAUUGGUCUUCAUAUCUUCUUUAUUUUCCUUUUCCUCAUUGUGCCACGUGUUUAAAUCACUAAUUGUAGGUAAUCUUUCAAUUUAAUUAAAUCUUAUGUAAAAAAAGAUAUUUAAAUAUCAUUUAGUAUUACAAGAUAGUGAUAUUCCUCUUUAGUAUAAAAUUUUUAUAAUUAAAAGCGUUCAGUUUUUUAAUCUUCAUUUGAAUACUAUCUAUAAAGAAAAAUUAUUCGAAUAAGAGAUCGUUUAUGCAUUCAAAUGUACAAAAUGCAUCGACAGUGUGAGAACGAAUUAAUAUAUUUUUGAUGAAGUACAAUUAUUGAAUACAUUUGAAUGAUCAAAUGAUAUAUGAUUCAAAAUACAUAUUAAGAUAAUAAAUAUAAGUGAAUUGUUAUUAGCACUCCAAGAAUCUUAUUAUACACUCUAAAUUUUCUAUAUUUUGAAUGAAAAAUAAAUUUAUGAAGAGUGUAGAAUGAGAUUUUUUAAUGCUAAUAACACUUCUCUAAAUAUAAUUAUGAAAUUAAUAAAGUAAAGAUACAUGACCUCGUGAAUGAUGUAUGUAUUAUUCAAAAAAUUAUUAAAAACAAAUUGAAAAAGGACGCUGUUGUUGCCACCACUUAUGCAAUGAUCGUCGCUGCCAUCACCAACCCCCAACACCCCAUUACAGCUCAUAAAAGCACAUCAUAAGCAAUUUAUGAAAUAAAUUUACUGGAAUACUAAUUUCCCCCUUAGUUUAGGUCACCAAUGUUUAAAUUUAGGGGUGUGAUAUGCACAUACCUUUUUUUGCUUCUCUCACACUUUUUUUGUUGUUGUCGAAUCAGAUGAAUUGAAGAAGAUCAAUUGACAGAAAUUAACAAGGGGUGUAUGAAAAGUAAAAAUGGAUGUGUAGAUAACACAUCCCUAAAUUUAUCACAACUUUCAUUCCAAAUUUAAUUUUUAUGCGUAGUUUUGUUUGUUCAAAUUUACUUUGACAUUUCAAUUAGUAUUAAAAUCUAAUUUAAAUUUUAGCGUUCAAGCUAGAAAAAGUGUUCCAUUUAAUAUUUAAUCUCAGUUUUUCUCUUUAUUCUUUUAUUCCGAUUUGGUUGCAUCGUAUCUCCAUUUUUCUCGGUGUUGUAUGUUCAUAAGGCCUGGGAAACGUUGGCACGGAGUGAAGGGUACUCACUUUUUGGCCCAAAAUGCAUAAGGCAUGUAGAUAUGUUAAUCAAAUUUUGUAAACUAAAGGAUAUAGAAGUUGAUACUUAGAUUAUAAUUUAAGAUAAUACUAAAGAGACUAAAUUUGCAAACUAAAUGAUGUGUCACCAAUAAAAAUAAGCACGUUUAUCAACGCUUAAGUAAUAAAUCAAUCAUCAACUUUCAUGUCCUUUAGUUUCCAAAAUUUAAUAUACAAAUUUAGUCUCCCAAGCAUUACUCUAUUACUUAAGUAUUGAUUAACAGACUUAUUUCUUAUGGUGACAUAUUAUUUAAUUUACAAAUUUAGUCAACCCAACAUUACUCUUUUGAAAUUGUCUUGUCCACUGAUAUAAUUCUAUUUUUCUUGUGAUCAAAACUUCAAAUGUUAGCAAGUCGCACGUAAAGUCACUUCUGAGAGAAUGUGCUCACAUUGUAGUUGAAAGAUUAUGUGGCUAGCAACAUUACAAAUUUAAUUUGGUAUAAUUUAAAAUAUAGAUUGAGGAAAAAAUGAUCACAUUAACUAGAAACUGAAAAGGUUUCAGCACAGUUUGUUCAAGCAAGAAACUCAAUUUUGAUGCUACCGAUCUUAACAGCCUGAGCGCCGUACCUGGGCACUAAAGUCACCACCACACUCUCAUCAUCUUCAGCACCCAAAUCCUCCAACAGGUCCGUUAACCCCAACCUUAAACAACUCUUGCUCUUUUCCUUCUGCUUAUGUGGAACACUCACAAAACUCCCAGCAAACUCGCUCUUGUCGGGUCCACUCGGUGCCGCAUCCUCAUCGUCCACGUCAUUCACAUACACAUCAAACUUCACAGCCACAUCUUUGUCAAGCUCAAUCCCCUGAAUCACCAGUAUCUCCUCCUCAUCCUCUUUCUCCUUCUUGCUCCUCUUCUUCGGCUUCGGCCUUGACACCACCGUACUUAUCUUUGUCUCCAAAUUUAUUGGAAAAUCUUUACCCGCCACCACCUUCCCCGAUGACGUCGUCUCAGCGGCCUUCGCCACUCCAGCCGCCUUUGCCUUUCUCGCAAGCUUUGUCCGACGUGGCGUCGGUCUAGACUUGAGCCAUGGAAUCUCAACAUCUUCAUACGUAUACCCUAGCUUUUUAUUAUCAAGAGUGUCCCUCACCGUGACCCUAACAAGCUCAGCAUUCUCGUCAUAAAACAAAAACCCCGUAUCCAACCAAUCCUUAUCGUUAAUAUCUUUAUUUUUAGUCCCUAUACUUUUCCAAAUAUUCCACAUUCGAUCUAUAUUCGAAUGGUGCGAAAAAAAUAUUGGAUCCCUUGCAGCGGAGUAAAAAUUCCCCAUGUCUUCAAAAUUAGGUUGCGUGUUAUCUCCGGUCCAUGUAUGAACCGGACCAUGUGGGGUCGUUUCGAUUGAACCGGCCCCUGGAUCUGGUUCGGUGCCAGCCCUGUAGGGCGAACCAAAGAACAACAGCGGUUUCUUGGAGUUGGAAACCAUCUGCCUAUACAUGAUUUUGAGGUUGGCGUCGAUUUGAGCAUCCUUGGACAUUGUUUCAUCCGUGCCGUUAAAGUCAAGAUCGAUGAGAGUCGGCGGCUGAUGGCUGGCAGCGCGGAGCUCGUCGUAAAGCGGAGAGUCCGGGUUAGCGAACAAGGCAGGGAGUUGCAUGCCAGCUGGCGCGUCCCAGUUCCAAAACGGCAACGCGAACGUCGGAUCGUCUAUGAGUUUGGCCAAGAUUCUUUCGUGGAAGUAUAGGUAGUAACGAUGGAAGGGGAAGAAAAGCCAGGAUUGAUGGAUUUGGAGCUCGAGGUUGGGGAAGCCGACUUGAUCGUACGCGCCGUCGCAAUAGGCACAGUGGAUAUCGGCUUGCUGGGUGAAGCUACGCGGAUCGUCGUCCGGGAGGGCUUUCAUGAGCUCGAUGGCUUUUGAAUAUUUUUCGAUGUAGGCUUUAUCCACGGUGUGAGCUGCCGGCCUGACGCGGAGUUUGGUAGGGGAGGGGAAUUUGAAGUCUACGAUUUUUUGGGACGUUGGCGGGCAACAGUUGGUCGGGACUGCUCCACUUGGAAAGUCCGCACCUCCGCAUUUGGCUAGGUCAGGCGGCGACACUGGCUUUGCAACAGCGAAGGGGUCGCUGCCAAGACCAGCCACUCCACCGUACAGGCUUCCGAGACCUAUAAGUACAUGUCUUCUGUCUAGGUUUACUGGAGAAAGGUUUUCAUGGUCGUGAUCGUUGGAGCUAGUGGAAGGGUUUUUGUUUUGGUCACUACUAUUAUUCGUGGCUUUGCAUGAGACGGCUUGUAAAUUGGAAUGCCUAGGGUUUUCAAAUAAGGAAAUUCGGUGAUACUUUUGGGAGAAAGGGAAGAGAGAAGUUGUGGGGAUGAUACUUGUGGUGGAGGUGACGAGUGGAGCUGACAUAGAAGCCAUGGUUACUUGACUCUGAAUACUACGUUGUAUAGGCUUUGCUUUUAUAAUGUGUUCUAGGUUUUACUUUUCUUUGCACAGGUGGCAGGCCGUACACAUUGGCGGUCCUUAAGGGUUUGACGAGGAAUACUACGUAGUCAUUUAGUACAGGGCAACCAUGCACUAUAGCACGUGGCAUGUAAUAUUUACGUAGUCUCAGAAGGUGAAGCGGUUUUGGGCUUCUUGUGUACCAAUAAUAUUUACGUACUCAUUAUUCCACUGGAUGGAUUGCGUGCACGUGAUCUUUAUUCAAACAAAUCACUAUUGACCAUAUAUUGCAAUUGGUUAAUGUUAGGCAAAUUAAAUUUUUACAUCAAAUAAUGUGGUUGCUGAUUAUUGAAUUAUUAUUUAAGUUUGAUUAAUGUGCUUAUUUUUUAUCGGUAAUACAUCAUUUGAUUUGCAAAUUUGAUUUACCUAAUAUUACCAGUUAUAAUUUGUAUAAAUGGACUGGUACCUAACAUUACCAAUUGUAAUUUGUAUAAAUGGACUCGUACCUAACAUUACCGGUUGUCCCAAGAGCACACGCUACUGCUCAAGAAGCAAAGUUCUUAUUUGCCCAAAAAAAAUCAUGGUUUUUUAAUUGAUGCUCUCAUUUUAAUUUACUAGCCCCUUACUUGGCCCUUUUUAUUUAUCAUUUUAUACAUAUUAAUAUUUUGUUUGUAAAAUAUAUUAGUGUUAGUUUUAUCAAAAUUAAAAAUAAAUAAAAAACUUAGCUUUAGUAUUUAGUUAUUGAAAUUGUAAAAAAAGUGAUAAAGUAUUGGGUGCUUUGUUUGAAAAUUUUCAAAAUGAUAUUGUUUUUACCACUGAACCCCUGUUAUAUACAGUGAUGGCUAAUUUGUCAAGUUCUACGAAGUUGGGAUACCCAGCGUUUUAGCAUAUAACAUAGCUUAGUAUUUCAAGCAUAAUUAAUUAACGAAAAAUUAGUAUCCGGUCCCUAGUUUUUACUGUUCAUUGACUAAGACCUUAUUAGUUCUCAAAUUUUGAUUCAAGUCCCUAGCAUUAAUGUGAUAAUGAAUUUACAUGUUUAUUAUAUAAUUUUUUAAUAUAAAAAUUAGUAAUUAAUUUAGGGUUUAAUACUCACACCUCUAUUAAACUUCUAAUUAAUUUUCAAUUCAGACAUUUCCAAAAUAAUAAAAAAUUAAAUUAAAUUAAGUUUGUACCUAUUAGUUUUUUUUUAUAUAUAAAAAGAUUCUCAAUUUUUAAUCUUAAAUGUACAUCUUAAAUGUACCCAUUCUCAAAUAUAUCAAUUUGUUAUAUGUAAAAUGUACCCUUUUUUAAUAUAAAAUCCAUUCAAAAUUUUUAAUCCAUGUUUAAACUUAUAUGGGUACAUUCUUUUUCGUUGAUUUGAGAAUGUAUCCAUGUUUUGGUACAAUAAAUUUUUUGUUAAUUUUGGUUAAUGUACCCAUACAUAUAUGUACACACACACACACACACACACACACAAUAUAAUAGAGAGUAUAAUUUAUAUUUUAUUAUUUUUAAUCCCAUAAAUGAUGGGUUUUAUUUAAAAUCUCAUUAAUAUAAACAAUUAUAAAUUUCAAUUUUUAAUUUUUAAUUUAAAAAAUAUAGUAACUUACAUUAUUACAUUAAUGUCAGGGACCUCAAUAAAAAACUAAAAACUAACAAGGUUUCAAUCAAAGAAUAUUGAUAGCUAGGGACCACAUCCAAAGUGUCCCUUAAUUAAAGGGUAAAUUACAUAGUAACCCCUCAGGUUUGAUGUCUAUUACAACCCCAUACAACAUCUUUAAAACAUUUCACUUUCAUACCUCAAGUACUAUUUUAUUUCAAUAUAAUACAUCUGUUAGAUUUUCCAUCCAUUAAUCCGUUAAAUGCUGACAUGGAUACCACAUUUGUGCCACGUGGCUGCCAAAUGCGUGUCAUGUGGCAAAAAUAAUAAUUUUUAAAUUUAAAAAAAAAUGAAUCUUCAACCCAAAAAAAAAAAAAAAAAAAAAACCCCAAACCCAGAUCCCAUCAACCCCCCCCAAACGAUUAUCCCUUCCCCAUAUCCCCCAUCCCACCCCCCAACCCCCCCUCUGCGACCAACCUUACCAUAGCGCCCCCCAACCUCGCGACCCACCUCACUCAAGGCCCUAAUCCACACUACCUACAACCCAGAAACGAAAAAAAAAAACAAAAAACAAAAAACUCAUCUCCCUUUCCCUGCAACCCAAAUCCCAUCUUCCCUAAUGGGUAUGGAUUUAAGAAGUGGGGUGUGUAGAGGAGGGAAGAGGGUGGGUGCGGAGGAUGGGUAUGGUGGGUUGCAAGGAAGGGGGGUCGGGUAAGAUGAAGAUGGGUUUUUUUUUUCUCUCUCUCUUCUUCUUCUUCUGGGUUGCAAGUUGUAGGUUGGGGUUUUUUUUUGGGGGGGGGGGGGAGGGAGGGAGGGAAGACGACGUGGGGUUUGGUUUUUUUUUUUUAAUUUAUUUAGAAGAUUUAGGUUUUUUGAAAAAAAAAAAAAAAUUCCACGUGGCACAAAUGUGGCAGCCACGUCAGCAUUUAACAGAUUAAUAGAUGGAAAAUCUAACGGAUGUAUUAUAUUGAAAUAAAAUAGUACUUGAGGUUAGAAAGUGAAAUGUGUUGAUGCACAAAACCGAAGGUCUUUGAACAACGUAAAUCCGAUCGUGAAUAUGCAAGUAAUGUAAAUAACACAAGAUGUAUCGUGGUUCACUCCAAUGUUUGGGCUACGUCCACACUGAUUAUUGUAUUUCUCUGAGAGGUGAGGGGGAGAGCUUUGAGAAAGCUUAGAGCUUAGGGGAUGUGAGAAGGCUUAAGAAUUGGCCUCCCUUAUUUGUGAGGGUGAUGAGUCCUUUUAUAGAAUAAGGGAUCCUCACUUAUUACAUAUUUGCCCAUUCCUUUAUUACAUAAUUACAUUUAAGUCCCCUGAGUACUUGUACAAGGUCUAAAUACGGAGGCCCUAAGUAUGGUACAAACAGUAGUCCCCCAAGUCUUCAGUCAAGAGAGUCUUUUGGCUAGAGACUUGAAAUUCUGUCCAUGUGUGAGCCGAAAUAACUAGAUGUCGUCUAGAACUGAUAUUUGAUAUGCGGCAGUGCCCAUUUUGAAAUAAUGCUCAACUAGAAGUAGCACAUGCUGCGAGGCUGCUCUGCUUGUGUUGCCUUGGUUGGCUCGACUUGUGGCGUUGAAGGUGAGAGAGUCCCUUUUAUAGAAUAAGGGCUCGCUCCUCAUUACAAAGAUGAUGGGUUAGUUGGUGCUUGCGGUGAGGCGGAUGCUCAGCUGGCGGCGAUGCUCUCUAAUGAUAGUGAGGGAGUCCAUUUUAUAGAAUAAGGGAUCGCUCCUCAAUACAUAAAUAAUAGGUGCUCUCUAAUGAAAGUAAGGGAGUCCCUUUUAUAGAAUAAGGGCUCACUCUUCAAUACAUAAAUAAUGGGCUAAGUCCCCUAAGUAUUUUUUAUGAGGCCUAAUUGAGGCCCAAUAUAUGGUACAUAAUGUAGUCCCCCAAGUCUUCGGUCAAUAGAGUCUGUUGGCUGGAGACUUCAAAUUGAAUCCAUGUAUGGGCCGAAGUGGCGGUUGUUCGGAAGCGGUAUUUGUAUACCCUGCACUGAAGCUUUAUAGGUGAAGCUUUGCAAGUGAAGCUUUGAAGCUGGAGCUCAGUAAAUGAAGCUUUUGAAGCUAGAGCUUUUGUAAAUGAAACUUUUGAAGCUGGAGCUCUAUAAAGGAAGCUUUUGUAAAUGAAGCUUUUGAAGCUGAUUCACAUGAGUGAUGCUCAUGAAUGUUUAUGUUGAUUGAUAUGAGUGAUGCUUAUGGAUGUUGACAUGAGUGAUGCUCAUGGAUGUUGACGUGAUGCUCAUGAAUGUUAACAUGAGUGAUGCUCAUGAAUGUUUAUGUAUGAUUGAUAUGAGUAAUGUUCAUGAAUGUUUAUGUAUGAUUGACAUGAGUAAUGCUCAUGUAUAAUUUGAAGUACUGGGCAUACUUUUGAUUACCUGGUUGGCGAUAAUAGCGGCAGGGUGCCGAAUAAUUUUUUGUAGUACUGGGCGUACUUUUGGUCACCUGGUUGGUGAUAAUAGCAGCAGGGUGCCGAAUAAUUUUUUGUAAUACUGGUCGUCCUUUUGGUCACCUGGUUGGUGCUAUUUUGAGCUUAUGGGCCUUCGCCCUCUACACAACAUUCCAGCCUAUUUAUUUUGGGCUUUACCGUUUUUUUUAAUUACCCUAUGAUGGGGUUUAUACAGAUGUCUCCGAAAGAUAUGAAAAAUAAAUUACAUCAUUCAAAAAUAAAUCCGACCCUCUGCUCAAUGGGUCACGCCAAUAAUUCUUUUUUUUUAUGCAUGCCAUCACCACCGCAAUUAUGUCUGCUUCUUUUUAUCUUCUUUUGCUUUCUGCUUUUGCUUUUACUUUAUCUUUCUCUUUUGGCAUAUGGCAGACAACGCCAAAACGGAAUAAUGAAUUAUUAUGAGAACAUGAAUCUUAUCUUUUGCCUGGUUUUCCACUAGUGCUCGUGGUAUUCUCAGGAGAUUGGAUCUGGGGGUAGGCGACUACCCCAGCACCUUGCCCUGAUACGUAAUAGCCUGAUGUCCCACUGCCAUCUCCAUACUGGAAGGUGUACGAACAAUGGUUAUUCUGUGUGGAACAAAUAGAAUCCGAUUGAGAUUCAAGACUGCACCUUCGAUCUGAGCAAGAAAUGAAUUGUGACGUUGAUGAACUUCUAGGAGGAGAAGCAGAGGAUCUUUGACUAUGAUGAUCUUUGAAUUCCAGAUGAAACUGAAUAAAAUGCAGGUUGUGGAGCUUGAUGUGGGCCCAGAUCUGCUUGACAGCUUUGGGGCGGGAGGAUUCCUUGACACUGAGGAAGAUUCCCAGAGCUGGAGGGAUGAGAAUCGACUUCAUAAUCCCGAUGGUGGGUUUGUGCUUGGUCGAAAGAUCAUUUCUGGCAGGGGAAAACAUGUACCAUACCUAUUGCAAAUCUUGCAAAUUCUCUGCUUCUCCAUGGAAGAUGAAGAGCAUCGAAUCUCUGUUUUCUCUCUCUCUCUCUAAAACGUUUUCGUUAUAGAGUGCCCCAAUAGAAGUGGACGGGCAGUGAGCAUGCCAUUUAGUGCCUCCUCCAAGACAGUAACUGAUACGGUGGUCUUUAUUGGCACUCCAAGUUUACUAAAAAGGGCAGCAAAAAUAGUAUUUACAGCACCCAAACUUGAAAGAUCUAGCUCCAACUAGUGGCUUUCUGUUUCAACAGCCUGAAAGCCGGCAGUGUCAUACCGACGCCGUUUGUCUGGAUCAAAUAAUAUAUUAUAAGAAAACAUGACCUUCUUGAAGAUAUCAGCUGUUUUAGAGUCAUUAGCAUUUUUGUCAGGAUGGUACUUGAGAGCCAUUUUCCGGUAAGCACUUUUGAUUUCCUGGUUGGUGGAAUUCCUAUUGAGGCCGAGGACCGCAUAAGGGUUUUGUCGGAGCUGCUUCUUAGCUUCUUGCUUCUCCGAUUUUGAUCGGCUGCCCUGCAUUUUUGAAAUUGACGGUCAAUUUCUUCACAAAACCCUAGAAAUUGCCUCUCGAUUACCUCCGAAACACAUAAUUCACGACUCUUGGUUGAAAUUUUUUUUUUUCAUUUCAAAGAAGUGGCGGAGGUAAAUCAGUUGUCACAUAGCACCGGAGCAUGAGGAAAACCUAGAAAACCAAGAGGCAGAGAGACUCCAUGCACAUCUAACCUGGAACCUUGCAGGAGAGAGCAGAGAGAAAGAGACAAGAAAGAUUGAGGGAGAAGCGAUCUUGGUGCAUCGUCUGUGAUUCCUUGGUGAUUUGCUCGAUCGGGACUCUGAAUUCGUGCAAGUCAUUGCUGUUAAGCAAGAAUCGCGAGGAGUCGGAGAGCUUGGAAAUCGAGAAGGAGAGAGGGCCUUUAGUCAGGGCUUGGAGGGUGUCGGACUCCGUCGGCCAAGAUUGGUGCACGGUCACGGCGUCUGGGCCCAUGGCGGUUGUGUAAAUGGGGGAGGUUCUAGGAGUCCAAGAAAGAAGAAGAAGCAGCGACCAUAGAUCUGGGAGUCCAUGGCGCUUGAAAGAUACGGCGAACAAGUCGGACUUGCUGCUGGGCAGCUGGCGGUGAUAAUGUUGGUGCAUGGGUUUUGGAGUGGGAGUGUUUGGAAUGGGUUUUUUGUUUAGUUUCUAUGUGUUUUUUCACAGAGAGAGAGAGAGAGAAGUGAUGGUGUUUAAGGGAUGAGUUUUGGAGCUUAGUGAAUGCUUUUUCUGGAAAAGCCCAGUGAGGUUUGUGGGUUUUUGCAGAUUUUGCAGAUUCGCGGUGGAGGUGAAAGAAUGAAAGAGAACCGACACAACUUUUCGUAUUGAUUCCCACAUACGGCGCCAAAUGUUGAUGCACAAAACCGGAGGUCUUGGAACAACGCAAAUCCGACCGUGAAUCUGCAAGUAAUGUAAAUAACACAAGAUGUAUCGUGGUUCACCCCAAUGUUUAGGCUAUGUCCACACUGAUUAUUGUAUUUCUCUGAGAGGUGAGGGAGAGCUUUGAGAGAGCUUAGAGCUUAGGGGAUGUGAGAAGGCUUAGGAAUUGGCCUCCCUUAUUUGUGAGGGUGAGAAGUCCUUUUAUAGAAUAAGGGUUCCUCACUUAUUACAUAUUUGCCCAUUCCUUUAUUACAUAAUUACAUUUAAGUCCCCCGAGUAUUUGUACGAGGUCUAAAUACGGAGGCCCUAAGUAUGGUACAAACAAAAUGUUUUAAAGAUGUUGUAUGGGGUUGUAAUAGACCUCAAACUUGAGGGGUUACUAUGUAAUUUACCCUUAAUUAAAAUAAGGGCAAAUGAAGAGGAUGGUUGAACUUGUUAAGUUUCUUAAGUGUGUCUAAUUUAAGUGUGUUGUUAAUAAACAUUUAUUAUGGAGGCAAAGAGAGGGAAGGUGCGGCAUAGAAAGAGAAGAGAGAGAUAUGUAAUUGUGAGUUGUGUUUUAUUCCAUCCCAUUGUGCAUUUAUUUAUAUUAGUUGGGAAAGUUAAUUCUUUAACCUUUUAGGAUUACAACUCUAAUAGGAAAAUAUAUAAUCUAAAAGAUAUGGUAGAAUCCCAUAAGAAUAUCCUAGAUAUGUUAGGAUUUACACAAUCAUAUUCCUAUUCCAAUAGGACUGCAAAACAUUUGUAUUUUUUUAUAAUUUUUUUGAUAAUUUGUUGGCAUUUUCAAUUUUUGUUAACAUUGAAAAUAUAACGGUUCAGAUGAAAAACCUUUGGAAAUCCAACAUUGAAAAUAUAACAGUUUGACGUUGGGCUGUGGUGAAGGAGGCUGGGCUGUCACGUGGGUGGGGCCCUCCCUCUCCCACUUGGUGAUUCAAAGGGCGCAGGCCCGUGCAACAAUUGAGGCAGCCCAUAGAGAUCCUGCGUUUCACCCAUUUGCCAUUUUUUCCACCGCUGGAGCACCAAAAUUCGGUCCAAAGGCAGGGGUUCCAAUUGCAUGGGCAAUUUGGUUUCCGCUGGAGGUGCUCUUUGUCGACUUUGUUUAUUCUUUCUUUUUAGCUUUGCAGUAAUAUUGAAGUAAUCACUCCAAUUGUAUCCGAACUUUUGUUGUCCAUCAAUUUGUAUCAAAACUAUUGGUUAAUUUACAUAUUCAGACUAACCUUCUCAUUAUUUUUAGUAUUUUUAUCAUAAAUAAUAUCUAAAAUAAUCACAUUUUAUUCAACAACCACUCAAUUAAAAAUUAAUUAAUGUUGUUUCUAAACCAUUACAUCGAGCUUUUGUAAAUACACAUCAAUAUUGCAGCGAUCCGAGGCAUUGUUUUCUACGCCUUGGAUUUGGCGAAUUGGAAAAGAGAAGAGUUACGAGUAAAAGUCCCUCACAUUAAGAGGGCUCCUCCUCGGGGAGAUGAAGAUGAUGAUCUUUUGUUUUUGUUUCUUAAUGAUUAAUCCACGCAGCAACAUAUAAUUAGAUUGUUGGGAUCUACUCAAGUUCCAUAUCACGCACUAAUAUAAAGUUUGACAAACGAAACGAAAUAUGUGCUCUCGAAAGCAAAAUGAGGGCACUGCUCCAAGAACAGGAAGGGCUCCUUGUCGAGGUUGCCAUCCGCCAUGAGGGAAAACCGGAAGAAGUUAGACAACAAUGAUGACAUCGAUUUGCAACACCCAUAUUGGGACAUCAAACUGUGAAAUAAAUACUCAAAACUCCUGGAAAGUCCUCGGGACAACAAACUUUUAUCUCCUUCAAAUAUUUCAUUUUACCAAGUUUUAUGUUUGAAGGGAGGGAAAAAAAGAGAUGAGAGAAUCCUACUCCUUAUUCUUGAAUAUAUUCAGGAAUAACUAUUGAAUAAAGAGAGAAUGGAAGGGGAUCGAAAGAGGAGGGAAGAUAAUUCUAGUCCCAAACAUAAAAAGGACCACAACUUUUAAAUUAUCAGCACGAUCAUCAUCUGAUUGAAGAGACCAUUCAUUGUGAAACAUAUCGUCAAUCAAUAUGUCUAUAUCUAUUUAUAUACCACAUUUUUGGAGUAGGAUUCUCCCCCCUCCUAUUACCAUCCCCUUCCAUCCCCUUCCAUCCCCUCCUUUCAUACUUUUUUUUUUCUUAUUCUCUAUAUAAAAAAUUCAAAACAAGAUGUAGAUGUGUCGUAAUCGCAAUAGUUUAAAUAAAAGGAGAUGGAAGGAGAGAUAAAUUACGAGGGGAGAGAAUCUUACUCCCACAUUUUUCUUCUUCAUAAACAAAAGAGAGGUUCUAGAUUACUUGACUCUAUGCCUCAUUUUUUUCAUCAAGUAUUUGUGCUAAACGGGUUCAGUUUCAAGUAUUUUAGUUUUUUGUCAAAAUUGAGAAAACUGAAAAUCAAACAUUAAUAUGCAAAAUUAAAAAAUCAACACAUAAUUAUUUAGAAAUCGCAAUAGAAAAGAAAAAAUGGAGGUUUGUGAUGAAAAAUCUUUUAUACUAAGUAAUUUAGUAUCCUUAUGCAUGAAGAUAAUCAAUUCGUUCGUUAUGGUCAGACUCUUUUUGAAUUUUUGAACACAUUCUCCAUAGGGCCUUCUUAUUUGUUCCUUCUCCGAGUUGGGGUUAUGGAAGAAGUAAAAGAAGGAACCAAGAAGAAAGUAUUGGCAACAACCGAUUUCGUUACGGGACAACUCUUGAUAUUCAUAUCGAUCUAUUAUGUACCUUUGCAUCUAGCAUUAGACAAUAACUGUCAUAGCUUUACCAUAUUUUUUUGUUUCAUUUCUUCUGAAACAAUAACACACACUUUUUUAUUAUGUGUCUAAUACUAGGAAUUCAAUACAUAAUCUUAGCAUUCAAUAGUUAUUCCUGAAUAAUUUCAUUUUUCAAUUGAUCAACCAUUUCAUUUUUCCAAGUUCAAUCAAUGUUAGUCACAUUAGUCAACAUUUAUAUAUUUUGAUGCAACAACAAUAUGUUAUUUGUAACAAGUGAUUUUGCUAGUUGGUUAAUUGGUCACAAGUUAAUGUUCGGUUCAGUUCAGCUUUUCUCUCGAUUUUUUGCGAUUCGGUUUUUUCGAUUCUCUUUAGAUUCGGUUCGAUUUUGUUUUUUUAUUUAUACUUAAUUUUUUUUAAUCUGAAAACACCAAGAACAACACAAGCAUACUCAAUCAAACAACUAUCCUUCUCCACAAAUCACAGUAAUAAUUACAUUCAUUUAGCUAAAAUGCAAAUAACUAACAAACUCACAAAAAUCGAAUAAAAACUACAAAUUGCUUACUCUUUUUCUUUGGGUUUCACUCGAAAAGUGUCGGUAAAAUUUAGGGUUUGCAAGAACGCAACCGAAAUCCAAAACGGAGGCUCUGUGGCUUGUGGGCUGCUAUUGAGUUCCAGUACGGAAAACCUUGCUUACUCUCUAUCACGGUACAAAGUAUCAGUACCUUUAGCACUGUAUUUGGUAGAACCAAAUUAAAAGCUAACAUCAAUAACAACUACCAGAGACAUAAGCUCUUAUCAAUGCUUUGGAAACAGUCAUGUAUCUCCAAGUGUAAUGAUAUAAUUAGUAAGAAAUUUAAAAGAAAAAUGGUGAUUUCAUAUAAAAUCAAUAAAAAGUUACAAUAUUGACAAUAUAUCAACAAUUUUUAUGGGGUAAAUUACAUAGGACCCCCUCAGGUUUGAGGUCUAUUACAACCCCAUACAACAUCUUUAAAAUAUUUCACUUUCAUACCUCACCUACUAUUUUAUUUCAAUAUAGUACCUCCAUUACAUUUUCCAUCAAUUGAUCCAUUAAGAGCUGAAUUGGUUGCCACAUUUGACACGCCCCGAUCCCGAUAUCCUCGGGAUAUCAGGAUGGUCACGUGCUGGCCGACACCCGAGGGUGACGAAAGCCAUUUAUUGAGUGCAAUUGCUGAAAAUAAAGGAUAGAUAAAACUUAUAAAUGUAAAAGAAUAAGGAAUAUGCAUUUAAGGAACGUGUUCAGAGCAUACAACUAACUAGAACACUAAAAGAAUGAUAUAAAAUGGAAUGAAUAAAAGAAUGAGUCUUACACCAAGAGGACUCGAAGAUGCCGAUGCGGAAGUACCUUGAUUGUCGGGAUUGUACGCCUCGAUCCUAAAUCCUGAAGGGGGCGCAAAACAAACAUGAGUGGACCAAGUUGAUAUAUAUAUAAUAAAACAGUUAUCAAUAUACUAACCCCCAGGUUUAUGAAAACAAAUAUAUAAUGAUGAACAUAGGUUUUCCGAAACCUAGCAUGAUGUGCAGUAUCUCAAAUCAUAACUCAUAUAUAAUAAUCACUAGUGAAUUGUCCGAUAACCUGCAGGCCCCAUGCCGGCUCCCCGUCUCUGAGCAGACAGUCAGAGGAAAAUACACUUCAGGCCCCAUGCCGGCUCCCCGUCCCUGUGCUAAAUAGCCAGAGGAAACACACUCCAGGCCCUAUGCCAACACCAAACCGUCGCCCGGGACGGACCGGAAUCUAUUCCUACGUCCCGUAGCGGAAAUGACCACUAGGUAAGUACAAAACCAUUGAACAUACAUAUAUUGAAAAACAACUUCAUAGUAUAAAGUCAUCCAUCAUCUAUACUAUAAAGAGGUGUUCGAAACAUGUUCUAAAUAUCAUAUCGUCAUCCAUCAGAUAUUCUAUAAGAACACGGGUUAUAGGAAAAAUAGUAAUAAUUCAAGGUAGCCUCAGUAAGCAUGUUAUCUCAAAACGUUUCAUAAAACGUAAUCAUUAAAUCAUGCAUUUCAUGUAUGCAUUUCUACUAUUAAAACAUGCUUUUGAAGGGGUCCACUCACAGUACUUAGCCGCCGAAGAGCCACGCAAACUAACGUCACCAAUAUUGCCCCUAAGCACAUAAAUGGUCCAAUUAAUAAAACUAUAUAAUAGCAAUUGGAUUUGGGAAAACGGACGUUGGAAACGGAUUCAGAACGUCGAAUUACCCUAAGAAGGGUCCCGGACGAAAACCCGAAAAGUCAACUCUAAAGUCAAUGUUGACCGGAGGUCAACGGUCAAAUUAGGUCUAACGGGUUUUAGGCUUGAAAUCCGGAUUAGGGUUUAGGUUAAAUAGGAUUAGGAUUUAUUGGGUUUUGGAAUUCUAAGGUUUUUGGGUUAAAAGGGUUUAGGGUGAAAAUGGGUGGUUUGGGCUUAAUCCCAAACUCACACACAACACACACACACACUACACAAACCCUAAAACACACACACACACACGGGCUGCACUAGGGCAGCCCUCACAACACUUCACAAAGGCCCUAAGGCCUUAUUAAAGGACAGGGCUUUAAGCCCUUUAAAGGAUACUGGCCCAAGGCCCGUCAAAAUAAGGCCCGAGGCCUUUGGGUUUUAAAAAGAACAAGAACAAAUUUAAAAGAAAAGGGGCUGGGGUCUACUGGGCUAAGAUAUAACGGGCUUAAGGCCCGUGGGGUUUUCUAAAGGGCCUGAGAGGCCUGGGUUUGUCGAAGGAGAAGGCCGGAAUUUCGGCCGGAAAACCACCCAACUUUAAAUGGCCAUAACUUUGUCAAUACUCAACGAAAUCAAGCAAGACAAAAAUGAAAGUUGUAGCCCUUGAAGCGACGAAGAGAAUGGUUCCUCACACGACGUCUAACUCGCCGUGGUUUGGCCGGAAAAUGCCUCGAAAUCCGUCGGACUCGCCGGAAACUGGGUAAGAUUCAAAUGAGUAUAACUUCUUCAAUACUCAACGAAAUUAAGUGAAACAAAAAGGAAAGUUGUAUUACUCGACGAGACGAAGAGAUUGAUACCUUACACGCCGGCCAACUCGCUGUGGUUUGGCCGGAAAUGGCCUCGAAAGGGGCGGUGCUCGCCGGAGCUUACUCCGUGCCGUCGAACUCGCAGGGUAGGGUCCGGGGUUCGUUGCAAGCCUCUCUUCGAUGGUGACUCGGUCCUAGUGAGUCCAGGGGAAGAGAGAGAUGCGAAAGGUUGAGGGAGAGAGAGACGGGAGAGCUGAGAAAGAGAGAGCUACGGGAGGGAGAAACGAAGAAGAAGAAGAGAGAGAUCAGAAAACAUAAAAAAAAUAAACAAGGUGGGCCCCACGGGCUCACCAAUUAAGGCUUUAAAACAAUUUUAAAAUAUAAAAGAGGGUUGGGGUGUUUCAACAUUUGUACCACGUGGCAAAAAAAAAACCUAAAUCUUCUAUACAAAAAAACUAAAAAAACCAAAAAAAGCAAAAUCGAACACUCCACCCCGCAAAAAUCCUAGCAUCUUCCUUUUAUUCCCCACAACCCCAAAUUCCCCCCCAAAACCCCUAAAACCCAAACCCUAAUUCCUCCCCCACAUGAAGAAAAUCCCAGUCCAAUUCAAUCCCAAUUACCUCAAAUCCCACCAUAGAAACCCUAAAUUUUGGUUCCUCAAUCCCUAGAUUUCCCACGCCUCUGUUGCCUACACCUUAUCAAUCUUUAGCUUUCUCCCUCAUCCCCUCCAUGAACGACACUUUCUCUCAUCCGCUGUUCCCCAGCAACGGCACCGAUACCUACGAGGCCUGGUACGGCAACAUCCAGUACCUUCUCAACAUCUCCGCCAUCGGCUCAUUCUUAUGUGUCUUCUUUUUCACCUUGGUCAAGCUUUGAAGCGAUCGCCGCCGCAUGCCCGGCUCGUCCUCCCUCGUUGCUAAGCUCUUCGCAGUGUGGUAUGCUACCUGUCGAGAGAUUAUGCUCCCAUGUGGCGCUGAGGCCAUAAUACUCACGCACCCAUCUACACACCCACACCACCACUACCGUGGACUCUCUCUCACUCUCCCUCGUCUUUGUAGAGCUAGGUGAAGCCUAGAAACCGAGAACUAGCUCCAGCAAACCCCGUGAGUUUCGAGCCAGAUCCCUGCCGACUCCGACCAUCCCAUGACCAAUCUAAGGUACAAAACAUUUCCCCUUGACUCUAUGCUCUUUUUCGUAUGUAGAUCGUAGGGAAAAGCCCACAGAAUGAGAGAGAAUAGUGACCUGAGAGAGUCCACGGUGAUGGUGGUGUGUAGAUGAGUGCGUGCGUGGGUGUACUGUCGGGGAUAGAGUCUGAGAGAGAUAGAGAGUGAAAGAGUCUGAGAGAAGAGUGACUUGCGAGAGUGAGAGAUUCGAGAGAGACUCGGGAAAAGAUUUAUGGGUUUGGGUUUUUCUGGUUUUUUAUUUUUAUAAUAAUAGGGUUAAUAUUAUAAUAUUUUUAAUGUAUAAAAAUUUCUUUUUUGCCACGUGGCAGCCACAUCAGCACAAAUGUGGUAGUUGUAGAUGCAAAUUUCUUCCUCUUGAUCUUGGACAAUUUUGCACCUACAAAACAAUUAACACCUUAGGUUAAGGCCAAAAGCCUCACACACCCACAAUGAAUGGGGGGCUUUGGCCGAAGAACCUCUGUUGCCAAAGUUAGAAUUUAGAGAGAAAGAGUCUUUACAGAAUUUUGGGAUUUUUGCCAAAGUGUUGGAAUGGCUUUCUGGUGAGAACGGGAUCACUUUUAUAAGGAUAGGAAGUGGUCGGCCUAGCUAGGGUUUUUGGGUUUAAUUUAGGUUUAAUUCUUCAAUUUAUUUGGCUAAUUAAACCCUAAAGAAUAAAUUGGUGGUUACAAAAUUGAUUAUUUGUAUAAAUGGGGUAAUAAAAUGGAGAAAAGUGAAAAAGGUUAGGAAAAGGGAGGUAGCUAGCUUCUUAGUAGUUUUAGGUGUGAGUGGGUGUUUUAAUUGAUAAUUAAGGGAUUGAUUAGGUAAUUAAUCCCUUAAUUAAACAAUUUUUAGGGAAUAUGAAAGGAAAUUAUUAUUUAGCUAAUUGAUUAGCUAAAUAAUGGAAUACAAAAUAUAUAGAAUAAAUUAGGCUUUAGGUAUUACCUUAUAGAAAUGAUUUGAUGAAAUAGGCUUUAAAUUGUUAACUAUUUUGGGCACUUUUGACUUGGUUGAGGAUGAUUGUCUGCCGCUCGCACGUAGGAAUCUCGAUAUGCCUUAAGGGUAUUUUUGUCCUCUUUUACCCAAAAAUCCACGUGUCGCCUUGUGAUUAUUUUUGGCUCCACAAAUGCCCCCACACCUGUUGGGCUGCUCGCAGAAAAUGGCAGCAGGUGUAGAGAUCAUCUUGCUUUAGGAAACGUAGGACUACUUCCUCUUUAGAUGUAGAUUCUCUCUUUAAUAGGAAAUUAGGUUCUUCUAGGAAAGGGAAAUAAAUUUCUGUUAAAGCCUAUUUAAGUCUACCUUAAGUGGGUUAUUAAAUCAACUUUGGAGAGCGAUUUCUUAUACCCUACAAGAGAGAGGGAGCUUAGAGAAUAUUUGUUCCCCCUCUUCUAGCAAUCUUCUACAUCUUUCCCGUGCAAAGGAUCGUCUUUCGUUGAUUUCUUCGUCUUCUCCGUGCCGCACCGAUGUAAGAAAAAUUUAAUUUUUUGCUUAUCUUCUUCUUGGAUAGUACUAUUACAGGGCAACCGUUAAGGUAGUGCGGCACGUCUACUGGCAGGGGCUAGGAGUUGGCUCGGCAUCGGUCGAUGAGGCAUUAUGGCAGGGGCCACUGCUUAGGCUGUUUGGCUUGGCUAGAGCCAAUGGCAGCUUGUGCGGCUGGGGUCGCGGAUUGUGGCGUUGGGGCGCAAUGCUAGGCGAGCCACAUGGUUAAUGUCCUUUAGGCUCUUAGACCUUACUCGGGCCAGGCUAGCGACUGAAAGAAAUGAGGAGGUCGUGGGCCUCAUGGGUUGUUGGAAUGUUGGGCAUGCAGGCCUCCUGUCUGCUAGAAUGCUAGGUUGAGCUCCUCUGCUGAGUACCGUGAAUGGCGUUGGCUGCUUAGUUCUUUUUACAGAGAGAAAGGUGGGCUGCUCCCGAAAGAGGAAGUAAAGAGGAUCAAGGUGGAUGCAUUGGCUCGUCUAAUCGCUGUCGUGGAACCUCCUAUGAAUGAAGAUGGAAAUAAGAGAUCUUCCCUGCCUACUCAAGAGAUGCCGAUCGAGAAAAAUUGAAGACUUUCUCCACUGCUGCUCAUGAUGAUUUGUCUGCUGUCGAUAGGCCUGUGAUUGGCAUGACUUCUUCCAAUGGGAAGAAAAAUGAGGCUGCUAGAUCUGAUCAUGUGGUGCCUUCCAUGUUGAGAAUUGCUAGUACAAUUGUUGAUAAGAUUGCUUAGCGCAAAGGUUUUAUCAUGCCCCCAGUACCGAAGUCUGUACCAGGACUUUCGUUUGGAGCAAAGUCUGGUUCACCUUUGGAGAUACUUGCUAUUAUGAAAAGUGGUAAGGUGGACUCUGCUGCUAAAGUGGCGUCAAGGCCCACUCCCUUUGUUGCUGAGACUGAUUCGCCUGCUAGGAAGGAAGAUACUACUUGUAUGGGCAGCUGUGAGAAAUCCACUAAACUUGCUUCUGGGGAGGCUGCUGAGAUCAUUGUGCUUUUGAAACUAUAUCUGCUUGAAGACAUGGACGCUUGUGCCAAGUUUGUUGAUGGCGGUAGAAAGGUUGUUUACCUAAGUUCCUUUGCGAAACAUACGACCCAAUAUAAAAUGACUGCUCUGCUUACUAGGAUGCAUAAAUAGCAAGGUUGUCAAGGAGGUGGCGAAGAUUAUGGCAGCUAAAGCUUAUUCCUCAGUCGAGGAGAUCAAAAGGUUGAAUUAUGAGCUUGUUGCUUUGAAAGAAAUGGAAGAACUGCAACACGUUCGUGUUAGUCUGUUUGAGAAGAAUGAGCAGCUAAACGGUAAGAAUGAUGGGCUUGAGGUUUCUCUAUUUUUCCGGAAGACUUGCUUACUUUUACUUUUGAGGCUUCCAUUGGUGAAGUAGUUGGAGACGUUAGUGCCCAGGCUUAGGCAACCGGGGGUGAAGCACCGGAUGAUGCCGCUGCUAAGAACGUUACGGCUGCUGAAGGUGUGGAGACCAAGUAGUCGUGGGAUGUCCAAGCUGCUGUAGUGUAGUAUUUUAGGUAGCUUUUAUGAUUUUCUUUGUUUUUCCUUGUAGCUCUUGUUUUGCUUGAACUUCUUCGGCCUUUGCUAGUUGUAUAAACAUGUUUUCCUUCGCUUUUCUUCAUCUUCGCUUCUUUUGUUCAUGCCCUAACCUUUAGACUUGAUAGACCAAUGGCAGGCAUGCUACUUUUUUAUAAGCAGACAAGCUCGCGUAGCCUAUGCAGCCGUAAAUGUUGGUGUAGAACUUUGCAAAGUUGUUAGCCAUUAGGUUGGUAACCAGAUACCUUACUUACAGAAGUAGACAAGUCCGCAUAACCACUAGGCUAUUAACCUUGACUUUCUCCAAUUCUGUAGGUUGCGUAGCAAGUAUCACAACACUUUAGGAAUUGGUAUAGGUUGCUCCGCACUUGGCAGAGGUGAAGCCUAUCGACUACGUAGCAUGUCGGCAGUGGAUAAAACUUCCAUAUAUGCGCGCUAGCUUGUUUAACCUUUCACAAGAAUGUGCGGUUGUAUAAGUCUAGCACGGUUUUACUGCUUGAAGGGCAAGCCGUAGGCAGUCUUCCGGAAUCCGUAGGCUACCUUAAUGUACUCGGUAGCAGCUUUAGGGUUCCAGGGCAGCCGUCUAUAGAGCGUACUGCGUAAUGUGCCCCAUCCGUCUCUAGCUCCCGGUUCCCCACAGAUUAGACCAAGAGACCCAAAAUCCUUCAGUUAGUUAAGCCUUGAAAAAGACCAUUGUGGCUACUUCUAGGAAUCCCGGCUCAAGCCAUCGUACAUCUAGUUAUACUAGGGUAGCCAGGCUCAUCAGCGUCUGGAUAUUCGGAGUGUAAAGUUUAUCCUCCCGUCUUAGAGAGCUGACCCAUAUGAGUGUCGGGGAAUUGGUUUACCCUCUCACACUAGAGAGUAAUUAAUUUACCCUCUCGCACUGGAGAGCAAUUAGUUUACCCUCUCGCACUGGAGAGCAUGGUUGGUCCAUCGGGGGGCGCAAUUCCUGCGAUGAGUCCCUAAGAAGGGCGCAGUCUUCUUUUGAAGUGCAGGAAUGAUUAGUUGUUAUAAGCAUGUGAUCGAGUCAAGUUGUGAUUACUUCUAAAUUCCUCAUUGAAAAACGAGUGAAACGAACGAGAACUUAGCCGUAAGGUAGGAACUGCAUAACAACUGGAUAGUCCUCAACUUGUGUGGUGGUACCCAUCGAGCUUCUUGAGUCUUCGGGCUUUGAUGUAGUGGGAGGUUACACAUGGCACCUUUUCAGAUUGUAGGCGCUCUACUGCUUUUCGAACUUUUUUUUUGUUGUGUAAUUGCUCUUGCUGCCUACUCGGCUAAUCUUAUACAGACUUUCUCGGAUGAGAUUCAUCUUUUUGGAGCUUCUCUGCUGGCAGUGAUGAAGGCUUUUCUUAGGACUAGAUCUCUGGGCUGGAACUGCCAGAUUUUGGCCUUUUUGUUGUGGCUGGAAAAGAACCACUGCUGGUAAGUUGUAAUGCAGAUGAUAGUCUGCUCGCACUUCUCCUCUGCCAAAUUUAAGCUUGUGGCCAUCUCCUUUCGGUUGCUCGUCUUUUGGUGUUGCGAUGUGCCCAUAGACAUCCAGGGAGUUUGUCUGGCCAUUUUCUUUUCUUAUUGGUAGGGGAUUUCUUGUGGCAGUCGAGGAUCAUCUUAGUGGAUGUUUUGGCCAGCCUAUUGCCUUGAGGAUAUCUUGGCGUAGACAUGUGCUGCUUGAUGCCAUAUUUUUAGAAGAAUUUCGCCAAAUCUUUGCCCACGAAUUACGGGCCGUUGUUGGUGACGAUGGAUUAAGGUAUGCCAAAUCGGCAAAUGAUGCUCUUUCAUAUGAAGCGCUCUAUGUCCGUUUGAAUUGUGAUCGUCAUGGGCUCUGCUUCUACCUAUUUGGUGAAAUAGUUGGUUGCCACGAUCAUCAUGCAUUUGCCCUUAGUAGUCUGGCUGGUGAUUAGCUGGGAAUCAGAAUGAAUUGAAAGCUUUUUCACCACCAAGUCUUUUGUCACUCGAAGGCCUGCUAGUGGGGCUUUGUACUCUGCUUCGUUGUUAGGUGCUUUGACGCUUAGAGUGAUCGCUUACUCGAGCAUUGAACCGUCUGGGGUGGCAAGAACCACGGUUACUUAUAAGCCUUUGUAGUUGGAUGCGCCGUCGACAUGCAAAUGCCAGAAAUUUCCAUUGAGGGAGUAGGUAUGGCUAAAGUGUGCUCGGCUACCUUCGAAGCGUCGUUGGGCCGCUUUGUUACAUUGUCAAGGCUAGGUUUGAAGGCGCGGUAGAGAGUCGUGGAGCUGGGGCCAUGUUACAUGUAGCAGGAGAUGCUCAACUUCCGGUAUUAGGCCACUCUAGAGCUGAAUAAUGGAGCAAAGGUCGGCUAGGGUCGUAUGACGCGCAGCAGAAGGUAGUGCUCGACUGCUAGUACAUGUUGCUCUUACGUAGAAUCUUCUGAGGCGACGAGGACAAAACUUGCUUUUAAGUGUUCCUUCUAGUGUUCGUCUGCCCUUGGCGUGUCUUUUGGGCUGAGUUGUUGCGUUCGUCAGAAAACUUUGCAUCUGCCAGGGUUUACGUCUUUAUCAUCACGGGUUUGGAUUAGGCGGAAUAGUGCGUCAUGAUGAUGACUGCGUACAUUUGAAGGUAAAACUUAAGCUUUUGGGUUACAACAACUAUCACCAAAGUUAGCUUUUGAAUUUUUAAUAGCAUCGAGGAGAGCUUUUGAACUAUAAAAUACAUGUAGUUGGGCCCCCAACUCUUCUCGCAUGACGGUACAGCUUAUUUCUACUUUAGAUACCGUCAAACAUGCGAAUAAGUCCUCUGCUGCUUCUAGGGAGGUGAUGUUGGGUACUUCUUCAAGCCCUUGAAUGUGCAUUGGCGAGCCUCAUCCCAAAGUGCAUGCUUCUCUGCCAAAGAAAAAGAGUCUACCAGAGUUAGAUAUUCUUUCAUGAUCAAUUUUCUAAAUAGCGGUGGUCUGCUGGAAGGCCUUUUUGGAAGGCUGCUCUAGCUAUUGAGUCGCUGCAUCCGACUAUCAUUGCCUUCUCUGUUUUGAAUCUCUUCACAUAGUCACGAAGUGACUCCUUUGGGUUCUUUUUUACGUCAAACAAAUGGUCGGACUUCUUUUUGAUCGAGCAAUAAGAUGAAUAUUCUUUGGUGAAAACCAAAGAAAGUUCGUAGAAAUUCUAGAUAGAUUGUGGCGGCAGGGUGUAGAACCAAUCUUGUGCCUCGCCUUCAUAGUGGUGGCGAAUAUCUUGCACAUGAGAUCAUCGUUGUUUCGAUAAAGGAUCAUUGUGCUUCGGUAGCGCUUUAAGUGUCUCUUCGGGUCUUCAUCCCCUUUGAAAGAUAUGAAAUGUUGCAUACUGAACUCGCAUGGAGGCUCUGCCAGCUCGAUCUCAUCCGUGAAGGGUGACCUGCUUAUGUUGGUCAUGUUCCGUCGUAGUGCCUCGUCGGUGACCUUGUUGCGUUAGAAAUCAUGCAAUCGCUUGAUUAAAAGUCUCUCUACUUCUUCCUGAAUUUUCAUUUGUUAGGGUAGCAGAGCUCUCGGCUGCCCCUAGCCAUAACUUACUGGUCUAGGAUGCUCUUCCAUGUGUUUGGCUCGUAUACCGUGGAUGCAGUGUAUGUGGUGCGGUCCUAGUAGGUGAGCGAGUUCUUCGCAGGCUGCUAGUUGAACUUGAGCUGGAUUGAGUGACUACUUCUCUCCGUCCGUCGUGCUGCCUACUCCAAUGUGAGGUGAAAGAUGCUCCUUGCAGGCUUAGCCACGAAUGAACACUUUACCUGGAAGGUUGCUCAUGUUGACUAUCAGAGUAUGACCCUAACCGUGAAUGUAUAUUCACCCGUGGGCUUAGUCGAGAGUGCACGCUCCUCCGCGCGCUAAGACGAGAGUAUACGUUAUCUCGGGAGCCCAAUUGGGAGUGUACACUGCCCGAACGCUCGGCUCGUGGCUGGUCGAGUGGCUGCUUGCCGAAACGCUGCGGGAAAGGUUCGUCUGCCCUUGUCCUACUUCGGGAUACCUUGUUUGGGGCACGUUGGAUUCUGGUGCAUUGCAAAAGUUGAUUCACCAAGGUUGUCUGUUGUGCAAGGGUGCUCGUAAACGCUACGACUUGUCGAGACAAGUGUUGUUCGUCAUUUGGAUUGGAAUAGCUUGGAAGGAAUGUGCCUUCUUGGGCAGUGGAAGGGUGGUAGACUCCGGGCUCGAGAUUUGAGUUGGGAAAUGUCAAAUCUACGAAAAAAUGUGGUGAGAAUGCCCCCGGCUCGAUGGUAGGUCCGGAUGGUUGAGAUAGUCUUGGGCCGACUUGGGCUGCUUGGAAAGCCACGGGAGCAGGCUGGGCCACGAGAGUGAGCUGCUCGGCAGGAGUAGGCUGGGCUACGAGAGUGGGCUGCUCGGCAGGAGCAAACUGCUUGGAGUGUGAUGCACAUGGGUGCGAGGCUUGGGCUCGGCUUGGUAACACAUUGAGUUCGGGUUUGGCUUGGAGUGACAUGACUUGGGCCGUGGCCUUGGUGUCGUGAGCCUUGGAUGGCACGGCUCGGGCAGUGGUAGCUGUGCCAUGGACCUCGCCGCGGGUAGUGGUGACCGUGAUGGCCACCGCGGUGGUUGCCAUGGUGGAGCCCCGUAGUGAUGGUGCCGCUCCUAUGAUCACAUUUAGCCUCGUGGAUCGUCGUGGUCCCAUUUCUUGAAUAUUAGAAUUUUCACUUAUGGAAUUUUCUAAAUUUCUAGCCAUUAUAUUUUUCUUAUACGUUUUAUCAAAGAACCUUUGCAAAUAAAAAAUUCUAAUAAUAAGAACGUAUGAAAAAAUAUUCAAAUGGACUAGAAAAUAGAGAAAAACCUUUUUAUGCGAGAGUCUUCUACGAGUAUAGAUCUCAACUCUCAAUGAAAGCACCAAUUUGUGGAUGCAAAUUUCUUCCUCCUUGAUCCUAGACAAUUUUGCACCUACAAAACAAUUAACACCUUAGGUUAAGGCCAAGAGCCUCACACGCCCACGAUGAAUGGGGGGGCUUUGGCCGAAGAACCUCUGAUGCCAAAGUUAGAAUUUAGAGAGAUAGAGUGUUCAGAGAAUUUUGAGAUUUUUGCCAAAGUGUUGGAAUGGAUUUUUGGUGAGAAUGGGAUCACUUUUAUAGGGAUAGGAAGUGGCCGGCCUAGCUAGGGUUUUUGGGUUUAAUUUAGGUUUAAUUAGUCAAUUUAUUUGGCUAAUUAAACCCUAAAGAAUAAAUUGGUGGUUACAAAAUUGAUUAUUUGUAUAAAUGGGGUAAUAAAAUGGAGAAAGGUGAAAAAGGUUAGGAAAAGGGAGGUGGCCGGCUUCUUAGUGGUUUUAGGUGUGAGUGGGUGUUUUAAUUGAUAAUUAAGGGAUUCAUUAGGUAAUUAAUCAAUUUUUAGGGAAUAUGAAAGGAAAAUAUUAUUUAGCUAAUUGAUUAGCUAAAUAAUGGAAUACAAAAUAUAUAGAACAAAUUAGGUAUUAGGAAUUACCUUAUAGAAAGGAUUUGAUGAAAUAAGCUUUAAAUUGUUACCUAUUUUGGGCACUUUUGACUUGGUUGAGGAUGAUUGUCUGCCGCUCACGCGUAGGAAUCUCGAUAUGCCUCAAGGGUAUUUUUGUUCUCUUUUACCCAAAAAUCCACGUGUCGCCUUGUGAUUAUUUUGGCUCCACAACAACCACGUCAGCAUUUAACAGACCAAUGGAUGGAAAAUCUAACGGAGGUAUUAUUUUGAAAUAAAAUAACAAGUGAGGUAUGAAAGUGAAAUGUUUUAAAGAUGUUGUAUGGGGUUGUAAUAGACCUCAAACUUGAGGGUCCUAUGUAAUUUACCUAUUUUUAUGUUAAUUAUGAAUAGGUCAAUCAUGUAGAACCAAAUUAAAAGCUAACAUCAAUAACAACUACCAGAGACAAAAGCUCUAAUCAAUGCUUCGGAAACAUAGUCUUGUAUCUCUAGGUGUAAUGAUAUAAUUUGUUGGAAACUUAAAAGAAAAUUGGUGAUUUUGUAUAUAAUCGAUAAAAAGUUAUAAUAGUGACAAUAUAUCAGUAAUAUUUAUGUUAAUUAGGAAUAGGUCAAUCAUGUAUUUAAUACUUACAUGCAUUUAAAAUAAACACCUUAUCAAUGUUUUUUUAACUGUGCUCAGUUUUUCUCCUUCGCUUUGGUUUUGUUCUAUUGGAUUUUUCAACUAUCAUUAAUUGUGAACAUAACUGAUCAUUGAGACACAAACAUCCAAGGGAGAGUACCGUGGAACAAAAUGUGGAUAUCUUUAUACAUUGUAUGGUAGUAAACCAUCAUAAACACCAUAAUAAUGUAGAAACGCUCUUGGGGUACCUUUGGAUGAUAACUCAUGUAUUUGUUGCCCUACGUAAAGAUGGCUAAUGAUAAUGGAAGUCUAAUUUUCUCAUCCCAAUCUCUCCUGUCUCUCUUGUUCUCUUUUCUCUAUAGUUUAUUUCCAACAAGUUGUGUUAUUUUUUUUUUUUAGUAUUGUUAAGCAACCAAUAGAUUUUAAUUAGCAGUCUUUGUUUUUUUCUUUUAUAUUUUUAAUCAAUUUCAGUUGCUUAUCCGUUCUAGCAAAUUGAGCUCUUUUACAGCAAUUUUUUUCUUUAAAUGAAAUUAUUAUUAUUAAAAGAGUGAGAAAAUUCGAAAUUAUUACAACAAUUUAAAAAAAAGAAGUUUCGAAUCAUAAACACAGAGGGAGUUUACAACAUUUUAAUUAAGAAAUUAGGCUUCAGCUCAACUCAUCUUUGCAACGUCGGUUCCACUUCACAUCAACAUGCAAUGUUUCAGAAGGUCACGCGGUUUUGGGGUUGUUGUGUACCAAUAAUAUUAUAUAUAUAUAAAUUAGGAUUGAAGGAUACACGCAUUUUGUAGAGCUUAUUUUGUUAUGUAUUUUAAUGAUUUAAAUGCUUACGUUUUUCUUCACUACAAAUGAGUGAAUUAAUGAUUUUAGAAUUUGUCUAAUUUUUUACAUUGAUUAUUUAUGAAUAUUGAAUUGAAAUAUAGACGAUUCAAAAAUCGUUGAUAUACAUUACAAAAUGAACUCCACAAAAUAAGCGUCAAAAUAUGUAUAUAAAAUGGACAGCGUGAAAGGCUUGGAAAUUGGAAUAGGUUUGAAAAUUGUGCUUUUUGUAGCAAAUUGUAGCAAAGUUUGCUUGGACUUUCACAACCGUAUAAAUUAUGCCGCAGCACUCUCUAUUUUCUCUCUCGCUCUAUAUCGUGGUCCCUCUCUCUCGCCGUCCUCGAUUGCUCGAACUCACUAUCCUUUAUUGCUCGAACUCACCGUCCUCAAUUGCUCGAACCCACUGUCCUUUAUUGCUCGAACUCACUGUCUCCAACUUCCUCUGUUUGGUUCCCGAUGAAGAUGGUAAAACAGUAGGGGCAAGAAAUUAUGACAAUGUUAGAUUUGCAUAUUAAUCUGGUAGGGCUACAAUUCUCCAAUCCACACCCCUUCCAUCUAUGCUAGUGUUUGUACCCAAUAUUAGAUAUCCGGUCUGUGCAAUCGAGAUCGUUGAAUGAGAAAAAUUCUAAGCCGUGGGAUCAAAUAUAAUGAUGUGGAUUAAAUAAGAAAAAUUUAAAUGUUUAUCUUGGUUGAAUUACCAUGAUAAUAUUGUGGAAUUAUCUUCUGCAUAACGGGAUAGCGAGAAAAGUCCAAGGGUGUAGGGAAGUUGUGUGGCUGACUACCGCUUUUUUUUAUGGUGUCAUUAGUAGAGUAAUAUCACACUUAACAUUUAUUUGUACCAUCUCUCUAAUAAAGAUAAAGACCAUCAAUGCAUAAAUAAUGAUACAAAUAUAUAAUAAGAGUAUCAUAUUUGUAACUAGAAUAGGAGAAGAAAGACUUCAAGAUGGGGUCAGCCAAAUAAUUAGCGUCAGGAUAAAAAUAUGAGUAAUGAUAUUUGUAAACAUCGAAAUUUCGGUAAAUAAAUGUUGACCGAUAAAUCAAAGUUUCAACGCUCAUGUAUUACAUAAAUUUUACACGUAGCGUAUGUCUAAACAAAAAAUCGAAAUAAGUUGGAAAAGUCAUCAAACAGGACACAUGUCAACACCUGGCAGAAACGACUUAUUUCAUCUGGAAUAUUAUAUUCAAAAUUAGGCAUUGGAAAAUUCUAUAAAUAGAAGCCAAUUUCAUUCAUUUGAAGGAACCAAAAUCAUUAGGCAAAAUUCUUGAAGCUCUGAAGCUCUGAAACUCCGAAACUCUCAAGCAUCCAGGUUCCCGAAGAAUCAAGAAAGCUCUCUUCGUUCUUCGUUCUUCGUUCAUCGUUCAUCCUAAGAUCAAGCUCCAACGGCCCUUUAGAUCAACAAUCAUCCACUAAUUCAAGAUCAAGCCCCGACGGCCCUUGAAGAAAGUGUUCUUCAUUCUUCGUUCAUCGUUCUUCCAAGAUCAAGCCCCAACGGCCCUUUGGAUUAACAAUCAUCCACCAAUUCAAGAUCAAGCCCCAACGGCCCUUGAAGAAAGUGUUCUUCGUUCUUCGUUCAUCGUUCUUCCAAGAUCAAGCCCCAACGGCCCUUUGGAUUAACAAUCAUCCACCAAUUCAAGAUCAAGCCCCAACGGCCCUUGAAGAAAGUGUUCUUCGUUCUUCGUUCAUCGUUCUUCCAAGAUCAAGCCCCGACGGCCCUUGGAUCAACAAUCCACCAAUUCAAGAUCAAGCCCCAAAGACCCUUGAAGAACUUCUACCAAUUCAAGAUCAAGCCCUGACGGCCCUUGAAGAAAGUGUUCAUUGUUCAUCAUCCGUUCAUCCCGAAGAAUCAAGAAAGCCUUAUUCGUUCUUCGUUCAUCGUUCUUCCAAGAUCAAGCCCCGACGGCCCUUGGGUCAACAUCAUCAACAAAUCCACACAUCCAACCGUUCUUCAAGAUCAAGCCCAAAAGCCCUUGAAGAUCCGUUCAUCACCGUUAUUCAAGAUCAAGCCUUAACGGCCCUUGAAGAAACACUCAUCCUCAAGAUCAAGCCCCAACGGCUCCUUGAAGAUCCGCUCAAAUCCACCUUCAAAGAUCAAGCCCACGGCCCCUUGAAGAAACAUCCAACAGUUCAUCCAAGAUCAAGCCUCGACGGCCCUUGGAUCAACGAAACAUCUACAAAUCAACACCUUACGGAGAUCGAAUCAGAUGAUCAAAUUAGAGAGAGAUUGUAACCCUAAAUCAUCAAAAUACAAAUAUUAUUUUGUGCACGUUGUUCUUAUCUCUUUCGUUUCAGGAAAUUUUCGUGUUCACAAUAUUCUUACCAUCUAAAUAUACUAUAAUUUUAUACCAUCUUAUGUGGCAAUUGAGAUGGACUUCCACAUAAGUUUUAAAAAAAUCUCAUGUCAGCUAAGGUGGAUAUUUACGAUUUUACGAUUUUACUCAAUGAUUUUUAUUAAUAAAAUAAUUAAAAAAUAAUAAUGAAACCUACUUGCUCCCGUUUUCAAGCCUCAUCGCUGGGCCUCCUCCCUCUUCGCUCUCCAAUUUCACCUUCCUUCACCAACGAUCGAUGGUGCUCGACCCCCUUCAUCAUUGCCAACUGGCCGAAUAUCUUGAUGGUGCUCCCAGUGAUUGUUUUGCUCUGCCACCAAAUCAAGUUUGCAAUUUUAAUGGUUUAUGCCUUCUGGCCAAGUGUUGGAUUUGAUAGGUUUUUAAUUCCAGCAACAUUGAACAAAAAUAUGAAAAGGAUUGGAUACGAUAUUUUCCUCUGUUCUACUGCUGAGGAUUUUCCGAAUAGAAGAAGAUUUGGAAGACAACCUCUUUUCUUUUUUCUUCAUGGACUUUUGGUUAGCACCAAAAUCUUUUCCUAAUCCUCUAUAGGAAUGAAAAUUUCAUUCCAUGUUAUAUCCCGAUGUUGUCCAAGGUUUUGGCUUGAAUUUUCAUUGGAAUUAUCAUAUGUUGGAUCAGAUCAGGUGGAGAGAUGAAACGUAUCUAACAAGGAAGUUGAACGGGUAGGGUUUGAGCAAAAAUAAACAGAAAUUCCACCUAGGUUGACACCUAAGCUUCCACAUCAUGUGGUAUACUAAAUGUGGUAUAAUAAGAUGGUAAGAAUAGCAUUAUUGAAUGGGUAAUGUUAAGAGAAAUUUUUAGUUGUGACGGGAACACGGAUGGUACACCAUGCGUUUUUAUGUAAAUGGUGGAAAAUUUUAAUUUUUAAAUUAUUAACCUUUUAGCACACAUAUCCCACCAUUUAUAUGAAAACACGUGAUGUAUCACCUCGUGUGAUAGUCACAUUGAAAAAUCUCUCGUAAUGUUAGGAAAACUAAAUUUAUAAACAAAAGUUACAAAUUAAAUGAUGGGUUACCAAUAAGAAUGAUUACGUUUAUCAAUGCUUAAAUAAUAAAUCAUUCAUCAACUUCCAGUCCUUUAGUUUUUAAAAUUUUGUCUAACAUUACCCUUUCAAAACUCAUGAAAAUAAUUUUCAAUUUUUUUAACUGAAAAGUGAAAGUUACUAAACAAGAUUUCAGUUUUUAGCUUUCAAAAAAAUAAAAACAAAAGCUAAAAAUAAAAUGGUUAUCAAACAUCCCUAGAAGUCAUUCUUAGUGAUAGUAAGGUCAUCUCCAACCGAAAGAUCCAGGGGGCUAGAGGGCCGAAAAUAGUCUGAAAACCAUUUCCAAUCAAAGGCCAUGCCAAAGGGGUCGUGGACCCCAUUAGACAAAAAAGGGCCAAAGGGCCAACUGGCUGGCCCCAGUUCCAACAAUAACUAGAUGACGUCAGUUAACCGUUAUUUUUGAAUUUUUUUUUUAACAAAUUUUAACUUUCUAAGCCAUUAAACAACAUUAAAUUAAGUAAAAAAGAAAAUUCCUAUAACUUCCUAAGUCAUUAAACAAUAUUAAAUUAAGUAACAUGAAACAACAUUAAACAAUAUUAAACAAAAUUAAACAAUAUUAAACAACAUUAAAUAACAUUUAACAACAUAAAAAUUAUACAACAUAAAAAAAAACAUUUAAGAACAUAAAAUUUAAAUGCCUACUUCAUGCUUCUUUUGGCCCAAAGAUGUGCAACAAGAUCCUAAUGUAGGUACUUGUUUGUGGCACGAGAGCGUAUCAUCCUAACCGUUAGAUUUGAUUUUUUUUUGUUUUCGGCCAAAUUUUUUUAAAUUUAAAAAUAAAUUAUGUUUGACCUUUUGGCCCUCGAUUGGAGAUAGUUUUUUUUGUGACAUGACUAUGUUUAGCCCUAUGACCCUUUGGCCCUCAGUUAGAGAUGGUAAGAAAUAUGACCCAACAAUGUUCAUUAAAAUAUUAAUUUCUUGAAGAGCCAGAGGGCUAAAACGAGCCAUCCUUCGGUUGGAGAUGGCCUAAGAAGAGACUAGAGAUAGAGAGAUUCCUAUACUUAGCUGUGAGAGUUUCCUAUAUAUGAUUUUCAUUAACAAGAUUGAACUGAUUACAUAGAGAAGAAGAUCAAGUAUGGUUAUUUUUAUUUGGGAGACUUUGGAUGUGGUCCUUAGUUAUGAAUAUUAUUUGAUUGAAAUCUUGUUGGUUUUUAAUUUUUUAUCAAGAUCCCUGAAAUUAAUGUGAUAAUUUAUUUCUAUGUAAGUUACUAUAUUUUUUUAAUUAGAAAUUAGAAAUUUUAGUUGUUUAUAUAAAUGAGAUUUUAAAUUAAAAAAACCAUAAUUUGUGGGAUUAAAAAUAUUAAAAUAUAAAUAUACUAUUGUGUGUGUGUGUGUGUGUGUGUGUGUAUAAAUAUGGGUACAUUCAUCAAAAUUAACCAAAAAAUUUAUUGUAUCAAAACAUGGGUACAUUCUUCAAAAUCACAAAAAAAGAAAGAUAUUAGGCUUAAUAACAUUAGUAAAUUUCUUCGAUUAAACUUGACAUGGAUACAUUUUAAAAUCAAAGAAAAAAAAUGUACCCAUAUAAGUUUAAAAAUGGAUUAGAAAAAAAAAUUGAAUAGAUUUUAUACAAAAAAAGGGUACGUUUUACAUAUAACAAAUUGGUAUAUUUAAGAAUGAGUACAUUUUAAGAUUAAAAAGUUUUACAUGAAUGGGUUCAUAUAAUUAGCAUGGGUACAUUUAGCAAAAUAAAAAGUACAAAUACAAAAAAAUAUAUGUGUACAAAUACAAAUAAACUUUAAAAAAUAUGGGCACAAAAAGAAAUUAAUAUAUGGGUACAAAUUAAAACCGAAAAGAAAAUUGGUACAAGUUAAAAAAGAAUUACAAAUUAAAAAUGGGUACAAACUAAAACUAAAAAUAUAUGAUAAAAAAUUUAGUCAUAAAUAUAAAUAUACUAAUUGUAACAUUUUUAACAUUAAAUGAAUAUAUUUAGACAUAAAAAAUAUAUUUUAUUAUUGAAAUAAUUAAUGAUGUUAUUAAUACCCAAGGACCUUGAUAAAAAAUUGAAAAGAAAUAGAAUUUUAAUCAAUGGAGUAGCAAAAGAAAAGAUGAGAACCUAAUUUCUCCUUUGUAUUGUGUAGACAUUAUAACUAUACAUUCAUAAUAACAUGAGUAAUGUUAUAUUUAUCACAUUUGUACUCUUUCUCCAAUAAAGAUAGGGUCCAUCAACACAUGUGGGUUCUAUUUGCCCAUCAACACAUGCGAAUCUCAUUUUUAUUAGAAAAAUAGUACAAAUAUGAUAUGGAAAUUAUGAUAAGAUCGCAAUUUUGUAAUAACAUAUAUACUCAACUAUUUAUAUACCAACUCAUCUCCCUUUAGUGUAGUUAAUAUUGUUUGUUCAACCAAAAAAAAAAAAACUGAACUUGUCAUAAUCAUUGAAUCCAUUUACCAUGAACAAACGGCAGUUUACUAAACUUGCCCUCAGAGUAUAUAUAAAAGGUGAAUCACAAUCUAUUGCAUUAAUAUAAGGAAACAAUUUAUAGGGUUUGACGGGUGACUUAAUAUGCUAUAUGGCACAAUGAAAAUUAAGUUCACACUUUAUCCCAAAUAAGGUGUUGCACCUUUAAUUUAUGGAUGCUGGUUUGACGUGUGACCGAAAUAAUCAAAUUGUAGCCAUUAAUCAUUUUACAAGUAAUAAUAUGUGGUUUUAUUGUUUACGAUUCACACAACAAUCUGCUAGGAAGUAGAAAAUGCAGUACUUGUCCCUCUCACAGAAGUCAUGAAUAAUUAUCAAAUUCAAAGAUAAAGAAAAACCACACAAUUUACAAGAGGAAAGAAAAUGAAGGGAUAAAGAAAGUAAGAAAGGAAUACCUCUAUGGGAGGACUCUUAUUUGCUUCAGAUGCCUACAAUAUUCAUCAUAUAAACACUGAUUAAGUAGUCAUCGAAAACCAAAACAAAUGUCGAACAUAGGGUGAAAAACAGAAAGAAUAACCGCAGCUCAUCAUACCAAUAGAGAUAGAACUGCCCGAUGCCCAAGUAUGACUGAAAAAUGGCAAUCCAAACAUGGCGCCUUCUAGCUCAUCAAACUGUCAAAACCUAGGUUCCACCAAAAAGAUACAAGUCACCUAGUUACUUGUAAAAUAAAAAUCUGUUUCAAAAUAGUGGAAAAUAUUAUUAACAUUGUUCAAAGUCCACAUUGUUGUACCUACCAAGAAACAAGAAGGAUUGUAUCUUAUCAUGAAAAAGAACAUAGGUACCUUUUCAAUUGUAAUUGUACAAAAAUGAGAGACCACUUCCGAACUUCUCUUGGAACUUCAAUCAAUUUCUGCCCACUUUUAAAUGCCUUGACAUACUUAAGCCUAUUUCUUUGAGCUUCAGUUUUGGCUUCUGAUGCCUUUAAAUUUCUUAAAGAUUCUUACCAAGUUUUACAAACUCACUUCUAUACAACCAUUUGUCAGUAUACAUACCAUUUUCUUUGAGCUUCAGUCUUUGCAACACCAAAACCCCCCAAAUAGACCCGGAAUUUUGCAAUGUGCAGGGAAUAUACAAAAAAAACCCUCCUAUCCAUCUAAAACGAAAUCAGAACGCAAACCACAAUCAAAAUCCGUAAAAUUAAUUUAGCCAACCCCUAAAUCUAAUAAUUCUAACAAAUAUUAUAGUAUCAAUUGAGAGAGAAUUUGAGAAGAUACCUAGAGAUGAAAGGAAGAGCGUUUCCUCUGAUAGGGGUUCCGUGAAAGCAUCUGUUGACCAGAAAAGAAAAGGCAAAAAACCCCAAAUUACAUAUCAAGCAAUUAUAGAUAGAUCGAACCUUGAAAAUUGAAAUUUCAAACAAGAGAAAGGUUAUAAACUUACAACGAUCUGGGUGUUGGUAACUGGGUUUGGAUUUGGGUUUCUGAUAAGAGAGAGAAUCGUAUGAGGAACCGAUAGAGGAACUGCACCGGCAACAGAGAGCAAUUGAUAUGGUGGAGAACAGACGAGAAUAGCUGCUUGGAUGGUCAAUCCAAGAAGAGAAAAUCUUGCCACAAUCGCGGUACUUGAAAAAAAAAAAAACAAGUUUAAAGGAGGGAAACAAUCGCGCCUUUUUCUAAUAGACUCUGUCGACGAUAUUCUUGACAAAUAGAUGCUUCGUCGGGUGAGCUUAUUUUUCACAACAUUUUAUUUAGGAUUGGGUUCGGUUGGUAAACCGUGUCAAAUUUCUUGUGCCACUUGCCAGCCACAUAUACAUAAUUACCGAAAAUCAGUUACCGUUAGCCAACCGUCUUCUUGCGGUUGCCAAAAAUCGGUUCAGCCAAAAUGAUUGGCUGGUUCGGUUGGUAAAUGGCACAACCGGUGGUUUCCACUUCUUCCUCGCUAUCUUCCAGUUCCAAGGGCUCAAUUUGAUUUUCAGAUUGGGAUGCUUGUUCGGUUGCAUUGUGUGGUUCAUUUUGGGUUAAUCCAUGUUGUGCACUAGUAGUUGAUUGGCUAGACUCCAUUAUCCUAAACAUAAGCAACAAAUAUACAUUCAAAAUAAUAUAUAUGUACGUGUAUAUAUAGUAUCAGUAAUCAUCAUGCUAUCAAUUUUGUUAACAAUAUUUUCUAUAUAUUGAUUUUGGCAUGAAUCAUAUACACAUACAUAUAUUUUUAAAACCCUAAAACUAAGGAGUCAUUUAUUUUCUAAACUCUAAAAUUGAGGAGUCAAGCAUGUAAAAAAAUACUUAAAAUAUCUAAAUAGAAAAAGAAAAAGAAAAAAAAAUAAAUAUAUAUAUAUAUCGGUAGGUAUGGCAUACCGCCGGCAUACAAAAUCAAUUACCAAAGCCAUGCCAUUAAUUGUCGGUUCGGUAAAAUGCCAACCGAUUAUGAAAAAAUGUCAAAACUAUACCAUACCAUUUUGAGCCAACCAGUAUGGUUUGGUCAGUAAAUCGGUUUAUGGCAAAAUUUCUCACCCCUAAUUUUAUUUGUCACCUUAAACCUAUUGGUUUCUAGCCUACAAUUCGGAUAUUUUGUUGGGGAAAGAUUUUUGUACCAAUAAAAUUUUGCUUUGUCGGCAAAAUGACAUUUUCUAGUAGUUAUAAUAUUAGGUAGAUCAAAUUUGUAAACUAUGUGAUGUGUCACUAAUAGGAAAAAAUUUCAGUGUGCUGAAAAUACGGUCUAGAACACCAAGUGUCAUAAUAUAUACUUGGUUGGAAAUCUUUUAUUUUCAAGUUUCCAACUAGUUGUAUUGUAACAGUUGGUGUUCCAAGCUAUUUUCUCCAUGCGCUGGAAAAUCUCUUCACUAAUUAAAAAUAAACAUAUUAAUUAACACUUAAGUAAUAAUCAAAGCAUCAACAACUACGUCAUAGAAUUUACGAAAUAUGAUCUUAAUUAAUGAUCUCCAUUACCCUUUAUCUUAGCGUAUACGUACGCCUUCACAUGUUUAUUUGCUGAUAUGCAGCUUGAGUAAAAAUUUCUUUUUAAGAACAUAUAUGUGAAUAUAAACAUAUAUAUCUAGUGAUCCAUGUUGCGUUAUUUAAAAAUAAACAAAUUAAUUAAUUAAUGAACUGUGUACCUGUCUGUGUAGAGUAAUCCAUAUGCAUGCUUGAAUCCUGAUCACCACGAAACCAUAAUAUAAGCUACUCAAGGCCCGGAAGCUAGGAUUGAAGAGAAAAACACCCAGUCAGAUUAAGCCAAUACAUCAAAGUUAAUACUUCCAAAUGUAAGCUUUAAGAUAGAAAAAUCACUUACUUCCUUGAGCAGUCGAGCUUCUUCAAUGGCAUGAAGCUUUUAGCAUGAGAUUGACUGCAUCACAACUAAAAUUUUCUCUUGGAAACUACAUAAGGAAUAGCAUGUAUACCUAUAACGUUGAGAAAGUACGCCAAUUUUUUCCUUCUGCACAUUCAUGUUUAAAAGUAAUCCUCAAAUGAACUUGCCCACAAUGAAAUGCAAUUUGAGGUAGUCGAGUGUGUUCCAUUUCCAUCCCAUCGGAAUUACUACUAAACUUUGAGAUGGUAGAGGAUUCAUGAAAUUUUUUACUUUUGAAAUAGUCUCCUUAGCAUUUCUCGACUAUAACAAUGAGGAAAUACUUCACCUUGUAUCAAACAAGGGAGACCGAAAAUCAACUACUAAUAGCAUCACAGAGCCAGCAGAAGAUUGAGGAGGCCAUGAAAAGGAAAGAGAAAAUACACUCUUUUUUUGUAAGGACAGAGAUAAUACAUUCAAUAAAGGGUACUGAUGUUUAUAUGCAAAGCUGAUUAGGUUUAAAUAGUCGUAUUUAUUCUGUACAGUGCCAAUAUUACCACCCGUUAGUACACUUUCAAGACACUGUAAUCCAGUGUAUGCACUAUGCAGUACGUAGUACUCCUCAUUUUUUUGGGGAAAUUCAUUAUUGGUCUUCAUAUCUUCUUUAUUUUCCUUGUCCUCAUUGUGCCACGUGUUUAAAUCACUAAUUAUAGGUAAUCUUUCAAUUUAAUUAAAUCUUAUGUAAAAAAAGAUAAUUAAAUAUCAUUUAGUAUUACAAUAUAGUGAUAUUCCUCUUUAGUAUAAAAUUUUUAUAAUUAAAAGCGUUCAGCUUUUUAAUCUUCAUUGGAAUAUUAUCUAUAAAGAAAAAUUAUUCGAAUCAGAGAUCAUUUAUGCAUUCAAAUGUAUAAAAUACAUCGACAGUGUGAGAACCAACUAAUAUAUUUUUGAUGAAGUACAAUUAUUGAAUACAUUUGAACGAUCAAAUGAUAUAUGAUUCAAAAUACAUAUUAAGAUAAUAAAUAUAAAAGAAUUGUUAUUUGCACUUCAAGAAUCUCAUUCUACACUCUAAAUUUUCUAUAUAUUAAAAGAAAAAUAAAUUUGUGAAAAGUGUAGAAUGAGGUUUUUUUAAAUGCUAAUAACACUUCUCUAAAUACAAUUAUGAAAUUAAUUAAGUAAAGAUACAUGACCUCGUGAAUGAUGAAUGUAUUAUUCAAAAAAAUAUUAAAAACAAAUUGAAAAAGGACGCUGUUGUUGCCACCACUUAUGCAAUGAUCGUCGCUGCCAUCACCAACCCCCAACACCCCAUUACAGCUCAUAAAAGCACAUCAUAAGCAAUUUAUGAAAUAAAUUUACUGGAAUACUAAUUUCCCCCUUAGUUUAGGUCACCAAUGUUUAAAUUUAGGGAUCGUGAUAUCCACACACAUUUUUUACUUCUUUCACACUUUUUUUUUCGGUUGUCGGAUCAGAUGAAUUGAAGAAAAUCAAUGAACAGAAAUUAACAAGGGGUGUGUGAGAAGUAAAAAUGAAUGUGUGGAUAACACACCCCUAAAUUUAUCACAACUUUCAUUCCAAAUUUAAUUUUUAUCCGUAGUUUUGUUUGUUCAAAUUUACUUUGACAUUUCCAUUAGUAUUAAAAUCUAAUUUAAAUUUUAGUGUUCAAGCUAGAAAAAGUGUUCCAUUUAAUAUUUAAUCUCAGUUUUUCUCUUUAUUCUUUUAUUGGGAUUUGGUUGCAUCGUAUCUCCAUUUUUCUCGGUGUUGUAUGUUCAUAAGGCCUGUGAAACGUUGGCACGGAGUGAAGGGUACUCACUUUUUGGCCCAAAAUGCAUAAGGCAUGUAGAUAUGUUAAUCAAAUUUUGUAAACUAAAGGAUAUAGAAGUUGAUAAUUAGAUUAUAAUUUAAGAUAAUACUAAGGAGACUAAAUUUGCAAACUAAAUGAUGUGUCACCAAUAAAAAUAAGCACGUUUAUCAACAAUUAAGUAAUAAAUCAAUCAUCAACUUUCAUGUCCUUUAGUUUCCAAGAUUUAAUAUACAAAUUUAGUCUCCCAAGCAUUACUCUAUUACUUAAGUAUUGAUUAACAGACUUAUUUCUUAUGGUGACACAUUAUUUAGUUUACAAUUUUAGUCUACCCAACAUUACUCUUUUGAAAUUGUCUUGUCCACUGAUAUAAUUCUAUUUUUCUUGUGAUCAAAACUUCAAAUGUUAGCAAGUCGCACGUAAAGUCGCUUAUGAGAGAAUGUGCUCACAUUGUAGUUGAAAGAUUAUGUGGCUAGCAACAUUACAAAUUUAAUUUGGUAUAAUUCUAAAAUAUAGAUUGAGGAAAAAAUGAUCACAUUAACUAGAAACUGAAAAGGUUUCAGCACAGUUUGUUCAAGCAAGAAAUUCAAUUUUGAUGCUACCGAUCUUAACAGCCUGAGCGCCGUACCUGGGCACCAAAGUCACCACCACACUCUCAUCAUCUUCAGCACCCAAAUCCUCCAACAGGUCCGUUAACCCCAACCUUAAACAACUCUUGCUCUUUUCCUUCUGCUUAUGUGGCACACUCACAAAACUCCCAGCAAACUCGCUCUUGUCGGGUCCACUCGGUGCCGCAUCCUCAUCGUCCACGUCAUUCACAUACACACAUCAAACUUCACAGCCACAUCUUUGUCAAGCUCAAUCCCCUGAAUCACCAAUAUCUCCUCCUCAUCCUCUUUCUCCUUCUUGCUCCUCUUCUUCGGCUUCGGCCUUGACACCACCGUACUUAUCUUCGUCUCCAAAUUUAUUGGAAAAUCUUUACCCGCCACCACCUUCCCUGAUGACGUCGUCUCAGUGGCCUUCGCCACUCCAGCCGCCUUUGCCUUUCUCGCAAGCUUUGUCCGACGUGGCGUCGGUCUAGACUUGAGCCAUGGAAUCUCAACAUCUUCAUACGUAUACCCUAGCUUUUUAUUAUCAAGAGUGUCCCUCACCGUGACCCUAACAAGCUCAGCAUUCUCGUCAUAAAACAAAAACCCCGUAUCCAACCAAUCCUUAUCGUUAAUAUCGUUAUUUUUAGUCCCUAUACUUUUCCAAAUAUUCCACAUUCGAUCUAUAUUCGAAUGGUGCGAAAAAAAUAUUGGAUCCCUUGCAGCGGAGUAAAAAUUCCCCAUGUCUUCAAAAUUAGGCUGCGUGUUAUCUCCGGUCCAUAAAUGAACCGGACCAUGUGGGGUCGUUUCGAUUGAACCGCCCCCUGGAUCUGGUUCAGUGUCAGCCCUGUAGGGCGAACCAAAGAACAACAGCGGUUUCUUGGAGUUGGAAACCAUCUGCCUAUACAUGAUUUUGAGGUUGGCGUCGAUUUGAGCAUCCUUGGACAUUGUUUCAUCCGUGCCGUUGAAGUCAAGAUCGAUGAGAGUCGGCGGCUGAUGGCUGGCAGCGCGGAGCUCGUCGUAAAGCGGAGAGUCCGGGUUAGCGAACAAGGCAGGGAGUUGCAUGCCAGCUGGCGCGUCCCAGUUCCAAAACGGCAACGCGAACGUCGGAUCGUCUAUGAGUUUGGCCAAGAUUCUUUCGUAGAAGUAUACGUAGUAACGAUGGAAGGGGAAGAAAAGCCAGCAUUGAUGGAUUUGGAGCUCGAGGUUGGGGAAGCCGACUUGGUCGUACGCGCCGUCGCAAUAGGCACAGUGGAGAUCGGCUUGCUGGGUGAAGCUACGCGGAUCGUCGUCCGGGAGGGCUUUCAUGAGCUCGAUGGCUUUUGAAUAUUUUUCGAUGUAGGCUUUAUCCACGGUGUGAGCUGCCGGCCUGACGCGGAGUUUGGUAGGGGAGGGGAAUUUGAAGUCUACGAUUUUUUGGGACGUUGGCGGGCAACAGUUGAUCGGGACUGCUCCACUUGGAAAGUCCGCAGCUCCGCAUUUGGCUAGGUCAGGCGGCAACACUGGCUUUGCAACAGCGAAGGGGUCGCUGCCAAGACCAGCCACUCCGGCUUUGCAACAGCGAAGGGGUCGCUGCCAAGACCAGCCACUCCACCGUAGAGGCUUCCGAGACCUAUAAGAAGAUAGAAUUCAGUUCUUGGCAGUAGAGGACUCUAUUGCAGGGAAAAACUGAUUUGAAUUAGGAAGGCUUAAGUAGUUUUCCAUAAGGAUUUUAAUAGGGAAUCCAUAUUCUAAUAUGAGAAGGAUAUGUGUGUACAUAUAUAUAUAUAUAUAUGGCAAUCUCUUCUCUCACAGGUGUGUGCUCUUUUGGAACUAAGCCCUAUUCUUAGUUUGAGUGAUAAAUACCCUGACAGAGAGAAGAAGAAUUGAUGUGCUUUUCAGGUUGAUCGAGAUCCACCAUGACUGCAUCAAACGGGAGUUCUACAGGUUAGUAUAAUUAGGUUUUAUUUGGAUUGAUGUUUUGUGUCUACUUGGUUGUAGUUUAAGUAACUGAAUCUUGCAGCUAGAUUUUGGUUUACAUGUGGUAUCAGAGCCAUAGAUUCAUGUUCUUAAAUUCAAUCGAUAAAAUUGAUUGAAUCCAAAAUAAAAUUCCGAUCUUCAGACUUCGAAACAGGUUCUGGUAGUUAAAAUUAGGAAAAGAAGAAACGGUGCGUUUUGAUUAAAAUAUGAUGAUUAAUACUUGACCGUUAAGAGCUAAUAAACUAUCUUCUCUUCCGAAUUGGGAAUACAAAUCGACAUCUAUCGAUUUCGAUUUCGGGGUUUGAAAAACUGGGUUAUAUGACAUCUAUCGAUUUCGAUUUCGAGGUUUGAAAAACUGGGUUAUAUGAAUUGUUAUUGAGUAUCCACAAUUUAUAUUAAUUGCUUCCGCUGCUGGGUGUUGAUGCUCAUAGAACAAACGGGUAUGUCUCCUGAACAUUGAAUUGAAAUUUGUUUUUUAAUCAAUCUUAUCUUGAAUUUCAUUAUGUUCUACAGCAUGAUUCGAAUAGUGAGCAUAAAAAUAUGCUUAUUUAUGCUGAUUAGUCCUAUGUUUAUGCGUUUUUCUCUAACCAUCUAUGGAAGGGAGUUCUUCGAUAAGAACCUCUGCAGAUUUCACUUGUUUUAUGCAGAAAGUUUUAUGAAGAACUGUUCAUUUGAUAAAGAUCUGCUAAAACUGUGUUCUUAAAUGGAAAAAUCUUUUAUUCUAUAUGUGCUUAUCAAUUCUUCAUUGUUAAGAUUAUAUAUAUGGAUAAAAGGUUUUGAUGAUAUGAUGUACAAAGGAUUGUGAGAUGAAAUCUGGAACUCUAAACGUUCUUCUGUGAUUCAUUGUGAUUUCAUUGUGCUACAGUGUCUGCAAUAUCAAUGAAGACUCUGAAUUUGGCUAACAUCCCAAUUCUUACUGGUGGGGGAAAUUACAAGAAGUGGAGAAGGGAAAUCAGUUUGCUGUUGACUCUAAACGAGUUUGAUAUAGCAAUCGAGAAUCCCAAACCCGUGGUCAAUGAUCAGAGCAGCACAAGGGCUGAAAAGGCAGAUUUUGAGAGAUGGACAAGGGCUAAUAAGGUAGCAUUGUCCAUCCUUGAGAGUGGCAUGACUGAUACAAUCAGAUGAGGAAUUAAGAAGCACGAUUUGGCUGCUGAUUACCUAAAAGCUAUUGAAAAGAAAUUUCAAGAAUCUGAAAAAGCUGAAGUGAGUCAGUAUAUGUCUUUAUUAACUACUUACAAGAUGGAGGGUACAAGCUCUAUAAGGGAUCACAUAAUGAAGAUGACAUAUGCUGCAGAAAGACUCAAUGCAAUGGAUAUAAACAUAGGUGAAAAGCAGUUAGUAUUCAUGAUUCUUCAAGCACUUCCCAGUAAAUAUAGUCAGUUGAAGAUCUCCUACAAUACUCAAGACAAAAACUGGGAUAUUGAUCAGUUGAUUGCACAGUGUGUGCAAGAAGAAACUCGUCAAAAACAAGAAAGAGGCAAAGAAGUUGAGGACAUCAACUUUGUGCAAACUAUAAAUGACAAAAAGCAGUUCAACAACAGAAGCUUUUCUGGUUCUGGUAAGAGUUCUAAGCCUUUUAAAACUUCUAAUAAGUUCAGUAAUUCUGCUAAAGUAGUUGACUCCCCUAGAAAAUCUAUCAAGUUUAAAGCUAAACCUAAAGAUGUGUCUAAAUUAAAAAUGUUUUUGGUGCAAAACUAAGGGCCAUUUAAAAGUUAACUGUGAAAUUUUCAAAGAUUAUGUAAAGAGCAAAGAAAAGGAACAAGUACUUGUCUGUAUUGAAUCAAAUUUGUGAAGUAUACCUGUUGAUUCUUGGUGGUUUUGAUAUACCGGAUGCUCAGUGCAUAUAACUAAUUCUUUAAAUGGUUUUCAAAAACAAAAGGAAUUUGGAAAUGCUACAUAUAAUGUUUUUGUUGGGGAAGGAACUAAAGUUGCAGUAGAGUCAAUUGGGAUAGUCAAAUUAGUCUUAUGUUCUGGUUAUGUUUUAGAGUUGAAAGAUGUGUGCUAUAUGUGCCUAAGAUGAGAAGAAACUUAAUUUCUGCCCUCUAAAAUUGUAAAAGAUGGUUUUUCUUUUCUUGGUGAUGAUGAGUGCCUCAAAAAUUUUCAAGAAAAACUGUCCUUGUCCUAACACUAUUUUAGGGACUGCUUUUUUGUCUGAUAAUUUAUGGAAUCUAAAUUGCACUGUUAAGGCACUCAAUCACACGAUUUUCAGCAUUAGUACUAAGAGAAUGAUAGGUCAGGAUACUUCAUACAUUUUAUGGCACAAAAGACUAGGACACAUCUCUAAAGAAAGGAUAAUUAAGCUGUAAAAAACUGACUUGAUUCCAAAAUUAGAUCUUUCUACUGCAACUGAAUGUGUUGACUGCCUAAAGGGUAAAAUGACCAAUUUUAGAAAAACAGAUGCCAAAAUGAGCCAGGGGUUACUUGAAAUCAUACACACUGAUAUCUGUGGUCCUUUUCCAGUUAAGACAAUAUGUGGAAACAAGUAUUUCAUUAAUUUCAUAGAUGAUUUUUCAAGGCUGGGAUAUACCUUUCUGAUUAAUGAAAAAGCUGAUGCCCUUAAGUGUUUUAUAAUUUACAAAACUGAGGUUGAAAAACAGUUAGGCAAGGUUAUUAAAAUUGUUAGAUCGGAUAGGGGAGGUGAAUACUUUGGCAGGUACACUGAAUCCGGGCAGCAAAAGGGACCAUUUGCUCUCUAUCUCGAGAAGAAUGGUAUUGUGGCGCAGUACACCACACCUGGAACGCCUCAACAGAAUGGUGUUUUUGAAAGAAGAAACAGGACUCUUAUUGGUAUGGUUAGAAGCAUGAUGUCCAGAUCAAAAUUGCCAGGAUUCUUGUGGGGAGAAGCUUUGAAAACAGCUAAUCAUAUAUUGAAUCGAGUUCCAAGCAAGGCAGUAUCUACCACACCCUAUGAGUUAUGGCAUGGGAGAGUUCCUAGUUUUACUUAUUUCCAUGUUUGGGGUUGUAAAGCAGAAGCUAAGUUAUAUAAUCCUAAUGAAAGAAAGCUGGAUUCAAGGACUCAGUCAUGUUAUUUUAUUGGCUAUCCUGAGAAAUCAAAAGGAUACAGGUUCUAUAUCCCUCAAGGUCACACUCGGAUCCAAGAGACACACAAUGCAGUUUUCCUAGAAGAUGAAGAUGUCUCUCAUUUGUCAAGGGAAAAUUUCAUAUUUGAAGAGAUGCAUUCAGAUGGUGGGGACCAUGUGACAAUGGAUUAUAAUAUCGGUCUCAUUGUUUCCCAAUCAAUCAUCAAUUGCCAUUGAAGAUAUGAGUGAAGAUUUAGGAGUUCCUGAUGACAACUCUGUAGGAGUUGAUUCCACAACAUAAGCUGCAACAAUUCCUUUUGCAGAAGCAUGUGAACCAGUUGCUGUUCCACCUCCAGUUGAAAUCAGAAGGUCACAAAGAGCUCGGAAAACCACUGCAAGCAAUGACUAUGUGUACUUAUAAGAGACUGAGUUCGAUAUUGGUGACAUUUGAUGAUCCUCUUACAUAUACUCAGGCAACUGAAAGUCCUCAAGCAGUUCUUUGGAACAAUGCAAUGAAGGAUGAGUUAGAUUCAAUGUCCAAAAACCAGGUUUGGACAUUGGUGGAAUCCAACUCUGAAAUUAGGCCAAUAGGCUGCAAGUGGGUAUAUAAAACCAAAAGGGAUGCUGCUGGAAGAAUUGAAAGAUAUAAAGCAAGGUUGGUUGCUAAGGGGUUUACUCAAACGGAGGGGAUCGACUAUAAUGAUACUUUCUCUCCAGUUUCCUCCAAAGACUCCAUGCGAGUUAUCAUGUCUUUAGCUGCCUACUUCGAUCUUGAAUUACAUCAAAUGGAUGUAAAAACCGCUUUUCUUAACGGAGACUUACAAGAGGCUAUAUACAUGAAACAACCUGUUGGAUUUGUUGAAAAGGGGAAAGAGAAUUUAGUAUGCAAGCUCAAUAAGUCCAUAUACGGCUUGAAACAAGCAUCAAGGCAAUGGUACCUAAAGUUUGAUCAAAUUGUCUCUGCAUAAGGUUUUGUAGAAAACAAACUGGAUGAUUGUAUAUACAUUAAGUUCUCAGGUUCCGAGUUCAUCUUCUUAGUACUUUAUGUUGAUGCCAUUCUCCUAGCUAGUUCAUGUCCCCAAUUGCUUCAUAGCAUUAAGAGAAUGCUAAGUGAUAACUUUGAGAUGAAAGAUCUUGGAGAAGCACAUUAUGUACUAGGAAUAGAGAUUGUUCGAGAUAGGAAAAUGAGGCUCCUUGGUUUAUCUCAAAAGGGGUACAUUGACAGAGUGUUGGAGAAAUUUCAUAUGGCAAAUUGCAAUUGUGGUCAGGUUCCAGUCAAUAAAGGUGACAAGUUUUCGAAGAUUCAAUGUCCAAGAUCUGAUUUGGAGGUGAAGAAAAUGCAAGCUAAGCCUUAUGCCUCGUUGAUUGGAAGUCUUAUGUAUGCAACUAUCUGUACAAGGCCUGAUAUUGCCUUCAUAGUUGGUAUGCUAAGACGAUUUCAAGCAAAUCCUGAGAAGCACAUUGGGGGUGGCAGCCAAGAAGGUUCUUCGAUACUUGCAGAGAACCAAAACUCACAUGUUAGUAUAAUGGCCGAACUGAUUCUUUGGAGCUCAGGGGGUAUAUACUCGGAUUUAGCUGGAGAUGUGGAUGACAGGAAGUCCACAGGGGUUAUAUCUUCAUACUCAAUGGAGGGGCAGUUUCGUGGAAAAAUGCAAAGCAAACUAUUAUAGCCACAUCAACUAUGGAAGCUGAGUUUGUAGCCUGUUUUGAAGGCAUGAAACAGGCAGCAUGGUUGAAGAAUUUUUUGACAGAUUUAAAGAUUGUGAAUUCGGUUCAGAAACCAGUAACAAUGUUCUGUGAUAAACAACUCGGCUGUGUUUUUUGCUAAGAAUAAUAAAAGGACUUCAGCAUCUAGAUUUGGAUGGACGAAGUUUCUUAAGGUCAGAGAACAAGUCAAGAAAGGAGUUAUUGAAGUACAGCACAUUAGCACUACUAUGAUGAUUGCUGAUCCCUUGACUAAGGCACUGCCAAUUGGAGAAUUCAAGAAACAUGUUUCUUCAAUAGGAGUACUAGAAGGUUUUGAUCAGUGGGAGUAAUCACGUGUGUGUUAAAGGCUUGGGAUUGCAGAAGCAGAAGUAUAUAUGUGUUUCAAGAACUGUAUGUGCAAUUCUGACAAGCUGAACUAAGGAUGCUUUAUGUUUUAACUUGCUUUAGUUAGUUUGUUAAGGUUGUUUGUGUUUUAAUAAGUGUCCUUGUCUGCUACUCAAUACUUUGGCUUUCAGGUGUUGAGGUACGGAUACUGGACUGAGUUAGAAUUUAGUUUCAUUAGUAACUUUGAAAGAACAGUUUGUCUGUUUUUUAAGUUUGUGGUUAAUGAUGUUAUAUAGUCAAUUACUAUGUUGCUUUUCUGUGAAGAUUAAUGUGUGUUGUGAUCUUUUGAAAAGUGGGAGCAUAAUGUUUGACGGUUUAUGUUAGUCAUGAGUCAUAUUUACAAAUUGAAUAUAUGUGAGCCUUGAAUUAAUACUACAAUUUGGUUGUGGUCUGAGAUUCUUGGUUUCUAUAUUUUGAGAUGUAAUGGGACAGUGGUCAUGAUGGUUAAAUCUUAGAUGAGGUUAUGUGAUCACUUCUUAUGAUUGGUGACGGCAAGGUUUGAUCUUUGUCUCAUGUUCAAGUGGGAGAAUGUAAGAAUGUGAACAUGAGAUAAGAUGAUCGGAUAUUAGUUGUUUGAGUCCAAUCCGAAUAAGAAAGCCUCUAAGAAGAUGGAAUUCAGUUCUUGGCAGUAGAGGACUCUAUUGCAGGGAAAAACUGAUUUGAAUUAGGAAGGCUUAAGUAGUUUUCCAUAAGGAUUUUAAUAGGGAAUCCAUAUUCUAAUAUGAGAAGGAUAUGUGUGUACAUAUAUAUAUAUAUAUGGCAAUCUCUUCUCUCACAGGUGUGUGCUCUUUUGGAACUAAGCCCUAUUCUUAGUUUGAGUGAUAAAUACCCUGACAGAGAGAAGAAGAAUUGUUGUGCUUUUCAGGUUGAUCGAGAUCCACCAUGACUGCAUCAAACGGGAGUUCUACAGGUUAGUAUAAUUAGGUUUAUUUGGAUUGAUGUUUUGUGUCUACUUGGUUGUAGUUUAAGUAACUGAAUCUUGCAGCUAGAUUUUGGUUUACAUAUUUUUCGAUGUAGGCUUUAUCCACGGUGUGAGCUGCCGGCCUGACGCGGAGUUUGGUAGGGGAGGGGAAUUUGAAGUCUACGAUUUUUUGGGACGUUGGCGGGCAACAGUUGGUCGGGACUGCUCCACUUGGAAAGUCCGCAGCUCCGCAUUUGGCUAGGUCAGGCGGCAACACUGGCUUUGCAACAGCGAAGGGGUCGCUGCCAAGACCAACCACUCCGGCUUUGCAACAGCGAAGGGGUCGCUGCCAAGACCAGCCACUCCACCGUAGAGGCUUCCGAGACCUAUAAGUACAUUUCUUCUGUCUAGGUUUACUAGAGAAGGGUUUUCAUGGUCGUGAUCGUUGGAGCUAGUGGAAGGGUUUUUGUUUUGGUCACUACUAUUAUUUGUGGCUUUGCACGAGACAGCUUGUAAAUUGGAAUGCCUAGGGUUUCCAAAUGAGGAUAUUCGGUGAUACUUUUGGGAGAAAGGGGAGAGAGAAGUUGUGGGGAUGAUACUUGUGGCGGAGGUGACGAGUGGAGCUGACAUAGAAGCCAUGGUACUUGACUCUGAAUAAUACGUUGUAUUGGCUUUGCUUUUAUAAUGUGUUCUAGGUUUUACGUUUCUUUGCACGGGUGGCAGGCCGUACACACGUGGUCGGUCCUUAAGGGUUUGACGAGGAAUACUACGCAGUCAUUUAGUACAUGACAACCAUACACUAUAGCACGUGGCAUGUAUUUAGAGAUCGAGAGAGAAUUGGGUAAGGUUCACGAGGGAUUGUAGUUUCAGAAGGUGAAUUGGUUUUGGUCUUCUUGUGUACCAAUAAUUUUUACUUAGUCAUUUAGUGCAGGACAACCAUGCACUAUAGCACGUGGCAUGUAUUCAGAGAUCGAGAGAGAAUUGGUUGGGUAAGGUUCACGAGGGAUUGUAGUUUCAGAAGUUCAAGCGGUUUUGGGCUUGUUGUGUACGGCUGUGGGUCUGCUGUCACGGACUCUCUGUCUCAUUUGUGUCUUAUUUUUUAUUUUUUGACACGUUUUAACGUCAAAUCAUUAUAGCAAUGUUAUGCAAUUGGGAGCUAAAUGACCGAUGCUCUUAUUUUUUAGUUUGCUUUUUUUCCAGAUCUGAUCAAAUCAUGAUAGCAAUGUUAUGCAAUUUUCAAGAGGGAGAGAUGCACCUGGGAGAGAAACGGUACGGUGACUUCUAAAUCACCGUCCAACAGAACAAUUCUCAGUAGAGACUACUAGAGAGAGAUGCACCUCACCAAUGAAAAAUUUAACUGCAAAAAUUCUGGGUAUCGGGAGUUGUGGGGUGGGUCUUGGCAGUUUUCUUAUUUCUUUGAAUUUUUUAUAAUUUAUUUUAUAAAAGUAACAGUGUUUUGUGGGGGUUAAAUUGUAAAACACGUGUCAUCAAACUAAAUAAAGAGACACCAAAGAGACAUGGAAUUCGGGACAACAGACCCACAGCCGUUGUGUACGGAGGCAGACUCUCUGCUCUCCUACUUUCUGUGUCCUCCUGUUUUGUGUAGUCACGAUUAAAUCACGUCAAUAUUUUAUAUUAUUAUUUUAUAGAUAUAAUAAGACAAAAAAGAAUAGUAAUUUAAAAUAUUAACGUGACUUAACUGUGACCACACGAAUAGGAAGGCAUGAGAAGUGGGAAGGCAAAGAAUAUGCCUCCGUUGUGUACCAAUAAUAUUAUAUAUAUAUAUAUAUAUAUAUAUAUAAUUAGGAUUGAAGGAUGUAGAGCUUAUUUUGUUAUGUAUUCUAACAAUUUAAGUGCUUAUCUUUUAGGUUUUCUCUUAAACAGCAUGCCUAUAAAAAAUCACCAAAAUUCAAACCAUAUGACCAUUAGAUCCAUAGUCAUUUUAGUGUUAAAUGAACUUCACAAAAUAAGUCUCAAAAUAUGUAUAAAAAAUGGACAGCGUGAAUGGUUUGGAAAUUGGAAUAGGUUUGGAAAUUGUGCUUUUUGUAGCAAAUUGCAGCAAAGUUUGCUUGGACUUUCACAACCGUAUAAAUUAAACUGUUCGCUUUGUUGGGAAAAACAAGUUUGCCGCUGGUCUUGGGUUCCAAGAUCGGCCAAUUUGACGGCACACUUUUUGGCGUUGAGAAGCAGUACGGAGAUGUGCAGAUUAACUUGGAUUGAUACUCCUCCAUCUUCGUUGGUUCGUGUAUUGAACAAAGAUGGCCUUCCUUGCCCUCCUUAAUAUUUUUUGUUCUUCCUGCAGUGGAGGCGGUGACGCCUUGCUCUUGGUGCAGCGUCUAGUGUUCUGUACCCUCCUCUUCUGCAUAUGUUUGUAUUUCCCCUCGUUGCCCCUUCUAAGUGGGCUUCCUAUUGUUUUGGCUUCGGCCCUGGUUAUGAAAUAUUUCCAAUCUUACCCAAAAAAAAAAAAAAAAAGAAGAAGAAGAAGAAGUCAAGCACGGUGGGAGACUGGUCAUAGUUUCUAGAUUGAUGCUCUAAUUCUAAUGUUAUACAACGCGUACGCUAAAAUAUUUUUAUCAAAAUAUUAGUUUUAGUGUUAUCAAAACAAUAAUGUUAUUCUUACCAUGUUUUUGUAUCACAAUUAUAUACCACCUUAGAUGGCAUAUGAUGUAGAUAGCCACAUCAUUUAAAUUAAUAAGCAUUUAAUUUCAAAUGUUAAUCAAUAAUUAAUAAAAUGAUUGUUAAUUAAAUGAUGAUUAUGGUAUACAAGGAGUCUCCUUCUUCCUUCCCCUUUCCAUUCUGCUUUUUCUUCCUACCACUUUCUGUUUUUUUUUUCAUGCCAGUUUUUGUAUUGAUUUCUAUUGAUUUCCAUGAUUAUGGUCAAUCUUUAUAGAAUUUACUCGUAUACCACAACCACCAUUGAUUUCUAUCUCUAGACUCAUGCCCCGUAGCCCUAAUCCUCAUUCCCCUUCAAGUAUUUCUGUCUCCAAUCUUCUUUGGUACUCCAUGGUUGUUCAUCUCGUGAUUUUUUUUUAUUAUUUCAUUAAGUAACGCCUAUUAGCUUUCAUGCGAAUUAGGAGUCAAAAUCAAAUUUGUCUAUCGGAUUAGGGUUCAUGCCCAAUUAAGUUACUAACGCAAGAGAGAUUUUGAAGUCUACAAUUUUCCUUAUUUAAGUGUUUUAAUUAAUAAGAAAAUUGAAAUUAAACGAUUUAGCUUGUCCAACUCAUCUGCCACCUAAGAUGGUAAAUAAAUGUGGUAAGAAUAGCAUUACUCUUAUCGAAAUUACAAAAAAAAAAAAAAAAAAAAAAAAAAGCUGAUUCAAUAUUUAGUUAUUAAAAAAAAUAUAAAAAAAGUGAUCAAGUAACUAUCCAAUACCCAUGUAUUGGGUGCUUUGUUUGAAAAUUUUCAAAAUGAUAUUGGGCUCGUUUGGAUAUGUUUUUAAAAUGACUGAAAGCGUUUUUAGAGAAAAUAUUUUUUUGAUUCCAAAAGCACUUAAAGUGUUUUCUGCAAAAAGCACUUAAAGUGCUUUCUGCAAAAAGCACCAGUUAUGUGCUUCUUCCUAGAAGCACUUUAAGUGUUUUUCAAGCAUUUACUUGCUUUUUUACUAAGGAUUGGUUCCAAAAACAUUUUCACAAAAAGUGUUUUCAGUCAUUUUAAAAGUACAUUCAAACGAGCUCAUUGUUUUUCCUAUUUUAAUCAAGUGCGUCGUCCCCUGUUGAGAAUGAAUCUCAUAUUAUGGGGAGAGGGGUCUUGCAUGGAUGAGAGGAGGGACCUUGCAUGAGCUUAUAAGUAAGUUGGGUUACUCUCUAUAUUGCCAAGAGAAAUUUUAUUUGGACCUACUUUUCCUCUCUCUAAACCCAACUUUAAUAUUUUGUUACCUAAACUCUCUAGUUUACCCUCAUAAAUUAUAAACAUAAAUAAACUGGAAAAAGAAAAACUCAUCAAACCUAUUUCCCAACUGUUCUGGCGUCUCUUCCCUGUAUUUGUUGGGUCUAUCUCCCUCCCGACUGUUUUUUUUCCCUGAUAUUCUCUGUGUGUUCCCCCACCUCUCCCACACCCACCGAUUCUUUGUGGUGGCUAUUCCACCCAACGUCCAGUGAAUCUUUCCAUUUUUCUUCUAUUGCGCGUGAUAGGGCCUUGCUGUUAAUAGGCAAAACUAAGCGGCAUCGUCGACUCUGUAAGCGACUUGUUGCAGAAGUCCAAAAUGGAGUCAAAAGGAUUUUGUAUUGGGUCGGGUUGUUGAAGGCGAUGGCUGAUUUAGCAAUCUCGCCUAACUACUUCUAUAUGCAGGAGAAGGAAGAGGGAGGAAGGUCUAAAGUGGUGGUUGAGUGGUGGCGAUGUAUGUGGGUUCUAUCUCGGUUGAAUGGGUGUAGAAAGAUAUUUAAUUUUCAGUUUCUUAUUUUAUUUUGUAUAAGGGAUAAUAUCGGAAUUACAUAAAAAGUUUUUUUUAUAGCUGGGUGUAGAAAUAGUAUUGUUGGGUCUAAAUAAAAUUACCCUAUUGCCAAACAUAGUAUUGUUGGGUCUAAAUAAAAUUACCCUAUUGCCAAUUAGCUUUGUUUGAAAAUUUUCAAAAUGAUAUUGUUUUUACCAUUGAACCCUUGUUAUAUACAGUGAUGGCUAAUUUGUCAAGUUCUACGAAGUUGGGAUACCCAGCGUUUUAGCAUAUAACAUAACUUAGUAUUACAAGCAUAAUUAAUUAAAAUAAAGGAAAAUGAAGAGGAUAGCUUAGUAUUACAAGCAUAAUUAAUUAAAAUAAAGGCAAAAGUAACAGCCUGUCCCUAAAAAUGACGAUUUUAUAAUCUUAACACGUGAGUUUAUGAAGAUGCCCUUCGAGGCAAAGUGUUGACUUGUGUUGACUACCGCAUCGUGUCAUGUGAGACUCAUCUUCUUGGCGUAUUCUCGUUUUACUUGUCACUACGGACGCAUGGGCGCAAACGGGACAUGAUUUGGAGCUAUAACGAAUGAGUUAUUAACAUUUAAAGUUAAGGACAUUUUAGUAAAUUAAUUAAUUUCAGAUUAUGUUGAGGGGAAAAUCUGGAGUGCCGGUGGGUGGCCCAGAUUAAAGGAAAUGAAGAAUGGAUGGUGGAGGUGUAAAGGAAAGAAGAUAAAAGAAAAAUGAGAGGAAGUGUGUGACUAAUAGGGAGAUGAGAGAGUUAGGAUGGCCCAAUCAGAAACAAACGAAAGGAGGAAAAAGGAGAGAAGAGGGGAGCGGGGGAUCCCUUCGACCCGGUUCCAUUUUCCGACCCGACCCGAUCCUUUUCAUCUUCUUUGAUGGUUUUUCGUCGGUUUUUUCCGACGAACCACGUUAUCUAACCCCUUGGAAAAUGUUCCACAACCUUCCCUCAACUAUUACAAUCCAAAAUUGUAGAAAUUUAGCCAUGAAAGUAUGAAAACCACACCGGUGGGUGCGGGAAACCCUUGUCGUCGAUUCUCCCAUUAUUGCAACGAUUUUCACCAAUUACCACCACCUACAACAUCCUCUUGAGGUCUGGAAUAAAGCCCAAACAAGUUUUGCACUACUACAAUAUUAGCUUUAGAUGGCAGAUGAUGGUGGCGGAUUUAGAAAAAUAUUGUCGGAUAAAUUAUAUCUGACACAUUAUUUAAUUAGUGGUGAAUAUAAGAAAAAUCAUGUCGGUUAUAACCGACAUAAAUUCGUGGCAGAUACUAGCAGAUAUUAAAAAACUCAUGUCGGUUAUAACCGACAUAAAUUCCUAGCGAAUAAUUACUGACAGAUAUUAUAAAACUUCUGUCGGUUAUAACCGACAAUAUUUUUGAAUUGGGGGAAUUUAAAAUUUUGGGAGGGAAUUUAAAAUUUUGGGAGGGAAUUUAAAAUUUUGGAGGAAAUUUUGGGGGGAUUUUUACCCAUAUUAAUUCAUGGCGGAUAAUUACUGACGAAUAUUAUAAAGCUCAUGUCGGUUAUAACCAACAAUAAUGAAAAUGUUUAUGUCGAUUUUUAUUAAAAAAAUGUUUCUGUCAGUUUUAACCGACAUUAAUGAAAAUAUUCCACAGUAAAACCCCUACUUCUUCUCCUUGUGCUGGUGCCUUCUCCCUUCCCCCUUCUUUCCCCCUUUUCUCUUCUCCUCAUUUCCUUUUCCUUUGUAUUUUUGAUUUUGACAAGGUCUCUCCUUUAUUUGAUUCUUUGUUGUUCAUCUCUCACAAAUGUAGAGAGAGUAAAGGAGAUGCUUAGAGCGCUUUCUUUGUUCCUUUUUUUUUUCUUUUCAUUUUUUCCCUUUUCAAACUCCGACUAUGUCUUACAUGGCCGGUCCCAAGCCCGGAUAAAGGAGGAGGGGGAGGGCGUCAGGUAGUCGACAGCCGGCACUCCAUGAUCACGUCGAAUCCUUAUGAAAAUGAAUCCAGAACAAAAUCGCGCUAAAGCUAGGGCGCCACCCGUAAGUGGCGCGCUGUGUGGCCCGAGCACAGUGAUAAGUGAGCAAGGGUCGCUGUAUCUCCAUCGGCACUCGGAUGCAGUGUUAAAUGAGCAAGGGGGCCAUAGAAACUUCUUUUCGAACGACUCCACUCAAAGUUGUUUGGGAGCAUAUGCUCCUAUCAACUUUACCCGGGACACACAAAAGAAGUACUUUGAUCCUAUUAGACGGGGGAGGGUGAAGAAGCUAGGACAGAAGGGUAGAGUUCAAGAGAGCAAAAUGCGUUUAGGAACGUGGAAUAUAGGAACCUUAACGGGAAAAUCUAUGGAAGUAGUGGAAGUUAUGGUGAGGAGAAGGAUAAAUAUUAUGUGCCUACAAGAAACUAAGUGGGUUGGUAGUAAGGCAAAGGAUCUAGAAAACUCAGGGUUUAAACUUUGGUAUUCGGGCACAAAUAGAACGAGAAACGGUGUUGGCAUCAUCGUGGACAAGACCUUGGUACAAGAUGUUGUAGAUGUCAAGAGUGUAGGAGAUAGAAUCAUGGCAAUCAAGAUUGUAAUAGGACAAGAACUUAUCAAUGUGAUUAAUGCGUACGCACCUCAAGUAGGGUUGGAUACGAGUUCGAAGGAGAAAUUUUGGGAAGAUCUUGGAGACUUGGUGCAAGGAAUUGCUCAGACGGAGAAGUUAUUUAUAGGAGGAGAUUUAAAUGGACACGUGGGCAGGGAGACAGGCAACUAUGGAGGUUUUCAUGGUGGCCAUGGUUUUGGGGAGAGAAACGAGGAUGGGGAAGCUAUCUUGGAUUUUACAAUGGCAUAUGAUCUCUUCUUAGCCAACACCUUCUUUAAGAAGAGAGAAGAACAUGUGAUCACCUACAAGAGUGGGUCGUCAAAAACACAAAUAGAUUUUCUUCUAAUGAGGAAAGGGGAUCGUAUAACUUGUAAGGAUUGCAAAGUUAUACCAGGAGAGAGCGUGGCUAAUCAACAUCGCUUGUUGGUGAUGGAUGUACAUAUCAAAAGAGUAAGACAAAAGAACAAGACUUGGAAGUGCCCAAGGACUAGAUGGUGGAAUCUAAAAGAAGAAAAACAAGUCAUUUUCAAAGAGAAGGUAAUCACCCAAUGUGUGUGGGAUAGAGAGGGGGAAGCUAGCCAAAUGUGGGAUUUCAUGGCUAGUUGUAUCCGAAAAGUAGCAAAAGAGGUAUUAGGAGAGUCUAAGGGCUUUGCCCCACACUAAAAGGAAUCUUGGUGGUGGAAUGAGGAGGUACAAACAAAGGUGAAGGCUAAGAAGGAAUGUUGUAAAGCCUUAUACAAGGAGAGGACCGAUGAAAAUGGUGAAAGGUAUAGAAAAAAAGCGAAGCAAGAGGCGAAGAAAGCUGUCAGAGAAGCUAAGUUAGCGGCUUACGACGAUAUGUAUAAACGACUAGAUACCAAAGAAGGAGAGUUGGAUAUCUAUAAACUAUCUAGAGCAAAGGAAAAGAAGACAAGGGACCUAAACCAAGUGAGGUGCAUCAAGGAUGAGGAUGGAAAGGUUCUUGCUACAGAGAACGCGGUUAAAGACAGAUGGAGAGGUUAUUUUCAUAAUCUUUUCAAUGAAGGACAUGAAAUGAGUGCUUCUUUAGGGGAGUUGAGUAACUCAGAAGAGUGUAGAAACUACUCUUUUUAUCGUCGAAUCCGGAAGGAAGAAGUGGUUGUAGCUUUGAAGAAGAUGAAGCAUAAAAAAGCAAUAGGCCCAGACAAUAUACCAAUCGAAGUGUGGAAACUUUUGGGAGAGACAGGUAUAACAUGGCUCACUGACCUUUUCAAUAGGAUUUUGAAAACGAAAAAGAUGCCAAAUGAGUGGCGAACGAGCACUUUGGUGCCUAUCUACAAGAAUAAGGGCGACGUACAAAAUUGCAUGAACUAUAGGGGUAUUAAGCUAAUGAGUCAUACAAUGAAGCUCUGGGAGAGAGUCAUUGAGCAUAGAUUGAGGCAAGAGACACGGGUUUCGGACAACCAAUUCGGGUUCAUGCCAGGGCGCUCAACCAUGGAGGCAAUCUAUCUCUUACGAAGAUUGAUGGAAAGAUAUAGAGAUGGGAAAAAUGAUUUACACAUGGUCUUUAUAGAUUUGGAAAAAGCGUAUGAUAGGGUCCCAAGAGACAUUCUUUGGAGGAUUUUAAAGAAGAAAGGAGUACGAGUAGCAUAUAUCCAAGCUAUAAAGGACAUGUAUGAAGAAGCAAAGACUGCCGUAAGAACUCAUGAAGGACAAACCGAAAGCUUUCCCAUAACUGUAGGAUUACAUCAAGGCUCAUCCUUAAGUCCUUACCUUUUUGCGUUGGUAAUGGAUGAGUUAACAGGACAUAUUCAAGAUGAUAUUCCUUGGUGUAUGCUUUUCGCAGACGAUAUAGUGUUGAUAGAUGAAACUCAGGAAGGGGUAAAUGCAAAGCUUAACCUUUGGAGAGAAGUGUUGGAAUCUAAAGGUCUUCGCCUAAGCCGAUCAAAGACAGAAUAUAUGGAGUGCAAGUUCAGUGCAAAUGGAGGCCAAAACGAGUUAGGGGUGAGGAUCGGAGAUCAAGAAAUACCAAAGAGUGACCGUUUUCGUUACCUAGGAUCUAUCUUGCAAAAGAACGGAGAAUUAGAUGGAGAUCUCAACCAUAGAAUACAAGCUGGAUGGAUGAAGUGGAAGAGUGCAUCUGACGUGUUGUGUGACCGUCGUAUGCCACUGAAGCUCAAAGGAAAAUUUUAUAGGACGGCAAUAAGGUCGGCGAUGAUUCAACUUGGCGGGUUCGAGCAAAUAGGCGUUGGGCCAUAUUAGACACAGAACCUGCACACUGAACACUGAGAGCUAGCGAAUCCUUAACAGCUAACUCAUCAGACCGUUUGGAAAGUAGUCUGUUAUCUUUGGGAGUGAGAAGGUUCCUGGCCACCACCGCAGCGGUCAUAUCAUUCUUCAUCACGGAAUCCCCAACGGUAAGAGGACCAGUAGGGGAGACAAAGGAUGGGCGCCAUAUGUUGUCUGGAGAAGGCGGGGCUGCCUCUUCAACAAGGUUCAAGUCAAAAAACGACGGUCGGAGGGCCAGACAUUUUCAAAGGUGUUGAAGAGAGAAGAGGUCGGACACAAAUCAAGAUCUUAGAAGUGCAAGAAUGAAGCUUCUACUGGUGGAGAUUCAAGUGUGCUUUGGAACUUAAUGCCAGCCCCUAUAAAAAUCUGCACUCGACGGAGCUUCAGAAAUCGAAGAGGCGUUUGCUUUCUCAAAAGCUGGGCUGCUUAGAGAUCACGAGGGUUGAUCUCAGGAAUCGAAGAGGCGUUUGCUUUCUCAAAAGUUGGGCUGCUCAAAGACCACGAAGGCCGAUCUCAGAAAUCGAAGAGGCGCUCACUUUCUCAAAAACUGGGCUCCCCAGAGACCACGAGGGCCGAUCUCAAAAAUCGAAGAGGCACCUACUUUUCCAGCCUUGUCAGCACCUGUCACACGCACACUCAGCUUUGCGGAAAUUAUGGGCAUUCUGUCGAAGACUUCUGGGGAAGUAGAAAACACAUGAAUCUUACUGUUCAAUCACCCACUUCCCACACGCAAUAAUAGCUCAUGGGUACCACAGAUAACUUUGCCAAAGUUCUCUGCCAAAGUUGAGCACGUGAAGCUUGCAGCUCCCACUACAUCGCUCUGACCAAGAAGGGUAAAAAGAAUAGCAAAGAAACAGCACUAACAAAGUUUAGACCCAUAAAUUUUGAAGGUCUAGCUACCAUAUUAUUACCCACAAGGGUAAAGGAACAGUACCACUGCUGGAUAAUUGGAAAGUCCCUAUGUGUCAACCUCUGUGCUUCGUGGCAAGGUAGACUAGCAAACAUGCCCAACCUUUACUCACAUUCGAGAAAACACUCCCAAUAAGAUUGCUUGCUCCAAAAUCGAAGAGGCACCGUCCUCCGAAUCUCGAGAGCCAGACUCCCAACAUGACUACUUUCUUAAAAAUCGAAGAGAGGGUAAAGGAACAGUACCAUUGCUGGAUAAUUGGAAAGUCCAUGUGUGUCAACCUCUGUGCUUCGUGGCAAGGUAGACUAGCAAACAUGCCCAACCUUUACUCACAUUCGAGAAAACACUCCCAACAAGAUUGCUUGCUCCAAAAUCGAAGAGGCACCGCCCUCCGAAUCUCGAGAGCCAGACUCCCAACAUGAUUACUUUCUCAAAAAUCGAAAGAGACACUGCUCCCCGAAUCUUCGAGAGCCAGACCCCCAGCAUGAUUGCUUUCUCAAAAAUCGAUGAGGCAUCGUUCUCCGAAUCAAUCGAAGAGGCGCUCGCUUUCUCAAAAGCUGGGCUGCUCAGAGACCACGAGGGCCGAUCUCAGAAAUCGAAGAGGCACUUACUUUUCUAGCCUUGUCAGCACCUGUCACACGCACACUCAGCUUUGCAGAAAUUAUGGGCAUUCUGUCGAAGACUUCUGGUGAAGUAGAAAGCACAUUAAUCCUACUGUUCAAUCACCCACUUCCCACACGCAACAAUAGCUCAUGGGUACCACAGAUAACUUUGCCAAAGUUCUCUGCCAAAGUUGAGCACGUGAAGCUUGCAGCUCCCACUACAUCGCUCUGACCAAGAAAGGUAAAAGAAUAGCAAAGAAACAGCACUAACAAAGUUUAGACACAUAAAUUUUGAAGGUCUAGCUACCAUAUUAUUACCCACAAGGGUAAAGGAACAGUACCACUGCUGGAUAAUUGGAAAGUCCCUGUGUGUCAACCUAUGUGCUUCGUGGCAAGGUAGACUAGCAAACAUGCCCAACCUUUACUCACAUUCGAGAAAACACUCCCAACAAGAUUGCUUGCUCCAAAAUCGAAGAGGCACUGUCCUCCGAAUCUCGAGAGCCAGACUCCCAACAUGACUACUUUCUCAAAAGCGAAGAGAGGGUAAAGGAACAGUACCAUUGCUGGAUAAUUGGAAAGUCCCUGUGUGUCAACCUUUGUGCUUCAUGGCAAGGUAGACUAGCAAACAUGCCCAACCUUUACUCACAUUCGAGACAACACUCCCAACAGGAUUGCUUGCUCCAAAAUCAAGAGGCACCGCCCUCCGAAUCUCGAGAGCCAAACUCCCAACAUGAUUACUUCCUCAAAAAUCGAAGAGACACUGCUCUCCGAAUCUCGAGAGCCAGACCCCCAGCAUGAUUGCUUUCUCAAAAAUCGAAAAGGCAUCGUUCUCCGAAUCUCGAGAGCCAGAUACCACAGACCACUUUUUCAAAGUGCUCUGACAGAGUUAAAACAUGUGAAACUGGCAGCUCCCACUACCGUGCUAUGACCAAGCAGGGUAAAGGAAUAGCAUUACUACUUGUUGUUAGGGAGACUCCUAUAUAUGUCGACCUCCAUCCCCAACGGACAGGCAGACCUGCAAAAAUGCUCAACCCUUCAUCAUAUCUGAGUGGGCACUCCCAACGAAGCCUUUCGAAAUAUUCAGCUUUCUUUCCCCCCGAUAAUACCUCUGCAAACAAGCUAUACUAGAGCAAGAAUAUCUCAUAUCAUCAGGGUUAAAAGCAAGAGUAUCCCAUAUCAUGCUUUUUCCCUGUCUUUUCCUUUGGCCUUGUUUUUACCUGCAAGACAAGGAGAAAGAGAGCAAUCAGUCAGCACUUGGAAUCAAGCUUCCAACCAGGAAAUGACUGCCUGGAACCCCUUACUUGGCAUUGCUCUCGAGUACUCAUCUUCAACAUCUUAUGUUUCCAGGGAAGAUUCUGCAUCUGCUUGAGGAACAGAUAGGGCAAGUGCGAAGGAUACAAGGAAGCAUGCGGAGACAAGCGUAACAGCACACGUGCCGAUACAUCCAUUACUCUGUCAAAAGCAAAAGUAUCCCAUAUCAGCAGGGUGGAACGUACUCUAGAUUUGAUGGACUUGUUUUGACCCUCAAAUUCUUCAGUCGGCCUUAUAUUCUGGAGGAAACCAGAAAACCCUCCAGCUCAGUUCAAGAAUAAGCCUGUGGAAAGUUACUUCUUCAAAAGCAAAAGUAUCUCAUAUCAUCUCUUCUCAUUUUUCUUCUCUCUUUAUCCUUCAUGCUGCUGCAAGAUGGGGAGAAGGUGAACAAUCAGUCGGAGCUCUGAUUGCUUACCUUGUCUGUCACCUCUUUCAGCAGACCCCCUAGCUCGGCGACUUGGGGGACUCCUACUAAAUGGUUUGUAUCGCGCUUGACCAAGCCUGAAACUACAAGUAAGCUUCAAGUGAAAUUGAUACAUUACCUUGUGCAUCUCCACCAGUUAAAGAUACCACCCCUGGAUGGAGGAAGAGUACUUCCAGAGAAGAUGCCACAUCUACCUAUGAGACAGAUAAGGCAAGUCAAGACGACACCACACUCCGAUACUUAGAAGUUUCGUGAUUAUGAGAUCAUUCUCCCACAAUAUUUCCUAAUGUCAUUUGUACUAAAUCAUUCACUUGUACUCACUAAAGGAGAGCUUGAACCUAUGUACUUGUGUAAACCCUUCACAAUUAAUGAGAACUCUUCUAUUCCGUGGACGUAGCCAAUCUGGGUGAACCACGUACAUCUUGUGUUUGCUUUCCUAUCUCUAUCCAUUUAUAUACUUAUCCACACUAAUGACCGGAGCAAUCUAGCGAAGAUCACAAAAAGCGACCGUUUUCGCUACCUAGGAUCUAUCUUGCAAGAGAACGGAGAAUUAGAUGGAGAUCUCAACCAUAGAAUACGAGCUGGAUGGAUGAAGUGUAAGAGUGCAUCCGGCGUGUUGUGUGACUAUCGUAGGCCACUGAAGCUCAAAGGAAAAUUUUAUAGGACGGCAAUAAGGCCAGCGAUGUUGUAUGGCACAGAAUGUUGGGCGGUGAAGCAUCAACACGUACACAAAAUGGGUGUAGCGGAGAUGAGGAUGCUUCGUGGGAUGUGUGGGCACACGAGAAAGGAUAAGAUUGGGAAUGAGGAUAUCCGAGGUAAAGUAGGAGUAGCCGAAAUUGUAGGAAAGAUGAGAGAAAAUCGGCUCCGGUGAUUUGGACAUGUGCAAAGAAGGCCGACUGACGCUCCGAUUCGAAGAUGUGACUACGGGACAGAGGUUCAGGGCCGAAGGGGUAGAGGAAGACCUAGGAAAACUUUGGAAGAGACUCUAAGAAAAGACUUAGAGUACUUGGAUCUAACGGAGGACAUGACACAAAACCGAGCGCAAUGGCGUUCUAGGAUUCAUAUAGCCGACCCCACUUAGUGGGAAAAGGCUUUGUUGUUGUUGUUGUUGUUGUAUUUUUUCCCUUUUCAAAAUCGAAAUGUUCUAAAUUAUUUCACUAAUCCUUGCUAGUUUGAACUGCAGGAGUCUGUCUCUGGAUUUGAAAGAUUAUCUGGACUUACAGUUUUGAAGAAUUGGGAUUCUAGUGUUACACAUAUUAUUGCAUCGACAGAUGAAAAUGAAGCAUGCAGAAGAACCCUUAAAAUUUUGAUGGGUAUCUUGGAGGGGAAGUGGAUUCUGAGUGUGGAGUGAGUUUUACUGUUUUCGUUUUAAUUGUUCUUCCUCAAGUGCUUGGACUUUACAAUUGUAAUGAGUACAGAAGCCGAAAUGAGAUAUUGAUAUACAUGUUCACAUUGCUGAUAAUUCGUUAUCCGUCUGUUUGUGUAGGAAUUAAUGCUUGCACAUAAGUAAUGAAACUAGUUAAUGAGGAGCCUUAUGAAAUCAACGUUGACAUUUAUGGAAUCAGGGAUGGUCCUCGACUUGGUAGACUAAGGCUGCAGAACAAGGUUAGCUUUUCCUCGAGUUUAACUAUCAUCACGAAAACUUUAGAUUUUCAUGGAUUCACCAUAGGCAUUGUUAAUCUUGUUCAGUCCAUAAAUAGGUUACACACUUAUCUUAACAAAGGUGAGACCUUCUCAAUUCCUCAUCGAGAUGAAUCAAGAGCAUAAUUGUAGCAGUGAUCAAGAGCAAUUUUUUUAUGUUUCUUCCAAAUUGUUGAGAUGAAUCAUCUGUGUUUUGUUCUAAUAAUCUUACAAAUUUGUUGAGCAAUUUUUGUAAAGUCAGAAUCUUUGGUUUCGGUUGUGAGGUAUCUGAUUUGGGUAUAUGUGUUUUGCAGGGCACGGUGGUUGUGGCGGAGGAAGAUUAGGAUUGACGACAGAGCUCUGGCCAUGAACUAUCAGCUCUGUCUUUCUCUCUCUAACUAUGAAUUGAAUACAAAAGUCUGUGUUGAUAUGGAAAAUGUAGCUCAAAAUUAUUACACAAAUGGCAAAAAAAAAAAGUUCGAGUGUGGAGUUUCACUUACUGAUACAGGGCUUUUGAAACAGGGUUGUCUAGACUGUAGAAGAAAUCCAUGGCUUUUGGAAGAGGGGAUGUUCCAAAUCUAUCUUUUCUCCCUCUCUAAUGUUCUUCGAGGGGUUCUUGUGAUGCAAAAAGUGGUUUAUAUAUAUUUUUUAUUAUUAAUAAAUUUUCUGUCGGUUUUAUCAGACAAUAAUUCUUUUAUUUAUUCUUAUUAAUAAUUUCUCUGUCGGUUAUAUCUGACACAAUUUCUGUCGAUUUUAGAGUAUUUUCUAUCGAAAAUUUCAUUUCCUGACGCAUCAAUUAUGUCGCUUAUUAUAUCCGCCACUGCACUCAUUUCAUGUCGGAUUUUGCUUAAUUUCCAACAGUAUUAUACAUUUCUUGUCGGUUUUUAAACCGACACUAAUGGGUACUUUUGUAGUAAUGUUGGGGCGUCGGAGUUCGUUUAAGGUCGAAUUGAGCACACCCAAAUUCAAGGGUUCCGUACGGUUCAUGGUAAUUUGAGGUAUUUCUCAGCCAAAUUGUCCUUAGUCACAGAUAUGAAAGUUGCUCCACUCGUUGAGAUCUUCAUUUAUGUCAAAUUUGAGAAUUUUUAGAAAUAAUUGGAUUUUCCAGCGAAUCGGGGCGGCGGACCACCACCGGACAGCGCAUGGCUAGUGGGCCCCCAAUGUCAUUUUACGUUAAAUUGGUAUCUUGAUUUUAGGUUUGAUGUCUAUAUGUUAUGACUUGAUAUGUGAACCUAGUUUAAUUAAGGUGCGUUAAUUGGUAAAAAUAUGAAACGACGAUCCGACCGUGGGAUCGUCACCAAUCUUUAUUAUGUUAUAGUACAUUAUAUUUGAGAAUCAUAGGGACUGACGGAUAGGAAAUCCGAUAUACGGAUCUUCCUGAAAUGGAAUUGUAAGUUCGAAGAAUAAACGUUAACCGCCACUUUGUUUUGACUAUUGGUGAAGAUCCAACCGUUGGAUCAUAAUGAAAUUUUAGGAUGAUGUUUUAGAAGCAUAAUGUGGAUCUUUGGAAGUUAUUGAUUGGAAAUCCGAGGAGCGAAUCUUCCGGAUUGAAUUACGUAAGGUUGUGGACCCUACCGUCGAUCGUUGACUGACGAUCGACUUUUGGUCAAUGGGGCUUAAAUCACUCUAAAAUGUUUUUAGGGAUGUGUUUUACGUAAAUUACAUUAUCUAUGGAUAAGAAUUCUGAGAUGUGGUUUGAUAAUUGUCCUGGGCGCCGAUCGUUAGGAACGCUUCGAUGGUUGUGCUAGGAAAUUGUAGCAUAGACUCCAGGUGAGUGAAUCUUUUCCUUCUUAUAUAUAUAUAUAUAUAUAUAUGAUUGACAAUUCCACAAACGUUUAUAAAUUGAUUAUUGCAUAUAACUACUGUAAAUACUUUGAAGUACUUAUGCGAACUACGAAUGGCUUGAUCCCUAUUUAGGGUACGUAUGCAGUCUAACAAGACAUUAAAUGCAGUCAUACAAUAAUUGAGAUUAAACAAUUGAGACAAAGCCUUGUAUGGGGAACUGGGCAAGGUGAACGAAUUUGGUAAAAAUGUGAGAUUUAACCUUCUGAAUUGGUGAUUAAAUGUUGGUCAUAAAUCAAUGUGUAAAGAAUCAAGAAUUUGAAGUAAGGAAACGUAAGUAAUGAUAAUUAAUUAAACUAGUGUCUAGUUGGGCUUGUCACCUAUAAUUAUCCCCAAAAAUGAAUAAUUCGGGAGUAGGGCGUUAUAGCUUCUGCAUUUUUAUGCCACAUUAUAUAUAUAUAUAUAUGUGUGUGUGUGUGUGUGUGUGUGUGUGUGUGUAUAAUUGGAAAUGCUAUAACGUGGUUGAGUAUCAGAUUUCAUCAUGGUUUAUCUAUAUGUAUAUUACCUGCACACAAUUAUUAUGAACACUUUGAAGUGCAAAGGUGAACGCAAGACACCCAGGAAAGUUCAGGUGAGUUUAUGGUAUUAGUUGAAAUGAUGGGGUUAUGGUAACUACAUGUAUGUUUAGGUUGCAAUGAUAGGCAACUCCGACACUGUCGUACAAGUUGCCCAUGAAUUGUAUAUGUUACAAUAGAUAGAGUUAGAGGUCAUAAACCUGCACCCCGGUGUUAGUGCUCCCACCCGUGGCUAGGGCACAGUCUUUCACGAGAUGUUCACCUCUCGCAUCUUACGCUCACCUUGGAUCCAAGGUAGGUGCACAGUCAUGUCAUAAAGACCACUAUAGGUGGUUCCGACUAGUAGAUGACCCGUGAUUAUUCGCACAGUCUUCACGUGAUUGUAGCACUUGAGCGUAUUUAUUUACACCCAGUCCUGUCGUACAGACCACUUUAGGUGGUUCCGACUCGUAUGCAGGUAUACUUAUUGAGCUAUGGAUAAGUCGUACAGGUCACUAAAGGUGACUCCAACUUAUGAGCUAGCAUAUGUGAUGAAAUAUGUGAUGAGCUAGCAUAUGUAAUGAGAUAAGUGAUGAGCUAGCAUAUGUGAUGAGAUAUGUGAUGAGUUAGCAUACGUUAUGAGAUAUGUGAUGAGUGAUAUAAUCAUAAUUGCAUACAUUUUCAUGCCCUUUUAGUUUAGAUUUUUGUUAUCCUUUUGAGUGAAUUUAGUUUGUUUCACUUAGUUUUAUGUUUUUCUUAGAUUUGAAGUGUGAAGAUGAAGAAAGAAGAAAAAAGAGCAUUUUUAGCGAUUGAAAUGAGUUUGGCAUGCUGGAAGCAGAGGCUAUUUGUGCGGAUCAGCCAACUUUACGGAUUAAACUGUACUUCCUUAGAAUGCCAGCUGUUGAGUCUUAUACCAUUGGAAAGAUAUGAAAGUUAGCUUUCAGAGGAAUUUUACGAUUCGUGAUUCCGAGUUUCCUAGAAGACGUUAUAGUGGUUUUUCUACCAGAUGUCUGCCAGCAAGGUUUUACGCGGGAUUUGCAAAGAGAUUCCAGAUUUACAAAGUUUAAUUAAAGGAAACAAGCAGAGAAAAAAGAAGAGGAAGCUUUUAGAAAAGUUCAGGACUAUUCUAAACGGUGCAUAGUUAAUAUAUUUAAUAGUUUAGUGUGCCACAUCAUCAAUAAACUAAUCUAAGUCAGAAGAGAAAUUCAAGAGUCCCAUUCAAGUAAGUAUUCCAGCAGUUUUAUUCAGGAAUAAAGGAGGGCAGACCGUCGGACUUUAGGAGCGGACAGAGAGAGUUUUUGGGUUUUCGAAGGUGCAGAGAAGAGGUCGCAGCAAGGAGUGAAACAGAGUCGCCGAUCAUCUGGGCAAUCCAUCACCAUCGUGUGGAAGUAUUUUAUGUUUUUCAGAUUUUUAAUUAUGUUUUCAGAUUUUAUGAGUAACUAAACUCUUUUUCUAAGGUUAGGAUGAUGCCCUAGCAUGGAUGUUUAUGGUUUGUAAUGUUAUUCAUUGGAUUUCCAGUUUCUUUUAGAUGAAUGCUUAAUCACUGUUUGAAUUGUUACUGUUUGUUUGAGUUCUUUGAUUGAUCACCUUAGGACUUUGCAUCUAGUAAGAUUGGAAGAUGAAUUUGAGACUGAACUAACAAUAUAAUUCAAUUAGCUUCUUGUGGUUAAGUGUGGUAAAUUACAUUAUUGCUUGAAAAAGAAUAAUGGUUUGUUUGGGUCCCUUGUUUUCUAGAGGGUAAAGAGUCCUACUUGUUAAAUUUAUGCCUUAACUAGGAUAGACUGCUUGUUAGGAUAUACGACCUCUGCCUAAACUAGGAGAGAAUCAUUCACAUAAGGAAAACUAUGGUCUAAUAUGCCUGACAAGGACUUAGAUACGGGAAUUAUCAUCUAAAGAAUUGAAAGAUCCAUUGAAUGCAUUGAAACCUAAACUAGAUUGCUUGUGGUUGAUUCCGAAUCCCUAGAUUUUCAUCACUUGCCUUAAAACACAACCGUUUCUUUUCUUUAAUUUCAGUUUUUACUUAAGGUUCUGUUUUUGUUCAUUUAUAAAAUCAUCACAACAAAUUUUUUACAUCUUUGAUUGACUUAUUAAUUAAGAUCGAGUCUAGUUCGUUGUUUGGGUUUGUGUGUCUUUAAUAUAAUUAGAUUUGGUUUAGUUUAUCAAAUUGGAGAUUGAAUUAGAAUCCUCGUGGGAACGAUACUUGGACUUGCAAAACGUUAUAUUACGACUAUCUUGUGCACUUGUAAGUUUACACCAAGUUUUUGGCGCCGUUGCCGGGGACUCUAAUUGAGUCCCCCAAUUUGAUAUCAUAUUCCAUAUCUAAUAAGUAGUUUAUUGUAGAUUAUUCAAUUUGAUUUUGUUUUGUUCUCUAGUUUCGAGUAAGAGUCAUAACUAUUAAGAUAAGUAAAAGUAAUUUUCGUCACUGUUUUAUUUCAGUUUUGUAUCACUGUUUCGACACAGUUUUGGACUAAACUAUUCGAUUUUUUACCAGGAAUAUUGUGUAUCGUUGGAAAGCCCCAGAAGUCUAGUUUUCAACCCAAAAAACAGAUCAAUGAUUGGAUUUUUGAGCUGCAAGAAAUGUACAAAAUACUGAGCAGUGGUCAAACAAGGAGCACAGUCUGGUCGUAUAUGCAAGGUAGACGUUCGUUGCAAUUUGAGUUGAUUCAUAUAGACCAAGAACUUGUGCGUACUUUAAGAGAACAGUGGAGGCAGCGAGUGUGUCAAGAACCAGCCAUGGAGGAAGUAGUUAAUAAUGGUGGAAAUAAUCCUCCACCAUUGCUACCACCACAACCAAGGCUCAUGCGUGAUUAUACAAAGCCAACGGAGUACAACGCACCGUCAUGCAUUGUUUUGGCUCCAAUUGCGCAGCGAUUUGAGAUUCGUCCACAAAUCUUUCAGUUGCUGCCUAUAUUUCUUGGGAAGGAGGAAGAAAAUCCAUACCAUCAUAUCAAGGCGUUUUUCAAGCUAUGUUCCACAUUCACAUUCACCAAUGUUACUGAAGAGCAAAUUCGACUUCGGUUAUUCCCAUUCUCUUUGAGGGAUAAAGCAAGCAGUUGGUUGGAUUCUCUUCCCGAAGCAUCUAUCGACACAUGGACAAAAUUAUCGAAGAAGUUUUUGUCCAAGUUCUUCCCCGCUCGAAGAACCAAUGCUCUGAUCAAUGAAAUCAUGAGCUUUCGACAACAAGAAGGUGAACAGUUUCAUGAAAGUUGGGAGCGCUAUAAGGACUUGUUUCUUCAAUGUCCUCAUCAUGGUUUCAACACUUGGCAAAAGGUUCAUUAUUUUUACAAAGGUUUGAACUCUCAAUGUAGGAGUUUGGUUGAUUCAACGGUUGGUGGAACCUUGAUAGACAAAACUCCAGAAGAUGCCAUACAUGCCUUUGAAACUAUAUGUGAAAAUUCUGAGCAUUGGGAUUUUCCUACAAAAGAUUUGAGAGUUCCAACUGCAUCGUCAACAAAAAAAGGAGGCAUUUAUGAAGUUAAUACAAGGACGGGCUUAGAGGCACAAGUGGCAGCCCUCACCAAGCUUCUCACACCACUUGUAAGCAAGAUAGCCACGCAGCCAUGUACUUUAUGUGCGAGCAUCGCCCAUGACAUGGAAAAUUGUCCAACAAAUGCUAAUCUAGAAGGCAUCCAAGAGGUCAAUGCAUUUAGUGGGAGGCCCCGGAAUGAUCCAUAUUCUAAUAAUUAUAACCCGGGAUGGAGAGAACAUCCAAAUUUUUCUUAGAGAGAUUCACAAAAUAGCAUGGGAUCAUUCACUUCAACAAAGCAAUAUCAGCAACCUUAUCAAGCUCCUCCAAUUCAACAAAAAGACUCGUCUAUCAAGGAUAUGUUAUCUCAACUCUUAAAGAAAACUGAUCGGUAUGAACAUGAAGUUGUGUCGCUUAGACAAAGUCAGACGGUGUUGGAAAAGGCUCGAUCUAAUUUUGAGACUCAGUUGGGACAGAUAGCUACUACUUUGAACAAGCUGGAGUGAGCACAAGGGCAAUUUCCAAGCCAAACUGAAACAAAUCCUAGGAAUCAAAAGCAUGUUCAAGCUGUCACCACUUUGAGGAGUGGAAAGACGAUUGGUAAUAAUGUGGAAAGUUCAAAAAUUAAUAAGGAAGAAGAUGAAGGGGUCAGCACAUAUCGGGCAGCAGCUUGACAAGACAAGCUAAAAAAGAGAAGUAUAUGGGAGAUAUUUUAGAGCAAUUUAGAAAGGUGCAGAUUAAUAUUCCUUUUCUCGAUGCCAUCAAACAAAUUCAAUCAUAUGCGAAGUUUUUGAAGGAACUUUGUACUAACAAGAGACGGUAUGAAGAACAUGAGGAGGUGAAGUUAUCAGACACGGUUAGUGCGGUUCUUCAAAGAAAAUUGCCACCAAAACUUCAAGAUCCUGGUAGCUUUACAGUCCCAUGUGUCAUUGGAGAAAGAAAAUUCGAAAAAGCUUUGCUUGACUUGGGAGCCAGUGUGAAUUUGAUGCCCUAUUCUGCUUAUAAACACCUCAAAUUAGGCGAACUAAAGCACAUAUCCAUUUCUCUACAAUGCACUGAUCGUUCUGUGAAAUAUCCAAGAGGGAUUGUUGAAAAUGUACUUGUGUGUGUUGAUCAAUUUAUUCUUCCUGCUGACUUCAUCAUUUUGGACAUGGAAGAAGCCGAAAUUCCUGGUCGUGACUUGCCUCUCAUUCUUGGCAGACCUUUCAUGGCUACUGCAGGUACGAAGAUUGAUGUUAAAUCGGGAUUAUUAACUAUGACUGUGCAAGGUAUUACUGUAGAAUUUCAGGUCUUCGAAGCAUUGAAGAAGCCCAUGGAUCUUUAUGACUGCUUUCGUGUUGAGGUAGUGGAUCCAAUUAUAAAAAAAAACAUUCAUUGAAUCAAGCAUCUCAGAUCCUCUGGAAGUUUGUAUCUCUCAACAUGGGAUGAGUUUUGAAAAGGCUACCAUCAUUGAAGCAGAACGAGAUCUCAAUGCCGUAACGUCCUACUCUCUUAGAUGCCAGCCCAAAUUUGAAGCGUUGCCACUCACAAGCCAAAAUUGUACCAUCCAUUAUACAACCUCCAAAGCUUGAAUUGAAGCCUCUUCCAGAGACUUUAAAGUAUGCAUAUUUGGUGAUUCAGAGACUCUUCCUGUGAUUAUAGCUGCUGAUCUUAACCAAACAGAAGAGGAAAAGUUGAUGCAAAUGUUGAGGGAGCAUAAAACAGCAUUGGGAUGGAGUAUUGCAGACAUAAAAGGAAUUAGUCCUCAAUUUGCAUGCAUCGGAUAUAUCUUGAGGACAAGUCAAAGCCUUCUAGAGAGGCACAGCGACGUCUAAAUCCACAUAUGCAAGAAGUGGUUCGGGCAGAAGUUCUUAAAUUACUGAAUGUCGGCAUUAUUUAUCCUAUAUCUAACAGCAAAUGGGUAAGUCCACUGCAGGUUGUACCACAGAGAUCUGGAAUUACAGUUGUCAAGAAUGAAAAUAAUGAGCUUAUACCCCAGAGGACUGUCACGGGUUGGAGAAUGUGUACAGAUUACAGAAAGAUCAAUAAUUCAACUCGAAAAUAUCAUUUUCCACUCCCUUUCCUUGAUCUCAUGCUUGAGAGACUUGCAGGCCAUAGUUAUUAUUGUUUUCUUGAUGGCUAUUCCAGAUAUAAUCAAAUUCCCAUAGCUCCGGAAGAUCAAGAAAAGACUACUUUCACAUGUCCAUUUGGAACUUUUGCCUAUCGACGAAUGCCUUUUGGGUUAUGUAAUGCUCCCGCAACAUUCCAAAGAUGCAUGAUGAGCAUUUUCUCAAACUUGGUGGAAAGGUGUAUCGAAGUGUUCGUGGAUGAUUUUUCCGUGUUUGGGUCAUCGUUUGAUCAAUGUCUUCAUCAUCUUUCAUUGGUGCUCUAACGGUGUCAAGAAACCAACUUGAUUUUAAAUUGGGAAAAAUGUCAGUUUAUGGUGAAAAGUGGUAUUGUUCUUGGUCAUGUAAUUUUAGCUGACGGAAUUGAAGUUGAUAAAGCUAAGGUGGAGCUGAUUUCGAAGCUUCCUCCUCCCACUUCUGUAAAAGAAGUUCGAUCCUUUCUCGAGCAUCCAAGUUUUUAUCGCCGAUUUAUUAAAGAUUUCUCGAAAAUCACCAAGCCACUUUGUGAUCUGCUUGCUAAAGAUUCUGUGUUUAAUUUAAAUGGUGAGUGCUUACAAGCUUUUGAGACCCUCAAGAAAGAAUUAACACAAGCCCCAAUCAUAAAAGCUCCAGAGUGGUCUCUUCCUUUUGAAAUCAUGUGUGACGCCUCUGAGUAUGCAAUAGGUGUUGUGUUAGGGCAGCGAGUUAACAAACUUCCUCAUGUUAUAUUUUAUGCUAGCCGAAUUCUCACUUAACAACUUUCAUAUCCCUUAGUUUCCAAAAUUUAAUAUACAAAUUUAGUCUCCCAAGCAUUGCUAUAUUACUUAAGUAUUGAUUAAUAGACUUAUUUCUUAUGGUGACACAUUAUUUAGUUUACAAAUUUAGUCUAUCUAACAUUACUCUUUUGACAUUGUCUUGUCCACUGAUAUAAUUCUAUUUUUCUUGUGAUCAAAACUUCAAAUGUUAGCAAGUCGCACGUAAAGUCGCUUCUGAGAGAAUGUGCUCACAUUGUAGUUGAAAGAUUAUGUGGCUAGCAACAUUACAAAUUUAAUUUGGUAUAAUUUUAAAAUAUAGAUUGAGGAAAAAAAGGAUCACAUUAACUAGAAACUGAAAAGGUUUCGGCGCAAUAUGUUCAAGCAAGAAACUCAAUUUUGAUGCUACCGAUCUUAACAGCCUGAGCGCCGUACCUGGGCACUAAAGUCACCACCACACUCUCAUCAUCUUCAGCACCCAAAUCCUCCAACAGGUCCGUUAACCCCAACCUUAAACAACUCUUGCUCUUUUCCUUCUGCUUAUGUGGCACACUCACAAAACUCCCAGCAAACUCGCUCUUGUCGGGUCCACUCGGUGCCGCAUCCUCAUCAUCCACGUCAUUCACAUACACAUCAAACUUCACAGCCACAUCUUUGUCAAGCUCAAUCCCCCGAAUCACCAAUAUCUCCUCCUCAUCCUCUUUCUCCUUCUUGCUCCUCUUCUUCGGCUUCGGCCUUGACACCACCGUAGUUAUCUUCGUCUCCAAAUUUAUUGGAAAAUCUUUACCCGCCACCACCUUCCCCGAUGACGUCGUCUCAGCGGCCUUCGCCACUCCAGCCGCCUUUGCCUUUCUCGCAAGCUUUGUCCGACGUGGCGUCGGUCUAGAGUUGAGCCAUGGAAUCUCAACAUCUUCAUACGUAUACCCUAGCUUUUUAUUAUCAAGAGUGUCCCUCACCGUGACCCUAACAAGCUCAGCAUUCUCGUCAUAAAACAAAAACCCCGUAUCCAACCAAUCCUUAUCGUUAAUAUCUUUAUUUUUAGUCCCUAUACUUUUCCAAAUAUUCCACAUUCGAUCCAGAUUCAAAUGGUGCGCAAAAAAUAUCGGAUCCCUUGCAGUGGAGUAAAAAUUCCCCAUGUCUUCAUAAUUAGGUUGCGUGUUAUCUCCGGUCCAUGUAUGAACCGGACCAUGUGGGGUCUGUUCGAUUGCACCGGCCCCUGGAUCUGGUUCAGUGCCAGCCCUGUAGGGCGAACCAAAGAACAACAGCGGUUUCUUGGAGUUGGAAACCAUCUGCCUAUACAUGAUUUUGAGGUUGGCUUCGAUUUGAGCAUCCUUGGACAUUGUUUCAUCCGUGCCGUUGAAGUCAAGAUCGAUGAGAGUUGGCGGCUGAUGGCUGGCAGCGCGGAGCUCGUCGUAAAGCGGAGAGUCAGGGUUAGCGUACAAGGCAGGGAGUUGCAUGCCAGCUGGCGCGUCCCAGUUCCAAAACGGCAACGCGAAGGUCGGAUCGUCUAUGAGUUUGGCCAAGAUUCUUUCGUGGAAAUAUAGGUAGUAACGAUGGAAGGGGAAGAAAAGCCAGGAUUGAUGGAUUUGGAGCUCGAGGUUGGGGAAGCCGACUUGGUCGUACGCACCGUUACAAUAGGCACAGUGGACAUCGGCUUGCUGGGUGAAGCUACGCGGAUCGUCGUCCGGGAGGGCUUUCAUGAGCUCGAUGGCUUUUGAGUAUUUUUCGAUGUAGGCUUUAUCCACGGCGUGAGCUGCCGGCCUGACGCGGAGUUUGGUAGGGGAGGGGAAUUUGAAGUCUACGAUUUUUUGGGACGUUGGCGGGCAACAGUUGGUCGGGACUGCUCCACUUGGAAAGUCCGCAGCUCCGCAUUUGGCUAGGUCAGGCGGCGACACUGGCUUUGCAACAGCGAAGGGGUCGCUGCCAAGACCAGCCACUCCACCGUACAGGCUUCCGAGACCUAUAAGUACAUGUCUUCUGUCUAGGUUUACUGGAGAAGGGUUUUCAUGGUCGUGAUCGUUGGAGCUAGUGGAAGGGUUUUUGUUUUGGUCACUACUAUUAUUUGUGGCUUUGCAUGAGACAGCUUGUAAAUUGGAAUGCCUAGGGUUUCCAAAUGAGGAUAUUCGGUGAUACUUUUGGGAGAAAGGAGAGAGAGAAGUUGUGGGGAUGAUACUUGUGGUGGGGGUGACGAGUGGAGCUGACAUAGAAGCCAUGGUUACUUGACUCUGAAUAAUACGUUGUAUGGGCUUUUGCUUUUAUAAUAUGUUCUAGGUUUACUUUUCUUUGCACAGGUGGCAGGCCGUGCACACGUUGUCGAGGAAUAGUACGUAGUCAUUUAGGAGAAAAAUCUAAUUGUGACGGAGGUGACGAGUGGAGCUGACAUAGAAGCCAUGGUUACUUGACUCUGAAUAAUACGUUGUAUUGGCCUUGCUUUUAUAAUAUGUUCUAG
rnacentral:lncRNA from 1 species